AUAUAUAUAUAAGUUUUAAAGGCAUAAUAUAACUCAUUGUUUAAAAUAUUAUAACAUACAAUAAAAAUAUUUAAAAUCUUAAAGCACAAAUAUUUCAUAAUAUAAAAGAAUCGCAAUAAAAAAUUAGGGUUAGAAUUUUUAGGAUGAAUAAAUAAAAAGUAUAUAUUAAUUAAGAAAAUUUAUUUUGUAAUUAAAAAAUAUAUGUGCGGAUACCAGAUAGUUACCCAAAAUGCUCACUGCUUAGUCGGUUACUAUCCAUUUUACCCGUAAUUUUUUGGGUUUGAAAAGUUGAUACCCAUACCCGCAAAUUUAUGGAUAACCCGCGGGUACCUACAGGUUUGGAUCAAGAUUGCCAGGUUUAGGUGGCUCCCACCAAAUCCAUUAGUGUAGUAGUUUGUCCUGUAUACACUUAGCUCUUAUACUUUCGACUGGUAUAUGGUUCUGAUAUCAAUUGUAACAACUCGAUCAGUUAACAAUAAUAACUCGUUAGGCCUCAGCUCGCGGUCAAAAUAUUUAAGUCCGAUUAUUAUUAUUAGUGCGAAAGAUCUUAUAUAUUUCAAUUAAAAUUAUUUUUUAUUCAAUAUGAGAUUAUUGAGAUGUUACGGUAAGAUAAAUUUUAAAAAAUAAUUUGUGUAGGUUAAAAAAAAAAAAAAAAGAGUAUGUAUUGGAAGGGGAAGGCUCCGCUCCCGUGGUGCCGAUCGGAUGAGAAGUGCAUAAAGAAUCCAAACAACACUCCAUUUACGGCUAAUUGAAGGCUAAGAAGAAAAAAAUUGUUAUUUAAUUUAGGAAAAACUUUAAAUACCCUCACGUGGUUUCACACUUUCUCGUAUCAUAUGAUUUAAAGUGUAUCAAGUUAGUACCUUAUGGUUUCGUACUUUCUCAUUUUAGUACCAUAUAGUUUAAAGUGUAUCAAAUUAGUACCAUGUGGUUUCGUACUUUCUUACUUAAAUACCUUGUGAUUUAAUAUUUUGUUAAAUUAUAUACAAAAAAAUUCAGAUAUCUUAUCUAGGUUUAUUGAAUAUUCAUUUUAAAAUCCUUUAGUUUUAACUUUAUCACUCUUUUAACGAAAAAAAUAUUCCGAAAUAAACAAUAAAAAGAGAAGGGAAAACUUUAAAAACCCCCCCUGUGGUUUUGUAGUUUCUCACUUUGCCCCCCAUUGGUUUAAAAAUGUAUCAAGUGCUUCCCUUGGUUUCUUUUUCUCUUUUUCUUAUCAAUUUUAUUAUUUUUUAUCUAAAAUCAGUGAUAAAUUAAAAUUAAAGGUAUAGUGAAUAUUUGAUAAAAUCUAGAUAUGUAUUUGAGUUUUUUAAUAUAUUUAAUGAAAUAUUAACGAAAAAACUACCGAAAUGAUAAAAAAUGAAACAACGAGGGGCAAUUUGAUACAUUUUUAAAACCACGGGGGGUGCAAAUGAGAAUCUACACACAAUGGGUUUUUGAAAGUUUUUCCAAGAAGAGAAAAAAUAAACCACACGUUCCUAUACUUGAUUAUAAAAUGAAACCAAUAUACUAAUAAAAUUACUUUAAACCCAUAGGUAUCUAAGUGAGAAAGUGCAACCAUAAAUAACUUGAUAUAAUUUUAACCAAUAAUUACUAAAUUAAAAAAAAAAAAAUAAUUACGAAUCCACAUGGAUUUGAAGUUUUCCCUUGUAUGCCACUCACACGAUAAGAUGGAUAGCGCGUGUGCGAUCAAUUGGCAGGCAGUCAGCAACGGACGGCUAACGCGCGGUUCGAAGCGAUGGGAUUUUGAAACCGUGAGACGCCGACUGCGCUCGGCAAGCCGGGAUCACUCUAUCGGUGGACGCAACAGAACGUACGGCUGGUAAGCGUGAUGAAAGGAAGAUGAACUCGGGAUGCCAAUGCGGGUGGAACCGGCUGCCUCUGUGGAUGGAAUGAAGAUGAACGUGGAUGCUAACUAGUGUUGCUAUUGUUAAAUCUAUUCAACUACUGAAAAAUUAAUAAUAAUAAGACAAAUACACGAUCAAUCCUAAAAUUAUAGCGUGAUAUUUAGGUCCUCAAACGCACCGUUGAUGUAAAACAAAGACAACAUCGUUAUUACUGACGCAUCAUUAAUUAUAAAUACUACUAAAUUAUUUUUGCAUUAACAAUGCAUCAUAUUUAUUAAACAGAAUUGCGUUAUAUAAUCGGCUUAAUUAUAAAAAUUCUAGGUAUGUUUGGCUUCGGAAAUAACGCAAAAAGUGCCCUAUGACAGGGAUGUAUAUAAUUAGUAUAACGCGGGAAUUAGGAUUAAUUUUGCUUUGAGUGAAAUUAUAUUCCUAGGAAUUAAAACAAGAAGGCGCUCUAUUAGUUAAGAUAAAAUAAAAGAAUAUGCUGAGUUUUUAAUAUUAAAAAUAUAAUAUUACUUCUUAUUAUAUUUGAAAUUUGAAUUUUAAAUUUAUUAAAUAUAUUAAAAUUUUAACUUUGAAAUUUAAAAAUUUGAAAUAAAAUUUGAAAUUUAAAAUCUAAAAUUUUAAUUCAAAAUAUUUCAAAUUUUAAAGUUUCAAAAUUAUAACUUUAAGAUCAAUUUAAUUAUUGAAAAAUAUAAAAUAUCAAAAUUUUAAAAUUUUAAAUUAUAAAUUAAUUUAAAAUUAAAAUUUAUAACUUAAAUUAAAACUUUCUAUUUGGUUAUAAAUUAUAAUUAAAUUUAAAUUUUAAAUUUUUAAUUUAAAAUUUUUAAAUUUAAAAAAUAAAAUAGGGAUGGAACAAUUUAAAAAAAAAUACAAUAUUAGAAUAAAUUUAUAAAUUGUUAUAUUUACUUCAACUUAAAUUUAAUAAAAAAUUAUAUAUAUUUAAAUAAAAUUAUUAUAAAGUAAAUAUAAAUAACUAUAUUAAUAAUUUUAUAAUAAAAAUAAUAUAUUAUAAUAUAUAACAUAUUAUAUUUAUAUAAUUUAGUUUUAAUUCAAUUUAUAAUUUUAAUUAAAUUUGAAAUUAAGCAUUGGAAUAGUACUAUUCCACCAAUAUGGUGGAAUAGAAAAUUCCUUGUUAUUCCGGGAUAAUCGAAAAUAGCAAGCUUUGACCGGAAUAAAAUAUCCCAAUAAAACAUCACCGCGUUUGAGGGAAUAGUGGGAAUAACUUUCGUUAUCCCUGCUUAUCCCCCGAACCAAACGGAGCCUAAAAGUUCAGACUAAAAAUGACAACAAAUUAAAAUUUAAGCAUCACAGUGUCACACGACUCAUAGUUUGAGGACCAAAUAUGCAACUAACCUUAAGAAUAAUAAUGAUUGACUCAACUACGCCCUCGAUCGUCAAUGAUUGACUCAACUACGCCCUCGAUCGUCUGUAUCUGCGCGCAUAUAUAUAUACAAUCUUUUAUUAUAAUUAGGUAAUAUGAAAUGGUACGAGCCGACAAAUAAUACCAUUACUAAUCUAUAUUAUCUUAUUGACUUCUUGACUCAAUGAACAAUGACGACAAAUACUAUCUUGUCCUUAGGGCACAAAAAAAUAUUUUAUUUUUUGGUAUUUUCAAAUAUAUCAUUCUAUUAUUACCGGCUUUUUUUAUUUGCCCUUAAGUUAAGGACAAAAGUGACAUUUUCAAUUUUUUUAACUGUAAUAGAUAUUUAACUCAUGUUUAACCCAAAUUAAUUUAACGGAUUGUAACUGUAGGGGUAUUUUGAAAUAACGGAGGAACAUAUGAGGGGUAUAUUAGAAAGAAAAAAAAAAAGAAAUAAAUAAGAUUUUUUCAAAGUUUUGAGGGGUAUAUAGGCAAUUAUCCUUUUUAAAAUAUAUUAUCAAGCAAAUGUUGUCUAUACGCCAAUAAUGUAUGCUUUCUUUCUACCGCGCGUCUAAUAAGGCUUCGUUUGGGAUUGUGGGGAGAUUGCGUUACGUGCGAUGAGAAACUACGUUGGAAAAAUAUUCUGUUUGUUUCCGUACAUAAUAUUGCGUUCGUACGGAAAGACAUUCGGUAGUGGAAAGACUCAAGCAGCUGAUCGUCUUUUUUUUUUUUUUUUCGUGUCAUUCUGCCUUGAGGCCCUGGCUGCCUCACCCCUAUAGCCUAAUUCAUUCUUUCAAUGACUGAAGAAGGUAGCGUGCUACCUAUUCUCAAAAAAAUAUUGCGUUCUGUAUAUCGUAAUGAGUCGGUUACGAUAUAUUUUCUACGGUCCCACCGUAGAACGCAAAAGCAUAUCCCUAUAUAUUUUUUCCACAACUCCAUUUUAUCUAAUAGCGUUAGAUAGAACUCAAUAACAAACUAAGCCUUAGUUUAUUAUUAAGGUCUAUCUAACGCUAUUAGAUAAAAUGGAGUUGAGAAAAAAGACUAUAGGGAUAUGCUUCUGUGUUCUCUAGUGGAACUGCAGAAAAUACGUACGAAAAAAAAUAGAAUAUUUUUCCAACGUACUUUCUCACCGCACGUAAACAAUCUACUCGCAAUACCAAAGAAAGCCUAAGCCUAAUACUCACUUAUUUUAUUCUUAUUCUUUUUCAAUUAAAAAUUUGAAGAUUUUGUUUUUAUAUUAGCAAUGCUCUUUGUAUGUGUUGGCAUAUAUUAUGCACAUCUCAAUCCGGAGACUUGGUCUUGUCAACUUUUUUUUAAAUUUUAAAAAUUUUAGAAAUUUUGUAAAUCUUAUUUGAAAUGAUAAAAUGUAAAUCAUACAUCUUUUUAAAGUGUACAUCUAACUAUACAUACUUCCAAAAUAGACGUGUAAAUUUAAAUUACAGCCCACCUAUAUCCAAGGAUCGAAAGAAUUUUUAUGAAAUUUUAGUAUUAAAAAAAAUAGAAUUGUGAUAAAACUAGUNAAAAAUUUAAAACUCACAUCACUCCUGUAAUUUUUUUCGCUCUUAAAAAAAUUCAAAACUCACGUUUUUAUAAAAAAUUAAUAUCUUUUACUAUAUUAUUAAAUAUCACAUAUAAUGAAGGAAAUUUUAUUUCAAAGUCACCUAUAAUUAUGUUGAGAUAUUUGAGAAAUGUAUGGAUAUUAUGUUGCGAAAAAAUUGGCGGUGCGGAUAUUACGCGUUAAAAGGAAAAUAUUUAUCUUUAUUUGGGAAUAAAUUAUUACUUAGUUAAUUAUUUAAAAUGAUUGGUUGAAAACUUAAAAAAUUUUUUAAUAAAAAUUAUUCUCGAUAAUUUUAUUUGCAUUAAGUGUAUUAAAAAACUGAAAUAUAAUAUAUUUUAGCUUUUGAACAAAACUCUCUUUUUAUUUCAAUCAACAAAACAAUUAUGUGAUUUAUUUUUAAAUAGGAAAAAAAUAAAAUCUAUAAUUUAUUUCAAAAUUACUAUUACUAAUUAGGAAUGUGAAUUGAUAUAGAUACGGAAUUUUAUCUAAACUCGAUUUAAAAUGGGAUAAGUUUAAUCAAUGCUGAACAGGGAUAGUUUUAGUUAUAGGUACCAAAAAAUAAAAUCCUGUCGUAUGUAAAUUCAGUUAUAGUUUUGGUCUAUAUUUAAACCGAAUCUGAACCGAAACCCAAAACCAAAAACAAAANNNNNNNNNNNNNNNNNNNNNNNNNNNNNNNNNNNNNNNNNNNNNNNNNNNNNNNNNNNNNNNNNNNNNNNNNNNNNNNNNNNNNNNNNNNNNNNNNNNNNNNNNNNNNNNNNNNNNNNNNNNNNNNNNNNNNNNNNNNNNNNNNNNNNNNNNNNNNNNNNNNNNNNNNNNNNNNNNNNNNNNNNNNNNNNNNNNNNNNNNNNNNNNNNNNNNNNNNNNNNNNNNNNNNNNNNNNNNNNNNNNNNNNNNNNNNNNNNNNNNNNNNNNNNNNNNNNNNNNNNNNNNNNNNNNNNNNNNNNNNNNNNNNNNNNNNNNNNNNNNNNNNNNNNNNNNNNNNNNNNNNNNNNNNNNNNNNNNNNNNNNNNNNNNNNNNNNNNNNNNNNNNNNNNNNNNNNNNNNNNNNNNNNNNNNNNNNNNNNNNNNNNNNNNNNNNNNNNNNNNNNNNNNNNNNNNNNNNNNNNNNNNNNNNNNNNNNNNNNNNNNNNNNNNNNNNNNNNNNNNNNNNNNNNNNNNNNNNNNNNNNNNNNNNNNNNNNNNNNNNNNNNNNNNNNNNNNNNNNNNNNNNNNNNNNNNNNNNNNNNNNNNNNNNNNNNNNNNNNNNNNNNNNNNNNNNNNNNNNNNNNNNNNNNNNNNNNNNNNNNNNNNNNNNNNNNNNNNNNNNNNNNNNNNNNNNNNNNNNNNNNNNNNNNNNNNNNNNNNNNNNNNNNNNNNNNNNNNNNNNNNNNNNNNNNNNNNNNNNNNNNNNNNNNNNNNNNNNNNNNNNNNNNNNNNNNNNNNNNNNNNNNNNNNNNNNNNNNNNNNNNNNNNNNNNNNNNNNNNNNNNNNNNNNNNNNNNNNNNNNNNNNNNNNNNNNNNNNNNNNNNNNNNNNNNNNNNNNNNNNNNNNNNNNNNNNNNNNNNNNNNNNNNNNNNNNNNNNNNNNNNNNNNNNNNNNNNNNNNNNNNNNNNNNNNNNNNNNNNNNNNNNNNNNNNNNNNNNNNNNNNNNNNNNNNNNNNNNNNNNNNNNNNNNNNNNNNNNNNNNNNNNNNNNNNNNNNNNNNNNNNNNNNNNNNNNNNNNNNNNNNNNNNNNNNNNNNNNNNNNNNNNNNNNNNNNNNNNNNNNNNNNNNNNNNNNNNNNNNNNNNNNNNNNNNNNNNNNNNNNNNNNNNNNNNNNNNNNNNNNNNNNNNNNNNNNNNNNNNNNNNNNNNNNNNNNNNNNNNNNNNNNNNNNNNNNNNNNNNNNNNNNNNNNNNNNNNNNNNNNNNNNNNNNNNNNNNNNNNNNNNNNNNNNNNNNNNNNNNNNNNNNNNNNNNNNNNNNNNNNNNNNNNNNNNNNNNNNNNNNNNNNNNNNNNNNNNNNNNNNNNNNNNNNNNNNNNNNNNNNNNNNNNNNNNNNNNNNNNNNNNNNNNNNNNNNNNNNNNNNNNNNNNNNNNNNNNNNNNNNNNNNNNNNNNNNNNNNNNNNNNNNNNNNNNNNNNNUCACUUUGCCCCCCUGUGGUUUAAAAUGUAUCAAUUUGCCCCCCUGUGGUUUCUUUUUUCUCUUUUUCUUAUCAAAUUUUAUUAUUUUUUUUUCUUAAAUCAGUGAUAAAAUUAAAAUUAAAGGGUACUAAAGUGAAUAUUUGAUAAAUCUAGAUAGGUAUUUGAAGUUUUUUAUAUAUAAUUUAAUGAAAUAUUAACGAAAAAACUACCGAAAUGAUAAAAAUGAAACAACAGGGGGCAAUUUGAUACAUUUUUAAACCACGGGGGGGCAAAGUGAGAAACUACGAAACAAGGGGGGUUUUUGAAGUUUUUCCAAAAGAGAAAAAUAAAACCACACGUUCCUAACUUGAUAUAAAAAUGAAACCACAUAGUACUAACUUGAAAUACUUUAAACCAUAAGGUACUAAAGUGAGAAAGUGCAAACCAUAAAUAACUUGAUAUAAUUUUAACCACAUAGUACUAACAUAAAAAAAAAAAAUAAUACGAAACCACAUGGAAGUUUUGAAGUUUUCCCUUCGUAUGGGCACUCACCACGAUAGAUGGAUAGCGGCGGUGGGAUCCGAAUUGGCAGGCAGUCAGCAACGUGGACGGCAACAGCGCGGUUCGAAGCGAUGGGAUUUUGGAAACGUGGACGCCGACUGCGCGGUCGGAAGCCGGCAUACACUCUACCGGUGGACGGCAACAGCACGUACGGCUGGAAGCGUUGGGAUGAAAUGGAAGAUGAACUCGGGAUGCCAAUGCUGGGGUGGAAGCCGGCUGCUCUCUGUGGAUGGAAUGGAAGAUGAACGUGGAUGCUAACGGUAGUGUUGGCAUUGUUUAUAAUCUAUUCAACUACCGAAAAAAUUAAUAAUGUUAUAAGGACAAAUUACACGAUCAAUCCUCAAAUUAUAAGGCGGUGAUAUUUAGAUCCUCAAACGCACCGUUGAUGUAAAACUAAGACAACGUCGUUAUUACUGACGCAUCAUUGAUUAUAAAUACUACUAAAUUAUUUUUGCAUUAAUAAUGCAUCAAUAUUUAGUUAAUCAGAAUUGGGUUAUAUAAUCGGCUUAAUUAUAAAAUUCUAAGAUAUCGUUUGGUUCGGGAAUAAGUAAAAAGUGGCUAUUACAGGGAUAGUUAUAAAUUGAGGUAUAAGCGAGGAUUAGAUCAAUUUUGCGUUUGGAUGAAAAUUAGGUUAUUCCUAGAAAUAAAACAAAAAGCGUUUGAUUAGGUAAGAUAAAAUAAAAAGAAUAGUGAGUUUUUAUAUAUUAAAAAUAAUAAUAUUACCCCCUUAUUAUAUUUGAAUUUGAAUUUUUAAAUUUUUAAAUUUAAAAUUUUAACUUUGAAAUUUAAAAAUUUGAAAUUNNNNNNNNNNNNNNNNNNNNNNNNNNNNNNNNNNNNNNNNNNNNNNNNNNNNNNNNNNNNNNNNNNNNNNNNNNNNNNNNNNNNNNNNNNNNNNNNNNNNNNNNNNNNNNNNNNNNNNNNNNNNNNNNNNNNNNNNNNNNNNNNNNNNNNNNNNNNNNNNNNNNNNNNNNNNNNNNNNNNNNNNNNNNNNNNNNNNNNNNNNNNNNNNNNNNNNNNNNNNNNNNNNNNNNNNNNNNNNNNNNNNNNNNNNNNNNNNNNNNNNNNNNNNNNNNNNNNNNNNNNNNNNNNNNNNNNNNNNNNNNNNNNNNNNNNNNNNNNNNNNNNNNNNNNNNNNNNNNNNNNNNNNNNNNNNNNNNNNNNNNNNNNNNNNNNNNNNNNNNNNNNNNNNNNNNNNNNNNNNNNNNNNNNNNNNNNNNNNNNNNNNNNNNNNNNNNNNNNNNNNNNNNNNNNNNNNNNNNNNNNNNNNNNNNNNNNNNNNNNNNNNNNNNNNNNNNNNNNNNNNNNNNNNNNNNNNNNNNNNNNNNNNNNNNNNNNNNNNNNNNNNNNNNNNNNNNNNNNNNNNNNNNNNNNNNNNNNNNNNNNNNNNNNNNNNNNNNNNNNNNNNNNNNNNNNNNNNNNNNNNNNNNNNNNNNNNNNNNNNNNNNNNNNNNNNNNNNNNNNNNNNNNNNNNNNNNNNNNNNNNNNNNNNNNNNNNNNNNNNNNNNNNNNNNNNNNNNNNNNNNNNNNNNNNNNNNNNNNNNNNNNNNNNNNNNNNNNNNNNNNNNNNNNNNNNNNNNNNNNNNNNNNNNNNNNNNNNNNNNNNNNNNNNNNNNNNNNNNNNNNNNNNNNNNNNNNNNNNNNNNNNNNNNNNNNNNNNNNNNNNNNNNNNNNNNNNNNNNNNNNNNNNNNNNNNNNNNNNNNNNNNNNNNNNNNNNNNNNNNNNNNNNNNNNNNNNNNNNNNNNNNNNNNNNNNNNNNNNNNNNNNNNNNNNNNNNNNNNNNNNNNNNNNNNNNNNNNNNNNNNNNNNNNNNNNNNNNNNNNNNNNNNNNNNNNNNNNNNNNNNNNNNNNNNNNNNNNNNNNNNNNNNNNNNNNNNNNNNNNNNNNNNNNNNNNNNNNNNNNNNNNNNNNNNNNNNNNNNNNNNNNNNNNNNNNNNNNNNNNNNNNNNNNNNNNNNNNNNNNNNNNNNNNNNNNNNNNNNNNNNNNNNNNNNNNNNNNNNNNNNNNNNNNNNNNNNNNNNNNNNNNNNNNNNNNNNNNNNNNNNNNNNNNNNNNNNNCUAUAUCCAAGGAUCGAAAGAAUUUUUAUGAAAUUUUAGUAUUAAAAAAAAUAGAAUUGUGAUAAAACUAGUGCGAUUAAAUUGAUCCGACCAUUGGAUGAAUUACUCUUACAUGGGACAAACAUAGGAGGCAUCUAUUAAGCAUGGACAAGAAGAGGUGCAACUUGCCAUUGUUUUAGAACCUACUCAUGCAACUUGCCAUGCAAUAUUGUUUAUAAUCUACUCAACUACCGUAAAAUAAUAAUGAUAUAUAAGGGCAAAUUACGCAGUCCUCAAACUAUGAGGUAUGUGAUGCUUGGUCCUCGAACCGUACAUAUCGUUGAUGUAAAAGUAAUAUAACAUUGUAAUUAUUGGCGCAUCAUUAAUCCUAAUACUGCUUUAUCACUUCUAUAUUAACAAUACGUUAAUAUUUAGUCAACUAUAUAAAUUGAAUUGUAAAUAAGAAAAUGCAGUUUGAGUACAGAUGGUACUGGACAAGCUAACGGGAGGAUUCAAUUGUAAUAAUUCUAAAAAAGUUUGAAUCAGAAAUUAUAAUAAAUUAGAGUUCGAUGAUCAAAACGUCACUCGACUCAUAGUUUGAGAACCAAACGUGCUAUUUACCUGAUAAUGAUAUAAUAUAAUAUAUAUAUAUAAUAAUUGACACAAUUAGCCGUCGCCCUUAUAUAUAUAUAUAUAUAUAUAUAGAGUUGAGCUAGAAUACUCUCGAUAGUAAACGGAGCAUUUUACUAUCGAGUUGUUUUCGAUGAUAGAGCUUCCNUAAUACUGCUUUAUCACUUCUAUAUUAACAAUACGUUAAUAUUUAGUCAACUAUAUAAAUUGAAUUGUAAAUAAGAAAAUACAAUUUGAAUACAGAUGGUACUAGACAAGCUAACGGGAGGAUUCAAUUGUAAUAAUUCUACAAAAGUUUGAAUCAGAAAUUAUAAUAAAUUAGAGUUUGAUGAUCAAAACAUCACUCGACUCGUAGUUUGAGAACCAAACGUGCUAUUUACCCUGAUAAUGAUAUAAUAUAAUAUAUAUAAUAAUUGACACAAUUAGCCAUCGCCCUUUUAUAUAUAUAUAUAUAUAUAUAUAUAUAUAUAAAAUCUUUUCUUAUAAUUAAGAUAUAAAAUGUACCGGCACAAGUCGACAAAUAAUACCAAUACUAAUCUAUACCUUCUUAUUGACUUGAGUCAGUGAACAUUGACAACAAAUACUACCUUCUCUAGAUAGCAACUCCCUCAAAAGUUGUUCUGAAACCUGCUGGGUUACCGACCAUUCCUAAGAGCUUGGUGGUUGGUAUCCGAGGCCCAAGUUUGAAUCCUAGUUGAUUCAUAUUUCUAGCUAAGUUUAUUUUUAAAUGAAAUUAACGUAACGGAUAGCGUGCUACCUAUCUCUUAAAAAAAAAAAAUCUGCUGGGUUAAGGCUCCUGCUGGGUUAAGGCUUCUACUAAAUAUUAUUAGUGACCCAAAAUGUGUUUGGUUAAUGGGAUCGAAUCCAACCAAAAAUUAAGUUUAAGUUAAAUAGUUGGAGCAACUUCUUUUAUUUUAUAUAUAUAUAUAGGCCGUCGCUACUAUUAUAUUAUGAGCAUUUGAGCCCUCGUACUCAUAAAUUGUUUUCGAUGAUGGAGCUUCCGAAUCGACGAUUCACUCUUUUAAAUAUGAUCUAGAGUAUUUAAAACUUCUAGAAAAUAAAUUUCGUAAAUUUUUUAAAUCAUAAUAAAGUCCAUCAAGCAGGGAUAAAAUGAACGGUCAAAAUCGAACGACGUCCUAAAAAAAGGAUGAUCGGAUCCUUCAAUUCUAGAUCGGAGUUAUUGAACUUUAUCUAGGUAGUGAAUAGAAUUUUCUAUCAAAAAUUCAACAAAUUUCAAUUCAUUCACACCGUUAAACUAGCAAGAAUCCCAUAUUGACCAUUAAAAAUUAUCAAAAAUUUGUGACCUCUUUAUCUUAAGGUAAAUGAUGUCGGAAAAUUAUAAAAUUUGAUUUCUAGAAGUUUUAAAUGCUGUAAAUAACGUUUAACGGUAUGGAUCGUCGAUUCGAAAGCUCUAUCAUCGAAAAUGAUUUAUGAGUACGAGAGCGAUCGUACUCAUAAUAGUAUAGUAGCUGGACCCUAUAUAUAUUAUUAAUAUAUAUAUAUAUAUAAUAUAUACUAUUAUAGUUGAUGUGGGCUAACUAUUAGUAGUAAAAUUCGCAUUAUUAGUACCAUUUUUUAGCCGAUUGAUACCAACUCUUUUCAUGACUUUCUAACCAUUGGAUUUAAAUAGUAAUAAGCCCAGUGAGGACCACUCAACCCUAGGGGGAACCACACAAACUCUACUGACUAAUUCAUAUCCUAACACUACAAUUUUUCAUAACCAAGUUUAAAAACUGUGAUAGCAAAAUAAAAGCAUUUUACCUAUUAUAUAAUUGCUAGUUUCCAGUAAUUCUAUAUAUAUAUAUAUAUACGUAUAUAUAUAUAUAUAUAAUAUAUAUAUAUAUUAGCAUUCUAAAUUUUGAGUUGAUCUGAAAUGCUAACUGGUACAAACGGAUGUUCUUGUCAUUUAUUUGUUUUCUGAUGAUGGGCAUCCAAAUGAUGAUUGGCCAACGUGAACAUGAUUAUACCACUUGAAGCAUCUAAAAAUUAAUUUUCAUACUUUAUUGUAUUAUUUUUUUGUCUAUCAAGUGCAUAAAAAUAAACGGCAUGAAAAUAAAAUAUUCUUUAAAAGUGUGAUAAAAGAAUCUUGUAUCAAAGAUCGAGAAAUGUAGAUCUUCUUCUAAAUAGUUACAAAAUUUUCAAACAAAAUUCAAUUAAUUGAAUAUUUUUAAAACUAUUAAACGAAGAAAACGAUCUGAUAUCGACUAAUUAAAAAUUAUAAAUUCUGAAAUUUUUUGAUCAUUUAGGUAUAAUAUCGAAAAGAAUUAUAAAAUUUCAUUUCUAAAUACUUAAUGUAUAUAUUAUUUCAAUGAUACCGAUCGAUUGAUUUGGAGGUUCCAUUAGGCGAAAAAACAAAUUAAUAGUGGCAAUAUAAGUCGCGUUUACUAUCGAUAGCACUUCCAACUCAAAACUCCUAAUUCAUAUCAUAUUAUCAAACAAGGCGAAACAAUACCCCGCAUUGAAUGAGUGUACACGUGAUUAUGAAUCCAUGCAUACGGAUAGUAUAUAUCUGAUGCUCAAAACUGCUUUAUUUGAAUAACAAAGUCAUGCGAUAAUUUCGCGCAACAUAUGAGGUUUCCAUGAAUUUUGAUCGACGUCGCGUGUAAUUAGCAGUAAAAUAUUGGCGCUCAACCGGUUUGACAUAAUUAAAAAUUGGUGACGUGACAUGUCAGAUUUGCGGUAAAGCUAUAGUAGAUCUGACAUAAGUUUAUGGCUCAUCAUAUAUAAUAUAUAUUAAUAUAUAUAUGUUUGGACAAAGAUAUUUCAUCAGACCUGCAGUGUAUGUCUUGAAACGUCAGUUUUGUUUGUGUAAGAAAAAGACGAAUCUUUCCGCUUGUGUGUGGACUAUCGAAAUAUAUAUGAUAUAUAAUAUGAGAUGAGCUAUAAAGUUAUGUCAAUGACUAUUAGCUCUGCAAAAUUCUGACAUUCACAUAUACGCAAUUUUAAUUAAUCGAUUAAUAGGCAAUCGCAAUAAAAUUUAACGACAGAAACAUAAAAAGACAUGAUUAAAUUUCUAUUGCUGUUAAUUUUUUGUGGAGAAGGCCUUAAUUAAUUUCAUAAUAUAGAGUAGUUCAUAUACCUCAUCAUUUGUUAGUUUGUACUGUACAAAUUAAUUUGCAUGUGGCACAUAAAGUACUGGUACAUAAGUCUAUAACCGUACAAUUUGCGCGUCACAAUGCUAAAAUGCACAUACAUUAUUAAUUUUUUUUAAUAAAGAUCUUUAAAAGUAGUAUCUGUGGCAAUACUAAAAAUAUAUAAAUUGCGGCAUCUCCCUUGAUCAAGGUUUACUUUAUUGCACAAUAAUACCAUGAAAAUGUGAAAAAUUAACAGUAACAACAUAAAUAUAGUAUAGUUGUACUACAAGGACAAAAUUAAAACACCCAAAUUCACAUACAAACAUCACAUAAAUUUCAGGUUUACAUGAUCUUUAGUUUACACUGUAGAAAACAUAAUAAUAAUACAUUAAGACAGAAAAAAGAUGAAAACAUAAUACAUUUUAAUGACCACAAUGAGGGCACACUAAGCACAUCCCUUUCUCACAACACCAGUUAACAAUCCACACAAUAGCAAUAUAUAUAGAAUAGCAUACCCAUUAACAAUUUUUUUUUUUUUCAUUUUGUUUUUUUUUUUUUUUUGCUUUUUUUCUUUUGGAUGGCCACACCAACUCUUUGACAACAACUAACAAUCCACAUAACAGCAACACCCAUUAAUAAACAUUUUAUUUCCCCCAAUCUUCAGAAGCGAAAAAAAAAAGCCCAUCAUCAAUUACCUGCAGAAAAGAUGGUGAAGCAGACAUAGAAUUAGAACACUAAAAAGUGAGCACAAUGAGAAAUAAAUUGAUACGUAACGUUCAAAUACAUUAGAAUGAUACAAUUUGAAUUGCAAGAUCAUGAAUCUUAUCCUUUGAAUUUUGGAAUUCAUGGAAAAUUACUGCAAGAGAACUGAUAUAAAAUACUUAAUUUCUUACCACACUUUUGAAAAUGUAGGAAUUAAAGUAAGGGAAGUAAUGCAUCUGAACCAUGUUGAUUUAGGAUUAAGAUUCGAAAAUGACAACGAUUAGAGAAUAGUGCUGUAGGAUUGUAUCACAACACCUUCAAUAUAAACCCCAAUCCUAGAACCAAAUUACAUGCAAGCACUUAAUUACUGAUUCUACAUUUGAUGGCCCGAAAGAGAAAAUUUUGAAAGAGUAGCUUACAUAGAAGUGCAUGACGAGUACAGAAGCGAAUGCAUCCACAUACUAGUCGGUAGAUAGACGAGUGAUUAGAAAGUACUUCAAUCCAAAACUAGGUCAGUUGAUCAUUUUAAAUCCAAUCUCAGAACACACAGGCAAGGUGUAGAGAAGUUUGAAGUACUUCAAGAUUUUCGCUGAUUCAUCAAGAGACUGUGAUCAACUUUUGCACUAUUGAGGAGAAAAAAAGAAUAAAAAGAUUAGGAAUUCAAAGUUUGCCAAUUUGUAAGAACAGGAAGGCGAUACAUACCUCUUUUCUACAUUACAGAGCAUGUUCCGUAGUUGUCAUCUACAGGGAUGCCGCCAAGCAAACGCACUCCCGAAAUCGGGUCGGUGUUUACGGAUCCCUCCUCUAAAAGCGGGCAUUCGUGUAUUAGUAAACUCUUGAGUGACCCGGGCAAAUUCGCCACUGAUUGUAGCUUUGGGCAGUUCUGCAGAAUGAGAAAUUCUAGAGAGUGCAGUUCCUGCAAAUCCACCAAGGAUGAGAGGCCAGAACAAUGCUCGAUCCUCAAGGAGUGAAGAGAUUGGAGGUUGCGAAACUGUAACGAUGCCGUUUGCGUAUGACAUUGAGUAAUCGUAAGACGAGAUAGACGUGGCAAAUUUGCAUUGGCUAGGAUUUCAUCUGCGUCUGCACAAGACUCAAAAAGGAUAGACUGCAAGGAGGACGGCAGCACAGCAGUUUCAAUGUCCAGGCAGGGGCAUCCGAUUAGAAGGAGAUUUCCAAGACGGCGGAGGGAUCUUAUACCACCCAGCGAAGUGAGAGCCCAGCAGUCGCUCAGACGUAAAGUUUGGAGUGAUUUUAAGUUGGCAAGGACGUCCGCAGACGGUAGACGGGUUAUCAUUUUGAGAUCUGCUAACAACAGCUGCGUAAGGGAGGGGAGGUUUUGUAGGCAUACCGACAAUGCGUGGUCGGUCAUGUUGCAUCCCUCGAGCCGGAGCCUAGUAAUGGUAGAGGGCAAAAGCAAUUUGGCCUCAUUUUGUCUGUUGUAAAUUAAUUCCGUUUUUCGCUCAUGCGUCGCCAACCAUCUCCCCCACACAGCGGCAAUAUCCGCAUCGGCGGCAGGCACACUUUUGUUAUGCUCUCGGCCAUUCAUUGCGGCUAUGAAAUUCCUCAUUUCUCUUUCGUUGUGGACUAAGUCUUCUUUAUAUUGGUGUCGGAACCAUUCCUGCGUCCUGUUCCUCAUGACCUCUCCUAUGGAUCUCUUGUCAUCUUGGCUCAACUGCAGGUCUUCAUUUGUUACGAAGGUGAGAAAUGGUGCACGAAAUAUUGCGAUGUUUUGAAGCCUCGGAGGAAGGGUGUGUACUGCUUUAAGUAUAGUAAUAUGCCGAAGCUCAAGUGAUCUGCAAUAAGGGUAAAGCUGGUCCAUAGGUGGGAGCUCUUCAAGCAUUCCACACCUCCUCAGCGCAAGUUCUUGAAUAUUGCGUGUUUGAUAUUCAGGCCAAGACGGACAUGACUGUCCUCGGUACCCAUCUAACAUCAGGCUGGUAAGAUAGGGAGGCAAUUGGAGGCCCUCGAGAAUUUCAACAUCCAAAUUAGAAUUUACAUUGUCCUCACCAUCGCGCCAUGCCAACUGGAGCGUAUCAAGAUGCUUCUUUUCUUUCAAAUUGGCUGCAAUGGCACUCUCCUUGCUCUCAACAUUCUCAAGAUUAGCAAUACGCAAGCAUCCUCGAAGCUCAUUCAAGUUCUGUAGUUGCUCUAGCUCAUAUCCUUUUUCCUUUCUCACCGGAAAAUUUUCUAGGCCUUGCAAGGAAGUUAACUUGCGAAUGUCAGGUAUCGCCGAAAUUAUAUCAGAAUUUGCCUCUAGAUACCUCAAGCUAACCAAGUUAUUAAGACGUUUAGGAAGCGAGCUAGCGCUUUUUAUUCGCAGCACCUGUAACUGAUACAGAGUACACACCGACUCUGGCAACAUGAACUCUCUAGUACUUGAUACCUGUAGGAUGCGAAGGAGCUUCAUUUCACUUAUAAACUCUGCCAAAUUUUCUAGAUUUAACUCCAAAACCAGCACGCGCAAUUUUUUUAGGCUGAACUGUUUAAGCUGUUGGAGAUGUUGGUUACACCAUCUGCUUUUGACUUGAUGCCUUCCCCUCUUGUGACGAUUAGGGUGCGGAGUUUCUUUAGUUUGCAAAUUUCCUCCUUAUUCUCGUUCAGUUUGUUAGCCGGUAUGCACAGAUGGCGAAUAGUUGACGGGAUCUCGCUUUGACGAUCACCUUCUAUUCUAACACAAUAGUUGCGAGAAACCUUUUCUGCUAGAUCAUACAACAAUUCAUGCAACGUAUAGUAGCUGACAAACUUAUAUGCCCCAGAGGAGUAGCUGACUCUGUUAUGACGCUGAAUGUAGAAUCUGGACACCAACUCAUUUAGGUAAUUAAUGCCUACAUCCUCCAUCCUCUUUUUCUGAUCAUCCGGCUUGAUAAAACCUUGCGCCAUCCAGAGCUGGACCAGUUGUAAAGCUUCAAACGUGUGGCCUCUAGGAUACAGGCUACAGUAUGAGAAGCAACGCUGAAGAUGUGCAGGCAAAUGCCGAUAACCCCACAUCAUUGCUUUGGUUUUGUCGUCAGACCAGUCCUCUUCUGCAAUCCUUUCCAAAUAUGCAUGCAAAUUACCUUGUGAACGAAAGAGGCGAGCCAUCUCCGUAGCGAUCGUCUUGCCGACCAUCUCGGCGGCCGUAGGGUCCUUGUUCAACUUCUUAGCAACUGUCUUGCAUUUCUCUUCUAACUCUUCUCUUAAGUGAGAAAAGAUUUCCCCGCUAGGCAAUGCGUAGUGAAUGAAAAGAUCCGAAAAGUAAUUCUCUUCCAUAUCUUCCAACGGGACAAUGUGUUCUACAGCAGCACCAAUAGCAGCAGCAAUCUUUCUCGGCGCAUCGUCCGUCUGAGACGUAACUAAAAUCUUGCUCCCCGGCGAACAACAACAUUUGCUUAAGCAUCUUAGUGUUUUCCAAUUAUUCUCGUGGUCUUCUCCGUCGCACCAAACAUCAUCUAUCACAAGCAGGAACUUCUUCUCGUUUAGCUUUUCGUUUAUUUUCAGCUGUAGCGCUUCAAGCGAGCUAAGGUUACCAAGAUCUUCUUGAGGCUCGCUUGCAGUAGAAGCCCGUUGUAUGAUCUCUUUCAUAAUUUCGGAUGCGUUGGAAUUGCAAGAUGCGUAGACCCACAUGAUGGGAUCAAAAUGUUGUCUGUCACCUAGUUCGCUCCUCAACUGGUCACAAACGUACUGUGCAAGAGCAGUCUUCCCGACCCCCGGGCGACCAACUAUGGCAAUUAUAGGGAGGCCUGCUGCAGGUUCUAUCUCCAAACACCGAAUGAUUUCAUCACGAUCUUCGUCGCGGCCGAACACUCUCUGCGGAGGCACUGAGAUGGUCUGCCUGCUGUCUGCUGCCUCAGGCUGUGCGCCUAACAAAGUGCUGAGUUUCUCGGCUUCGCCGGCGAUCUUUUUCAGCUUCUUCAGCCUUCGCUUCAGCUUGAUUUUUUGAGGCGACAGCAUGUCCAGGCCGCCUUUUAUCACCCAUUUCACAGGUUUUGGUAUGUGAAAAAAGGAAGAAGAACGUACCGGAUUAUUACUUGGCCUCUUACCACUGCUCCUCCUCCUUGCGGCCGCCGCAGCCUUGCGUUUGAGGCGGUUGUAGUUGAGGAGGUCCAGCGCGUCCUCCGCACCGUCGUAAGCGUCUUUCAGCCUCUGCAGCCAGCCCUCCACCUCGCUCCGGUGCGGGCUGCCUUCCGCUUCCUCGAUCACCGAUUUCAGCACCGGCAGGACGGUGUCCCUCACCUUCCGCAGCUUCUUCUCCGCAUUGAUGCCUAAGCUGAGGUAGCCUUCGGCGAGCAGCUUCGCCACCAGCGGAGACGCCACCCAUCCCAGCGCUGCUAAUAUGAUCGGCACUUCUACUCCCGACAUUCUCGCGCCAGCAAGCUGAGAACAGAGAGCUGGGUACGUAGCUGCCGGCUGAGAAUUAACGGCAUCAGAGAAUAAUUUUAUUAUUAAUCCCUGCACUCUGGCGUUCGUUCAAUCUAGAGGCAUAAAAAUUACAACUUACUAAUCACGUACGUUUGUCUCUUUUUACAUGAGUAUAUUAUAAAGCAAUGCUAUUCAAUGAUGCCCUAUAAUAAUAUAAGCUCUCUAUGCUCUAAUAAAUAUACUCUUUUAAUUAAUUUUUGAGCUCUGGGGUCUAUAUUAAUUAGGGAUAACUUCAAAAAUCCCCCCUAUGAUUUCACCUUUUCUCGUUCCAGUAUCAUGUGGUUUAAAGUGUAUCAAUUUGCCCCCCUUGGUUUCGUUUUUCUCUUUUUUUAAUCAAUUUUAUUGUUUUUUUUUCCUUAAAUCGUUGACAAAAUUAAUAUUAAGAGGUACUAAAAUAAAUAUUCGAUAAAUCUAUAUAGGUAUCUGAAGUUUUUUGUAUAUAAUUUAACGAAAUAUUAAGAAAAAAAGCUGUCGAAAAGAUAAAAAUAAAAUUACAGGAGGGCAUAUUGAUACACUUUAAACUACAGGGUACUAAAGUAAGAAAGUGUGAAACUACAGUGUGGGUUUUUGAAGUUUUUCCUAUUAAUUAUACACAUUCCCAUCCAAAGUCUUUUGUCUUGUCAACUUUUAUUAAAUAAAGAAAUUAAAAGUUUAAACAAUUUUAUCAAUAUUGGAAGGAUAGAAUGUAAAUCAUGCAAACUUUUGUUUCAAGUGUACAUCUAUCUAGGGGUGUAAAUUUUAAUUACAAUCCACCAGUAUAAGGAUCGCAAUAAUUUUUUUUAAAUUUUUAGUAUUAAAAAAAAGAAUUGCGAUAAGACUAGUAAUUAGUGCUAUAUAUAAAACUGACUCUUGCAUUCAUUGCUUGUACAUGAAACAAACAUAUAGGGCAUCUAUCUAUUCACAUGGUCAAGAAGAGAUGCAACUUGGCAUUGUUUAUAAUCUAUUCAACUACUGAAAAAUAAUAAUGAUAUAUAUAAGGGCAAAUUGCAUGUUUGUCUUCAAACUAUGAGACACGUAAUAUUUUAGCCGUCUAGUAUAUAGUUGAUAUAAAAGUGACAUAACGUCGUAAUUAUUGGUACAUCAUUAAUCGCAAAUACUACUACAUCACUUAUCCAUUAAUAAUGCAUCGAUAUUCAGUCAACUAAAAUUAAAUUGUAACAUUUGAUUGUACUGACUCUGAAAGUUCAAAUAAAAAAUUAUAAUGAAUUAAAGUUUGAGAAUCAUAGUAUCAUCCGACUUAUAGUCUGGGGACAAAACGUGUAAUUUACCCCUAAUAAUAAUAAUAAUUGACUCAGCUAGGCCCUCGCCAUUAUCGAUGCUUAUAUAUAGUUUAUACUGACUUGAGUCCGUGCUGGGUUUUUUUUUUUCUAGAAAAAAAAUUAGUAUGUUACAUAUUUUAUUUAUUUUAUUUAGAAAUAAAUUUAACUAAAAAUAUAAAUUAAUUAAGUUUCGAACUUGAGACCUCGGAUACCAACCAUCAAGUGCUUUGCUAUUUAUACUAGAGACAAUUGAUUGCCAAGGAUUAUUAUUAAGCAAUCCUAUCUUAUAAUAUAGGCUUUCUUAUGGUUAGAAAUAACGCUCUUAAUAUUAUUAUUAGUUAUUAUUAUUAUUACUUUAUUUAUUCUAUUAUUUAUUAAUAUUGUAUUGAAAUUAGGAAUAUCAUUUCCUUAUCGCGAGAAAAAGUGGCAUUUAUUAUUUUUAACUAAAAUUUUUAAUUAUUCUUUAUUUAGCAAUACUAUCUAUAUACCUCAAAAAAUGGUGCACAGUAUACAGACCACAACUCCCGGAAGCCUUUUGCCUCUGUCAAUCUUUUUAAAAAUAUAUAUUGAAUAACAAAGGAUAAUUAGGAAAAAUUCUUUUUUUUUUUUUCUGAUUUUGAUAAAUUGAAUAAAAAAUCGUUUUAUGUAAGGAGGUUAAGCUAAUUAUAUAUAUAUGGUGAAUCAUGAAUGGUAAGAAAACUAAUAUAGUAUAUAAUAAUAUAAGAAAUGUCUAAUAUCCUAUGAAAUAUUUAUAUAAAGUAACAUAUAUAUUACAAUUUUAAAAUUUUUUGUAAAUAUAUAUAUUAGAAUGAUCGGAUAUAAAUUAUAUAUUUUUAUUUGGGGUGUAUAUCUAGCUAUCUGCGUACCAAAAGAGAGGAAUUAAUGUAUAUUUUAAUUAAUUACGGCUUACCCAUCUAAAGAUUGAAGUAAACAUAGGAGGCAUCCAUCGGCAAGCCAAGAAGAGAUGCAUUAGUACAGUACUCUAGUAUAAGAAUAGCAAUGAGCAAAUAAAAAUAUAGAUAACUGUUGUAAAUAGAAAUGUUAUAAUUAUAACAUAGAUAUUGUUGGAUGUUUCUCCAUAUUUAAUUACCGAAUUCGAUUUUGUACCCUUAUUCGUCAGAAUUUUUACGAUACGUAUAACGAUCCGAUCCGCGAGCAAUAAUAAUUUGUUGGGCUCAAAUCACGGGCCAAAAUAUUUGAAGCCUAAUUAUUAUUAUUAGCAUGCGAGGUCUCAGAUAUUCUAAUUAAAAUUAAUUUUCUAUCGACGUUAUAGACUCUCCUUUUUAAGACCCUCACAUUUUCCUCAUGUCCAAACCCAAUAAAAAUUUUCUUCAUGUCCAAACCCAAUAAAAAAUUAUCAGGUGAUACGAGAUUUUAGAGGUGACUCCUAUGAAUUCAAGCGGUGGCUCCUAUCAAACCCAUUAGUAUAUCGCCUUUUAAGAUCCUGAUGUUCUCCUCAGAUCCAAACCCAAUAAAAAAUUAUUAGGCAAUGUGAGAUUCUAAAUGUGGCUUCUAUAGAUUCAAGAGGUGACUCUCACUAAAUCUAUUAGUGUAGCACUUUAUUUGGCAUAGCACUUAGCUCUCAUUUUUUCUCAAAAAAAAAAAAUUCACUUAGCUCUCAUACGUUCGACUGGUAUACGGUUCUGAUACCAAUUAUAAUAACUCAAUCUGCUAUUAAUAAUAACUCGUUGGGUCUCAGCUAGCGGCCCAAAAUAUUUAAGCUCAGUUAUUAUUAUUAAUGUGCAAAACUUUAUAUAUAUAUAUAUAUAUAUAUAUAUAUAUAUAUAUAUAUAUAUAUAUAUAUAUAUAUAUAUCCUGAACUUUUUGCGAAGUUUCACUUUACCCCUCGAANUCCCCUGAACUUUUUGCGAAGUUUCACUUUACCCCUCGAAUUCCUAAAAUGGACAUUUAACCCUCUAAACUUUAAUAUUUCAUUCAUGUUACCCCUUCCGUCAGUUUUCCGUCAAGCUCCGUUAAUCGGAAUCUGACGGAAAGGGUUAAACGAAUGAAAUAUUAGAGUUUAGGGUAUUAAAUGUCUAUUUUAGGAGUUUGGGGGGUUAAGUGAAACUCGCCAAAAGUUCAGGAGAUAGCAGUGCAAUUUACCCUGUAGCACUCUUGACUAUAAAUUAUUUUAUUAUAAUAUGUUACUUAUGAAUUGACUACUAACUUUCAAGUUAAUGAUCAUGCUUGAUUUUGAAUUUAUAUAUAUAUUUUAUCCUAAAAUAAAUUAUACCAUAAUUUAUCCUAUAUUUUAUUGUAAUAAAAUAAAAUCGAAAAAAUAAAUUAGUAUGACUUAAAGAUAAGAAAAGAGCGAUACUAACUACCUACGAUGCUCGAACACUUUACUGUCCUGGUGUACUCGCUAAUAUAAUUGAUUUAUAAUAGAUGUCCUCACUAGGAUAUAGAGAUUUUAAUUCUCAGUUAAUUUUCUGUAAUACUCGUUUGUCCCUUUUAUCUUUAGAAGUAUUGUUAUAGAAAAAUCACUUAUUUUUUAUGAAACUAUGCAAUGUAAUUUUAUUGGAGGCUAAAAUAAAAUUUUUGUACUUAAUUUCAGCCAAUUAAAAAUUUUUAACAUAAAAAUAUAAAAUAAUAUUUUAUUAGAAAAUACACUUAUUUUUUAUGAAACUAUGCAAUAUAAUUGUAUUGUAACCGAAAAUAAAAUUUUUGUAUUUCAUUUCAGCCAAUUAAAAAUUUUUAAUAUAAAAAUAUAAAAUAAUAUUUUAUAAUAUUUUAGAACAAUACUUCUAAAGAUAAAAGGGACAAUCGAGUACUAUAGAAAAUUACUGAGAAUUAAAAUUUCUAUAUCCGAAUGAGGUCACCUCUUAUAAAUCAACCAUAUUAGCGAGUACACUAGAACAGUAGAGUGUUCGAGUAUCGUAGGUAGUUAGAAUCGCUCUUUUCUUAUCUUUAAGCCACUUUAAUUUAUUUUUUUCAAUUUUAUUUUAUUACAAUAAAAUAUAGGAUAAAUUAUUGUAUGAUUUAUUUUAGGAUAAAAAAUAUAUAUAAAUUCAAAAUCAAGUAUGAUCAUUAACUUGAGAGCUAGUAGUCAAUCCAUAAGUUUGCGAGUUUCACUUAACCCCCCAAACUCGUAAAAUAGACAUUUAACACCCUAAACUCUAAUAUUUCAUUCGUUUUCUCUUCCGUCAGUUUUCAUUAACGGAGCUUGACGAAAAACUGACGAAAAAAGUAACAUGAAUAAAAUAUUAAAAUUUAGAGGGUUAGAUGUCUAUUUUAAGAGUUCGAGAGGUAAAGUAAAACUUCACCAAAAGUUUAGAAAAUAAUAAUACAAUUUNNNCUCGAUCUCGACUACUUAAAUUUGUAAUGUAUAGUUAUACAAAGGGUGUGUAUCUCUCUCCUCUAAUGGUCUCGGAGGACGCAAAGUAUCGGCUAAGAUAUGGACUUACCGAAAAGAGGUUGAAGGCGCUGUGAUACUUCAUGAAAUCGUCGGUGUUAGUCAAAAAUGCCCUAAAUGAGGGUACAAAGGGGUACGAUUUUUAUGUAACAAUUUUUUUCUCCUAUAAUUUUUUUUUUUAUCUUUCGUUAUUUUUUAUUAAAUUAUAAUUUUAUUCUAAAUAUUUUAAAAUAUUUUUUAUAUUAUUAAAUUUAAUCAAAUAUGAUUAUAUCCGCCGCAUCGCACAGGUUGCUACACUAAUCAUUAAUUAUAAAUACUACUAAAUUAUUUUUGCAUUAAUAAUGCAUCAAUAUUUAGUUAAUCAGAAUUUGAUUAUAUGAUUGGCGUAAUUAAUUAUAAAAUUCUAAAAGUUCAAGCCAAAAAUGACAACCAAUUAAAAUUUGAGGAUCACAAUAUCACACGAUUCAUAGUUUGAGAACCAAACAUGCAACUUACCUUAAUAUCAAUACAAAUAAUGAAAGUUGAGUAUGUACGGCGCCCUCCCCGCGUUUCGCGGGGGCUUCUGCGCUCGCGAGGAAGAGAGAAAGAGAGAGAGAGAGAGGAGAGAGAGAGCAGACAAAGAGAGAGAGGGAGAGAGAGGGAGAGAGAGCAGACAGAGAGAGAGAGGGAGAGAGAGAGCAGACAGAGAGAGAGAGAGAGAGAGAUAGAGAGAGCAGAUAGAGAGAGAGAGAGGUAGAGAGAGAAGGGGGGACACGGGGGCCCCAAGGGCCCGCGUGUAGAGAGAGAGGGGGGACACGGCGGGCCCAGGGUACCCGACCCGCGCCCCCCGCGCGCGGGGGCGCGCGGGANNNNNNNNNNNNNNNNNNNNNNNNNNNNNNNNNNNNNNNNNNNNNNNNNNNNNNNNNNNNNNNNNNNNNNNNNNNNNNNNNNNNNNNNNNNNNNNNNNNNNNNNNNNNNNNNNNNNNNNNNNNNNNNNNNNNNNNNNNNNNNNNNNNNNNNNNNNNNNNNNNNNNNNNNNNNNNNNNNNNNNNNNNNNNNNNNNNNNNNNNNNNNNNNNNNNNNNNNNNNNNNNNNNNNNNNNNNNNNNNNNNNNNNNNNNNNNNNNNNNNNNNNNNNNNNNNNNNNNNNNNNNNNNNNNNNNNNNNNNNNNNNNNNNNNNNNNNNNNNNNNNNNNNNNNNNNNNNNNNNNNNNNNNNNNNNNNNNNNNNNAAGCAUAUGUUUUCAUUUGAUAUGAGAUUAUUGAGGUAUUACAGUUUAUUAAAUUUUAAAAAAUAAUUUAUAAAGGCAAAAAAAUAAAAGAAGUAUGUAUUGAAAGGGGAGGGCUCCACUCCCGUGGUGUGGAUCAGAUAAGAAGUGCAUAAAGAAUCCAAAAAACACUCCAUUUACUGCUAAAUCAAGGCUAAAAAUUUUUAAAAAAAUGUUAUUUAAUUUAACCACAUAUACGGGCGCUCACCAAGAUAGAUGGAUAGCAACGGUGGGAUUCGAAUCGGUAGGCACUCAGCAACGUCGACAGCAACAGCGCGGUCAGAAGCGACGGGAUUUUGGAAACGACGACGCCAACUGCACGGUCGGAAGCCGGCAUACACGUACUCCACCGGUGGACGGCAACAGCACGGCUGGAAGCGGUGGGAUGAAAUGGAAGAUGAACGUGGAUGCUGACGGUGGGGUAGAAGCCGGCUGCACUCUAUGGAUGGAAUAGAAGAUGAACGUGGAUGCUAACGGUAGUGUUGGCAUUGUUUAUAAUCUAUUCAACUACCGAAAAAAAUAAUAAUGAUAUAAGGACAAAUUACACGUUUAAUCCUCAAACGCACUGUUGAUGUAAAAGUAAGACAACGUCGUUAUUAGUGGCAUAUUUAUACCUAUAUAUUAUUUUUCUUAGCCUCCGUUUGGUUCGGGGUUAAGAAAAAAGUAGUUAUUUCAGAGAUAGAGUUAAGUUCAGAGUUAAAGUGGGGUUAAAGAUUUUUUUGUGUUUGGUUGGGGGUUGGAGUUAGUCUAGAAUAAUGAAAAAUAGUGUUUGGUUGGAGUAAGUGGGAUAAGAAAAUAAUGAUUGAUAAAGAAGGAUAAUGAUUGAUUGGAAUAGGUGGGAUAAGAAAGAUAGUGAGUUAUUAUGAAUAAAAAACAGUGUUUGGUUGGAGUUUGGUAGGGUUAGAUGGGAUUAGCUAACCCGGGAUAAUUUAUUUAAGAUGGGAUUAGCUAACCCCAUCCAUUUUUUAGGAUGUUUGGGUAUAAUAUGGGGGUUAAGGGGUUAUUCCACCCCUUAACCCCCAACCAAACAAGGGCUUAGAGUUUGCCUCGUGGCAAUUCCUCCUUCACCUCUCCUUUUCACUCUAAAAUUUAUACUCUCCAAUCAUUGCUUCCCUAUAACGUCUGCCUCUUCGGCUUUCCAUCUUAUUAAUUUCUUUUUCCGUCUUAUUAAUUCCUUUUUUAACGUAUGUCUUUUCGGCUUCCCAUCUCAUUAAUUCCUUCUCUGUAACGUCACUGCUUCGACUUCCUCCUUAUUAGUUUCUAUUUUCUAAGAGGCGUUGCCCGAGAAGUUCAUGGGCACGGAAUAUGACGUCCUCGACAACGACCUCGUCUACUACGUCCGAUCCAACCUCAAGCCCCGCAGAUGCAUCGCCCUUGCUCUCGCCGUCAACGUCGAGUGAGUCGAACGAACUCUAACCCUAAUCUCGAACCUUCCUCUCUCGAUCUCGACUACUUAAAUUUGUAAUGUAUAGUUAUACAAAGGGUGUGUAUCUCUCUCCUCUAAUGGUCUCGGAGGACGCAAAGUAUCGGCUAAGAUAUGGACUUACCGAAAAGAGGUUGAAGGCGCUGUGAUACUUCAUGAAAUCGUCGGUGUUAGUCAAAAAUGCCCUAAAUGAGGGUACAAAGGGGUACGAUUUUUAUGUAACAAUUUUUUUCUCCUAUAAUUUUUUUUUUUAUCUUUCGUUGUUUUUUAUUGAAUUAUAAUUUUAUUCUAAAUAUUUUAAAAUAUUUUUUAUAUUAUUAAAUUUAAUCAAAUAUGAUCAAAUAUGAUUAUAUCCGCCGCAUCGCACAGGUUGCUACACUAAUCAUUAAUUAUAAAUACUACCAAAUUAUUUUUGCAUUAAUAAUGCAUCAAUAUUUAGUUAAUCAGAAUUUGAUUAUAUGAUCGGCUUAAUUAAUUAUAAAAUUCUAAAAGUUCAAGCUAAAAAUAACAACCAAUUAAAAUUUGAGGGUCACAAUAUCACACGAUUCAUAGUUUGAGAACCAAACAUGCAACUUACCUUAAUAAUAAUAAUGAUUGACUCACCUAGGCCCGGAUCGUCUGUAUCUGCGCGCAUAUAUACAAUCUUUUAUUAUAAUUAGGUAAUAUGAAAUGGUACGAGUCGACAAUAAUACCAAUACUAAUCUAUACUAUCUGAUAGGCUUCACUCAACAAACAGUGACAACAAAUACUAUCUUUUCUAAUGAAAUUUUUUUUGCAAAUGGCUAUAUGAAAAAAUUUUAUUUUAAAACUAGCCCCAAUAAAUUUAUAAUUAUAAAAAUGUCCCUACUUCUGCUACGCAGUCGCCACGCAAGUGCCACGUGGGAGGGCUGGAAGCCUGCUUGGUAAGUUGAGCACGGCGAAUUAUUCACCGUGUUUCAUAUUUAUAUUCCGUCAAACACGGUGAAUGAUUUACCGUAUUCCGUACUUAUAUUUUUCCUAUCAGGGAUGUCAACAGGUCGGGUUUGGAUUAGGUUUUCAAAAAUCCGAACCUGAACCCGAAAAUCAAAUUAAAACCCAAAACCGGAUCCGAACCCGGCGGGUUUUAAAAAUCCAUACCCAUAUCUAUACCCGACCAAAAAUUUAAAAUCCGAACCCGGACCCGAACCCGGCGGGUUUUAAAAAUCCAUACCGUUGAACGAAGAUCUAAGUGAUAAAAAUUAUUAAAUAUUUUAUAUAUUGUAUAAAUAAAUAAAAAUAAAUUAUGUAUAUAAAUAAUUUAUUCGGAUUUGGGUUCGGAUAAUAUUUCGGGUAUCCAUACCCAUUGACAUCCCUACUCCAUAUUCCUCUUUUAAAUAUUUAUAUUGCGAAAAAUACAUAUAUUUGUAUUUUUUUUAAACACGGUAAACCAAAAGCGCAAAUAUAAAUUUGCUGGGGCUAUUUUUAAAAUAAAUUUUUGCUAGGGGGCUAGAUGAAAAAAAGCCCUUUCUAAUGUGUUUGGUUAAUAGGUUCGAAUCCAACCAGAAAAACUUUGUAUAUUAUGUGUGUUCAUAUGUGUUAUCUAAUCUGCCUCACCCACCGUCCCUAACGUAAGUGGCAAAGAAUUUGAUGGUUGGUAUCCGAGGUCCCAAGUUCAAAUCCUAAUUUAUUCACAUUUUCAGGUAAGUUUAUUUUUAAAUGAAAUAAAAAAAAACUGAUAGCAUACUAUCUAUCUCUCUCUAAAAAAACAUUCUAAUCUUUAUCAAAUAAAAUCCGCAUGUAUGAAUGUAUCGAUCCCAUGAAUUAGCUUGGGUAAUAUUAUAACGAGGCAUGAAACAAAAAAAAGAAGGGAAAACAAAAAAUCAUAUCUUAUUCACGUAUGUCUUUUUGUAACAUUUUAGUAUAUUAUCAAGCAAAUGUUACCUAUACCCAAUAAUGUAGGCUUUCUUUCUACCGCGCAUCUAAAUAAAUAAUACUCACAUAUUUUAUUAUUAUUAUUUUUUAAUUAAAAAUUUGAAGUUUUUUUUUUUUUUUUNCGAAAGAAUUUUUAUAAAAUUUUAGUAUUAAAAAAAAUAAAAUUGUGAUAAAACUAGUGCGAUUAAAUUGAUCCAACCCUUGGAUGCAUUGCUCUUACAUGAGACAAACAUAGGAGGCAUCUAUUAGCAUGGACAAGAAGAGUUGCAACUUGCCAUUGUUUAGAACCUACUCAUGCAACUUGCCAUGCAUUGUUUAUAAUCGACUCAACUACUGUAAAAUAAUAAUGAUAUAUUAAGGGAAAAUUACGCGGUCCUCAAACUAUGAGGCAUUUGACGCUUUGGUCCUCGAAUUGUACAUAUAGUUGAUAUAAAAGUAAUAUAUAUAACGGCAUAAUUAUUGGCGCAUCAUUAAUCGUAAUACUGCUAUAUAUAUUACUUCUAUAUUAACAAUAUGUCAAUAUUUAGUCAACUAAAUUGAAUUAUAAAUAAAGAAAAUGCAUUUUGAGUACAUGUAGCACUAGACAAGCUAACGAGAGGAUUCAAUUAUAAUAGUUUUAAAAGUUCGAGUCAAAAAUUAUAACAAAUCAGAGUUUGAUGACCAAAACGUCACUCGACUCAUAGUUUGAGAACCAAACGUGCUAUUUACCCUGAUAAUAAUAUAAUAUAUAAUAAUUGACACAAUUAGGCCCUUGCCCUUAUCUCUCUCUCUCUCUCUCUCUCUCUCUCUCUCUCUCUCUCUCUCUAUAUAUAUAUAUAUAUAAAAUCUUUUCUUAUAAUUAAGAUAUAAAAUGUACUGGCACAAGUCGACAAAUAAUACCAAUAUACUAAUCUAUACUUUCUUAUUGACUUCGAGUCAGUGAACAUUGACGACAAAUACUACCUUCUCUAGAUAGCAACUCUCUAGAACUUGUUCUGAAACCCUGCUGGGUUAAAGCUUCUACUAAAUAUUGUUAGCGACCCAAAAUGUGUUUUGUUAAUGGGAUCGAAUCCAACCAAAAAUUAAGUUCAAGUUAAUAGUUGGAGAAACUUCUUUUAUUAUGUAUAUAUAUGUUAGCAUCCCGUAGCAAACUGAUUUUGUUGCCAUCUAUUUAUUUUCGAUGAUGGAGCCUCCAAAUUGACGAUUGAUACUGUUGAAUAUGAUCUAUCCCACUUGAAGUUUUAAAAACUAAAUUUCAUACUUUUUCAAUAUUGUUCUUUUGUCUAUCAAGUGGAUAUAAAAAUAAAUGGUUGAAAAUGAAUAUCUUUUAAAAAAUGAUGGUAGGAAUCUUAUAAUCAAGAUCGAAAAUAUAAAUCUUGUUUUAAAUAGUUUAAAAAAUUAUCAAAUCAAAAUUCAAUUGAUUUGAAUAAUUUUACAAAGUGAAAUGAGAAAAUGCCUCAUAUCGACCAUUAAAAUUACAAAUUCUUAAACCAUUUGAUCAUUAGGUCAAUGAUGUCGAAAAGAUUUAAAAUUUGAUUUUUAGAUACUUCAACUGGUAUAUAUCAUAUUCAAUAAUGCCGAUCGUCGAUUUGGAGACUCUAUUGUCAAAAAUAAAUUGAUCGCAAUAGAGCCCGUUUGCUGUCGAUAGCAUUCCAGCUCAACUCUCUAAUUCGUAUCUAUUAUCAAACAAGCUUUAAACAGAAUCCACAUGAAUGAGUCUACCAGGUGAAUGUUAUAAGUCCAUGCAAACGGGUAAUUUACAUCUCAGUCUCAAACAGCUUUAGUUUGAGACAAGUCUCAUAUAAUUUUCGUGUUGAGUUACCUUCAUUAUAACUUUUGCUCAUGAUUUGUGCGAAAUGUAUCAUUCACUCGCAACAUAUGAGGUUCAUUGAAUCUGAUCAUAUCGCAUGUAUGGAUAAAAUAUUGGUCUCAAACCGAUUUGACAUAAUUAAAAUUAGUAUAUGUGACAUGUCAGAAUUUUGCAGAAGCUAAUAGCUCAUCAUAUAUAGAUAUAGAUAGGUAUGGAUAAAUGUGUAUUAAUUAAUCAGAGGUUAUUCGGGGAUUAAAAUAAUUAAGGAGAUUAGUAAGAGUAAUAGUAAUAGUAGAAUGGGAUAGAGUAUAGCUCUUAAAAAUUGGGCCUUGGGCCAAAUUUUUAGAUUAUGUAUUCCAAUAUAUGUCUAUUUUUUAAUAUAUUGCUUGUGACAAUUUAAUUUUUUAUUUAGUAAUUUGUUUCAACAUUUUGCCCUCGGAAAAAGAGCAUGACUCAUAGGUGAAAAAUAUUAACUUACUGGUUUAGGUCUCAGUAGAUGUCAAAUAUUAUAUGAAAUUAAAAAUAAAUUAAAAGUUUAUCUCAAACUGCAAUGAUUAAUAUAUGCUCAUACCCACUUUUUUUUUUUUUUUUUUUCAUGGAAUCUACUUCAGCUCAACUGUUCUUGUGAUUCUUAUCUUCUGCUAAUUUUAGUUUAUUCUCCACUGGAAGUGAUUAUUUGGUAGGUUUAGCACAAUAAUAGAUGUACAAACUCUCCUUGUAAUAUAUAACAAGAAAUUUCUAAAUUUCUUUUGAUAGAUAAAUUCAAUGAACCUAUUUACUAUCCAUAGUUUGAAGAUAAUCACAUUCAACAAAUCUCAUAUAAAUGUUAGGGUGAAUGAUGCAUUCUAAACCCACUCGUAUCAUUUUAAGCAUUACCUGUAACGCCCCAAUAAUUCCAUAUCAGAUGAAAAGAAAAAAAAUUUUGAUUAGGAAUAUAUAAUUCCACGCAUUCUACGCAUCCUAGUAGCUUAAUUAUUUUGAACAGGUCAUAUAUAACAAGAAAUUUCUAAAUUUCUAUUGAUAGAUAAAUUCAAAGCGAGGUAAGCAACAGCAAUUAAAAAGGGAAUAAAGUGGUGAAUUAGAACUUCCCAUUGUUUGAACAUGGCAUAUAUUAUUUUUCUUUAUUUUCAAUCCAAAUAAGACAAAUAAGUAGUUGACUAUAACACUUAACUGUCUAACUUUUCAAAGUUUUUUCCUUUAAGAAAACCCUAACCGUUCAAUAUUCUAGAAAAGAAGAAUAAGUAACAAAGCUGAGAUCAUACUAUACCAACUACUAACUAAGCUUUUCAACUACUAAUGAUCUUAUCAACACCAUGCCCCAUAGAUUGCAAACAUAUUUACUUGUGUGGCUAGGAUUUGAUAAAAAGUUAAUUACCUCACACCAAACAUGCGACGAAAAUUUCAUUUAGAUCACCAAACUAUAAUUUUGGUUUCAAUUGUAUAAUUGCUUUAAUUCCGAUUAAUCCUUCUGAUAAAUUAAUGAUAUGAUAGUUGAUUUAACUACUAAGAAAUAACAUGAUAAUAACUGUUGGCCAUUCAGCUGCUAUAACAUCUUAAAAUUAUCACCUCAAGAAUGCAGUAUGAUAAAUGUAUUAACAGUCAGAUUCAGUAUAAGAGAUAAAUUAGUAAUCAUAUCAUCUCUAAAAGAUAAUGUGAUAAAAAUUAAAGAGUGCUGCUAUAGGUAUUGUAAACUUAUUAUCCUAAACCUUAAACACCGUGAUUAAAUUCUAAAUCCUUAACCCUAUAUCUUUCGUACAUGGAUGCCAAGACGUCAACAAUACAGUGGAUUGCAGGUAUGGAGAGCCCAAAACUAACGACUUAAGACACUAGUACUAUGUUACUUGCAUUAUUGUAGAAACCACAAAGUGACAAAUGACACAAGUCUAUGAAGAAGUUUUACUACAACAUGUUUUUAAAAGGAGGAGGUGAACAACCCCAAGGGAUUCCAUCAACAACUUUUUGCCUUGGUCUAUGACAUAAUGUGAGUGAUUAUUGAUUCAUAAGCAUCACUUUUGCUCUCUACUUUUGAGGAAAGGGGAAAAAAAAAGAGAAAAAGCUCAACUGAUCCAUGGUGAAGAGGACUGUGCUUAAGGUUGAUACCUCUUGUCCAAAGUGCAAGCAGAAGAUCAUGCAAGCUGUUUCAGCUCUAGAAGGUAUAAGAAGCUUCAAUACAAAAGCUCCUACUUGUACAAUACAUACUUAUUCAUGCUACUCUACUUUGUUCUAACUCGAAAGAGAAAUAUUGUUCUCUUUUUUUCUUGUAUUCUUGGCUUAGGUGUUGAUAAAAUCGAGAUGGAUAGCGCGAAAAGCACACUUACAGUCACUGGGAACGUCGACCCGAUCGACGUGAUCGUUCGGACAAGGAAGGUAGGAAGAUAUGCAGAAGUUAUAAGCGUUGGACCGCCGCCAAAGCCUGACGAGAAGAAACCUGAUGAAAAGAAGCCGGAUGCGAAGAAGCCCGACCUGCCACCGCCGGUGUUUAUCCCCGUUCCGUCGUGCUCGGUGUGCCAGCGGACGAUCGUUGUCGACGAGUAUUGCCAUACACCUUGCUCCAUACUGUGACUUGUGCACAUCUUCAUAGGUCAUAUUAUGGAUGUAUAGAUUGUUUCAAACUUGGUCUCAAAUUCAUUUCUACCAAUACUGUUGUUGAAAUUGCUUUACUACAACAUUGAAUAAUGAACUAGUAGCUUAGCAAGAGUACUGCUGACUCUGGGGGGUUGUUUAGUCAUUUACUAGGAACAGAAUCUCUGUUUUGAAGAAAAAAAAAUUAGUAUCUCUUGAAUACUGAGAUUUGAAAUCUUAAAUUUUGUUCUUUUCAAAAAAACAUGUUAUUUGCACAACUUUUCUAUGAGAUUUCAACUGAUUUCAAAUGAUUCUAUAGAUUUUGCAUUGCAUAACCAAGUACCAAGAUUUGAAUUUAGGUUUGGUGGAAAUUCAUUUGCAAUUAACAAGAACAUUUAUAACUUCUUUUUUUGCUCAUUUAUUUUUAAAAAUAUUUAACAAGAUCAAGAAAAAUUUAGACAUCUUCACAUCAAUUUCUCAGUAGCCAUAAAUUUUACAUGCUACUUUGAUCUACAUCUCACAUCUACUAUUCUCUUCUCAAGAUAAAAUCCUACAAAAUUGUUCACCUCUGAUUAGUUAAUAAUGUGGAUGAUGAGGACUUUACUUCUCAAUAAACUAUAAUAAGCUCAAUAUAUAUUAAUAGAAAGUGGCAUGUUUUGCAUUGUCUAGUUCUACUAGUUUGUUGGUUCUUUUCUACUAAGCGCACCCUACCUCUUCUUUAAUGCUCACUACUACAGGUUUUGUAAACGGACCACUUAAUACUUGGCAAUUGCUUGUUUCUAUCACAUGCAAAUGCAGCCUACAGUUUCAGAAUGUAUACUUGCAUGGAAUAAACCAAAAACAGUAUGUCAGAUUUCCCUACAGAGAUCAAGUGCAAUAAAAAUGCAAAGAAUAGAGAGAUGCCUGCUAAUAAACUAUUGGAGCUAGAAAGCUACUUAAACAAUGCAUAGAACAGUUUACAGAGGGCAGUGUUAACAAGAUACUUGGCAACAAUAGUUUCAGAGAUUGGUUUAGACCAGAAAGUUAAAGGGGCAUCUAAACAUCGAAGAGCAGAUGUUCUAAUGCCCUACUUCUGGCUCCAGUAUGAAGCCAACAGACUAUUAUUUCAAUAUAACAUUUGCUGAGACUGCCAGAAAGCUAUUUGUAAUAAUAAUUCUACAUAAGCUGCAAAAGACAAGAAUUAAAACUAUAAUUACAAAAUCCUCGAUUACCUUUUUGUUUUUUCUCCUGAAAAGAUUACAAAUUGUACACGAGAGUUCUGCUGUCUGAGUGUAUUUAUUAAUUUAUAAUUGUGGACCAAAACAUCAUAAAACUUAUGGAUAACCUAUAAAUGGAUCAACUAAUGUAAGUACUUCAUACAUUACACAUUACCAAAUCUAAUUUAAGUACUUCAUAUGUUUCUUCAUACGUUGAAGUUAAUGCAAGUAAAAAUGCUACAUAAAACUUUCAGGAUAUUUUAUAUUUUAAGUGCUGCAUAUUUCUAUUCUACAAGCUAAGCAAUCGACAAAUUUUCCUGAACUCUUGAACUGUCAACCUGGUUAAAUACUUAAAACUUAACCUAAAUGCCAAUCUUCUGACCAAGCUUGAAACGGACAUUAUCAUCCAACUUAUCAGCAGGAAGUAGAAUAAAUAGCUGUAAACAAUUUUUCAAUUGUAUUUAAAAGAAACGUCAAUAGCUGAAAACAGCAAAGAUAUAGGUUGCAGUUAUACCACCCUAGUAAUGUAUAAGUCAAUGAAUAUAUUAUGCAAGUCCAGGCUCAACAUAAAAUAAAAGAACCCAGAAUUUCAUCCAUUUCAGAUUUCAAUGUGAAACCAAAGGAAGACAACACGACAAAGACACACUCAAUUCACCUUUCAACAUCAUCUUUAGUUUCUUAUUCUCAAGCCCCCACCACAUCAGGUAGUAGCUGUACCUGAUGCACAGGAAAAAAAAAAAAACCUUUGUAAGUAAAUACUUGCUUCAAUCAUAGAAACUAUUUGCAGUACAAUAGUAUUAUAAAAAUCAGAAGGAAAAAAUACAGAAGUUUACCUCCACAAAGUUUGAACUUAGAACGAUGACUGUAGGUCAAAGAACUAAAAUAGCUUGAGGCUCUACACUGCCAUUUUCAUUUCUAUCUUGUGGUGAGGAUCAUACCCAAUAAGCUUAAAAUCAGAUGCCACAAAGGAAUCUAUAUCAUUCUUCAAAGGAUUGAUCUUCAAGAUCUGCAUUACAAAAUCAAGGAUAAAAUUUUGUUGAUUUAGCCUGGGUUAUUUUAGGGUAAAAUGAAAGGAAAAUUCCUGUACUAUCCAGAUAUUGCGACUUUGUCCAUGUAGAUUUCAUGCAACAAGCACUAUAUUCCCCAUAUUUUCUCAUUCAUCGCAAUUUCAUUCCUAGCCACUAGAAAAAUCUGAUAACAUGUGACCCUUGCCCAAUAGAAUAAAUUUUUAACCUUUUUUCAAGUACAAUGAAAAAAGAAAUUCAUUUUCUGGAAGUGCAAAAUAGUAAUUUUAAAUAUGUAAGAGUUUUUUUAUCGUAGGGACUAAAAGUACAGUACAUGACAAAGUUUCAUGACUGCAGUGGUUAAGUUUCAUGCAUUCAUGGACUAAAGCUGUGAUGACAGGCAUGGAGUACCCAUACUCAAACAGAAGUAGAAAAUGCUACUAACCGGAAAUGGUUUAGGUUGCUUCUGAAUUUGCUCCUCCAAAGGCCUGACAUGAGUCCUAUACACGUGAGCAUCCCCGAUAACAUGGACAAAAUCCCCAGGAGAUAGACCUACAUAUAGAGACAGAGAGAGACCAAGGCAGCAAAAACACGUAGGACAGAAAAUAAGCGUGUUUGAUGGGAUUAUUUAAGGGAAAACUUGAAGCACACAACAAUCCCACUAUAACAACCCAUGGCACAGGGUGCUACACUUUUCUGAUUAUGGUUGCUCUGUUUUUUUUUUCAAUAUGAAAUGAUUUGUGUAUAUACUACCUCCAAAAUUAUCUAUUGAUAUUUUGAAACCCUUUCUAAUACCAAAAUAAUUUCUACCAAUAACUUGGAUGAUCCCCCAAGUUAAGAUAAGGAUAUCUUCCACAAAAACUGCACUAUGAAGGGCGACAUAUGAGAAUUCAGGUGUGACACUAAAAAGGGCAAUGAAUUGCUCUACUUUGGAUCGCACAAUGGUUAAGUGUAUUCAGACUAUAUUGCGAAGAUUUAUGAAGUUUUCCUUCUAUACAACAUUUUAGAGGAUUGCGAUUGUCACAUGCUGAAUUUCUAGUGAUGAGCGUGCAAGGUAAUCAUCUCAUCACAAACAAAAAGGAAAGGUUUGACAAAAACGAGAUCUAAAAGGUAAAGACUAAGGCAAACAUACCACAGACUUGAGCUAUGAUGCAUGUCAAAAGAGAAUAAGAUGCGAUAUUAAAUGGCACGCCAAGACCCAUAUCUGCAGAUCGUUGGUACAUUUGGCAUGACAACUCUCCCUUCUCAACAUAGAACUGGAGGGAAAAAAAAAGAAAUCCUUCCAUCAAUGAGUAAGAGACAGGAGAAGUGGACAGCUGAUAUUAAAAUGAGGAACAUUAUCCAGACAACAUAAUCAUAAAAUAAUUCAACAGAUGUCAUGCAUAAUAACUCUUCUGAUGAUUAUAUAUAUAGAGCUUCCAUAUCUUCACAUAAUACUGAAUUCCUUAUACGAUCACAAGCAAACAUGGCUACCAAGACAAUAAGAAAUGGAAAUGAAAAGAAUACAUUAAAAUUUGCUUCAAUACCCUCAUUACAAAUGCAAGUACAAAGAGCAAGAACUUCAAUAACAAUGUCCUUUAUAUGGACAUCACAACAGAACAUGUAAUAAACUUCUAAAUAACGUACUAACUUGUGCAAACAUGUGGCAGGGGGGAAGAGCCAUUUUCUUGAGAUCUGAAGGGUUCCACGCAGAAAGGAUGAUACGGCGAUCAUUCGGAUUAUUCUUUAUCUUGUCAAUUACAUCCAGUAGCUGAUCAAAACCCUUCCCAGUAUAGUCAGCAUGCAUGUCAAUAUAUCUGCAGGAAUGCAACCUUGUCUAAAACAUCCACCAAAAAGAAUACUAAUAAACAACUGGAGAGUUUCAAAAUAAUAAAUGCUUACUCAGCACCAAAAUGUCUCCACUGGAAUCCAUAUAUUGGCCCUAAAUCACCUUCUUCCCGAUGAGCUAAGCCAGCACUAAGGAGACACAAUCCUUAUCAGAUUUGGAAAGAACUAUAUGGCAAAACAAAAGUCUAAUUGUUUUCUAAGUAAAUUCGGAUCAAGAGGAGUGCCUGUCCAGAUACUCCCUCGAAGCAUUUCCAUCCCAUAUAUAUAUGCCCUUGUCCUGUAAAACCUGCUCAAAAAGAAACCAGACUGGAGGUAUCAUCUUUUUUGAAAGAGACCUAGUUCUACAUAAGCAAGUGAAUAAACACAGCUAAUUGAACAACAUAGAAUAGGAUUAAAAUAGCAGUGCAUAGAUCAAAAAAGAAAAGAAAGAUUUCACUCUCAUUGUUGUUUGCAACUUCACCCAAAAGAGGACCAAAACCAGAAAGAAAAUGAAGAUGACAACUAAAUGAGUCUAGAGUACCUUUGCAUUUGUCGAACCACUGAUGAACCACAGGAGCUCUUCAACAACACCACGCCAGAAUAUCCUCUGGUGAGAGAAUCACAUACUAAGUUUCAGUUAUAAUGUUAGGAAAAAGAGGAAGGCAACAAGCAAUAUGUCGAAUGCUUUUCAGUCUCUUUUUUUACUUGAAGUACUCAGAAACAUUUUACCUCGCACUAAUAAUUUUCCAUUGCCAAUUUGGUCCAAUCUUGAUUGCGUAAAUAUAAAUUGAAUCUAAGAAUUUGGGAAAUAUAUAUAUAUAUAUAUAAAAGAUAGUAGUACCUUGGUUGUAAGCAAAGGAAAAGAUCUUCGCAAGUUGAACCGCAUCUACAAGGUUUUCACACAAAAAUUAAGAUGUAUAUCCUUUUUUUGUCACCAAAACAAGUAGCAAAAGUGAUGCAGGUAAAGAUACCUGGCAACCAAAUUUGGACAAUGUUCCAGUUCCUGUCCUAUCAUUCUUCGUAGCACCAUUUUCUAUUAUAUCUUGGACAAGUUUUAAAUACAUAUACUCCUCAUGUCUUUCGAAUAUCACUUUAGGAAGAAAUGAGAACUUCUCAACCUCAAAUUGAUCCUUAUGUGAGUUGUUUUCAGUUGGUUCACAACCAUUUGAGGCAUGAAGCUUGUCCGGAGCUGAACUACGUACACGAACAUACGUCACAAAAGAAUAUCUUAUGUUGUUCUCCACCGUAGGGAUGGAUGAGUACCAUGGCUGGAACACUGAAAAAUCAAUUGAAGGAAUGAAAGUGUCGCAGUCGAAGCUUGUUUCUAUAUCUGUGAGAUGAAUGGCCUCACAUUCAGGAGCAUUAAGAGCAUCCCUGCAGUAAAAUUUGUAGAAUGCACUUGAAUGGUAAACAUGCUGAAAAUUGAGUAUCCUACAUGAUUGGUCACUGAAUUAAUUGCAGUAUUUCACUAAGGCCACAGCUGCCUAAUACUUUUGUUGCAACUGAUGCAGUAAACUUGAUUUCUAUUUCAUUAAGGGUGCUUUGUUAAAUUCCAUAUCAUCUUCCUACUGGACGGAUGGCAUGGCAGCUGAUUCGACAACGAUGUCGCCUGAAGAUUACUGUAAGUCAGCUACUACAUCAUCAUCAAGUCAUAUCUGGGAAAUGAUGCAGCAACUAAUUUAUCUGCCAAUCACCGCUCCAUUUAGGCAAUGAAAUGAAAUUUAAUGAAGGGACCUGAUUGAAAAGGUAUUGCAACAAAUUGAAGAUUGGUGAAAUAAGCGAAUUACAUGACAAUUUCCUAUGAGUUACCAGUGAUGAAAUCUCUUCUUAUGAAAGAUAAUAGAAACUCACCUUAACACCUGGCCACCUCCUAUGACAAACACCUUUUCAAUCGACAAAGAAUAAGGUGUCGAUGAUAACAGCUCCAAUGCAGAACUCAAGCUUGCACAACAAAUAACAUUCUGUAGUGUCGCGAUAUCAAAACUUCCCGAACGAGUAAGGAUGAUAUUCAAGCGACCAGGCAAUGGCCUAUACUGAAGAGGAAUGCUUUCCCAUGUUUUCCUACCCAUGAUAACUGCAUUCUUCUUUGAGGGAUCUAAUGUUGACACUGUGACUUCUUUAAAAUAUUUGAGGUCGGACGGGAGCUUCCAAGGCAACUUCCCGUCCUUGCCGAUACCCAAAUCUCGAGUAGCAGCAACAACAACUUGAUAGUUCCUUUGGGGUUGAUUUUGUAAAUUACCAUUACUGUAGUGCCUGUUAAUCUCAGCAGCCAUAACUGGUGUUUUAUGAGAGUAGGUAUAUUUUACAGCUCUACCUGCCGUUUCGCCCAGUGAACGACGUUUCUGAAGACCAAAACGAGAUAGGCAGCUUUCUCUGAAUAAUCUUACAGCCUAAGCUUCUAAAGAUAACUGAGAAGCAUCAGUUUCGACUAUAGUGAGUGGUAAGAGAAUACAAGUUAUCAGAAAUAAUUAUACAAGAGAAGAAUAGAAAAUUGAAUAAAGAGUAACAAAUGUCAAAAGAAAAUCAUAUGAAAUGGACAUGUAUGUUUGAUUUCACCUUGAGAGGUACGCUUGCUGUGCAGAAUAGUUUGAAAAUCAACAUCUCAACAUCUGGACCAAAAAUUAACCACCAGUCAAAUUAUUAUGAAUUGGCAUUUUUAACUUUAACAAUCAAAAAGUUGCUACGAACUAGCAUUAUUCAAGAAACACCAACAGGAAAAUGAUGUGCAGCUUCUACAUAUAUUCAACAUUGUCAGAACUCUUAGAAUGACCAAGCACACUAUCAUUUCUUUAUAGUUUAAACAUCUCAAAAAGAUCAUUUUAACCCAAUCAAACUCUAAUUCCAAACGUUCACUUUAGGAUACGCAAAAUUGCAGAUUAUUUAAUUGCUUCUACACCACUCAAACUGUUCCCAAAAAGGAUAACCAACCAUGUUUAGGACCUUAAAAAAAGAUUAAGAUUUUAAUCCACACUUCAUCCACAAUGCAAACAAAGAUUAGGAGAAAGAGAAAUCAAAGUUUGGUUCCAAAAAAUAUAAAGAAAAGAAAAGGAAUGCAAACAAGUCCCAUUAAAAAUCCCAAAAAUACCAAAUUUCCUUCAAUCGGAACUCCAUUUCAAAACUUCUACUCAAAAGAUACACAAAACUUCGAAUUAUUCAACUGUUCGACAACACUCAAAUAUAUCUCCACUCGUAGUUGAAAAAAUAAAGAGUGUGCAUUAAUCCUCCAUUAAACAGCACAAAAAUCCCAUUUUUCUCCCUAAUCAGAGGUCCAAUUUCGAAUCUUCAGUUUAAAAGAUACACAAAAAUGCGGAUUCUUCAACCAUUUCCCAAUCACUCCAAACUAUCCCCAAUUUCAUAAAAGGAAUCAUCUUUAGAACCAAAUCACGAACAAAAUUCACAAAGCAAAGUCAAAUUUGAGCCAUGAUAUACAAAGUAUGACCAAAAAAAAAAAAAAAGAGCAAUCAAAGCCUAAUUCCUUAUUAGACAAAACAUAGAGUACCAUUUUCCAUCACAUAUCUCCCAAAGAAACAUAAAAAAUUAAUGAGAAACAACGAAAUCGACGAGAUAUCGUACCUGAAUCGGAGCCAAAUGGGCAAAAGCGGGUAGAAGAAGAUCGAUUAAAACCCUAAAAUAGCCGAGAUUAGGGUUUUAAAAGAGAGUGAGAGGGAGAGAUUGGGUGCGUCGCACUCCCGCCAAAGUGGCUCCUCAUUUAACGUCGAAAGCGAUAUUUGUGUGUACGAAAAUACCCCUGUGCGUGGCAUUUAUUUACGACGAAGGGCAUUUAGUGGCAGGCGCAGAGAAUUUCCUAUGCGGGUGUCCGCACGAGAAUAGGCCCAGUAACAAUGAUGCGUUGGGCCGAAACGCGGCCCAUUAUGCGCCCACAAGUUAAAAGCCCUUUAGCUCUGGCCACUUAAAGCUAGCCACGUGUUGGUGAGACAAAAUGUUGAAUAGCCUCUCAAUUUUUAUCGAUUACAAUUUGAUACCUGUAGUUGUAACUCCCUUAAAGAGAGGAAAGUGAUAAAGUAUAGGACCUAUUAACAAUAUUUAGAGAGUACAGGGGCUAUUCAUAAAUUUAGCCCCUAACACCGAGGUGUCCCCACCCACCGCCUUUCCCGUAAAGUUACAUAUAACGUGGCGUUUUCACCUCUCGUUUUGGGACCUUUUCGGGUACAUUUUAGCCGUCCCAUAUCAAUCGCUCCAAAAUUAGGAACACCCUGUUUUCCAAAACCCCAAUUUUAUCGUCGACUCGAUUCGAUUCGAUUCGUCUCCUAACUCGUAAGCUCCAUUUUUUAUCUCUUCAGUUUCCUAAUUUAACUUUUUAUUUUAUUUUUUGCCCUAAUUUCCUUUCCUGCGUCGAUUCAGGUGAGUCUCGAAUCGAAUUUAAAACCCCCGUUUUUUUUGUUCUACGAGAAAUUUUGUGGCAAAAAAAUCAUUAUUUGAAUCGUCGGUGCAAUUAUGUGUCGCAAUUGAGUCGGUAAUUUGUGUUUUUUGGGAUAAAAAUAAUAUGGAUCGAAAUUAGUAGGAGUGUUCGAAUCGGUUGAGUUCCUGUUUGUGCGAAGCAGGAAAUUUGGUUUGAAUUUUGUAGCAAAAACGAAGUUUUUUUUUGGGUGAUUGUUGAUUGGCUUGUUCUGUUUAAUAAUCAAAGAUCGGAUUAGAGCUCUAUGAUUAUUGCUGGUAUUUUUCAUGUUUGAUGUAUUCGGUUUGGAUAAAAUUUGGGGAAAUAAAAUUGGGUGGCUUAAUUAUUGCUAAUUUUUUCGCAUAUUUUUUGUUUUUCUAAUUCGAGAGGUGGUUUUGUUCAUUGUAAAAAAAAAAAGGAAUUAUAGUGUUUAUAAAAUAAAUUAUUGGCCAUAUACGCAUCAAUUAUGGUGAAUUACAUGGUAAAACAUCUCUAAAGACUAAAAUUAAAUCAUUAAAAAAAAAAAGCCUUUUUUUUUUUAAUGACAAAGGUUGUCAUGGUCCUCAUAAUCUUGGUUAAGUUCAUUCUUUUUAGUUUUUACCCUAAGCCGACCGUAUAAAGCCCUAGUCUCGCCUUUUGUAUUGAGUUUUAAACGUAGAAGCUCGAAUCCGGAGCUUCUGCUUUGCUACAGAGAGAAGUUGUGGGAGGGAUUAUAAUGAAGUUGUCAAAAAUAAAAAUAAAAAUAAAAAUAAAAAUAAAAACAAAAACUUCUGCAAAUGCUCCAGACGGGCCAAACAGGCUACGAGUGUUAGAUUGAAUCUUUUCUUAUUUUAUGGUAAAUAUAAAAUACCGGUUUCUUGUGUUUAUGCAAUCCUCAUGUUUAUUAGUCUUCUGUUCAGGUAGUUAGUUUGCUGUGGUUAAGCCCUUUUUCGGCUGCUAAGGAAGAGAAAGGAGAAGAGAUAUGGCUUCUUUUGCUAUGAAGGCAAUAGCGGAGAGGGCAGGCCCUGCAGUUAGAAAGCAGGCCCUAACUUUAACAGAUUCUGCCGCCGCUCGAAUUCGCCACCUUCUUAGCCUCCGCCAACGCUCCUACCUUCGUCUCGGUGUUAAGGCUCGGGGUUGCAAUGGCUUAUCCUACACGCUCAAUUACGCUGGUAAGGUUUGUUAUUUUCCCUAAAACAUCUUGUUGGUUUUUCGUUUAUAAUUCGAGUAUCUUAUCUUUCUACGAUAUGUAUAUUUGGUGUGUCCUGUAUUUUCCUUUUUUAAACCUGGCACAGUAAACUAGUUCGCCAUCUUUUUCAUUGUUCAUUAAUUGUGUUGAUAUUAUUAAAUUAUAUCUUACUAGGUCCUCUUACAGCACAUUCUUGAGACAGCAAUCGGUUGUUUGAUAAACGAAUGUAGUCUCAAUACCUUAUAUACUUGUGCAUUUUGUUUCAUUUUGUAGCUUUAGCGCUCGCUUUUAUUUGUUUCAUUUUGCUGCUUUAGUAUAAUUUUUGGUGUCUGUUUCGAUCAUGUGAGUAAUAACUGCAUACACUACAUCUGUAGUACGUUUCGCGUAUCGCAAGGUGCUUGUACAAAAGUACAAAACUUUUGUAACAAUUAUGGUAUUCUUAUGAUGAAAAUUUGAUAUGAAGGAUAUGACCAUCUUAUAUUCCUUCGAGAUUGAAGAGCACGAUGUUCAAUAAAAAAGUAUGAUGUAUUUGUGGAUUUACUGGCAUAUAUUUUACGUAGAUAACCCCUGCAAAAAUAUCUAGAUAUAUCCCUGAGUAAUCUGAAUUUUCUUGUAGACCUUCGAAACUUGAUUUUCUUUCAUAUUUACCCCCUUUACAUGCAAAUUAUGAAUUUUAUUUUUGUAAUUCUAAUUGCUUAGUUUUAUGGUACCUCGCACAUCUUAUAUUCUUGCGACUAAACUAAUUUUGUGCUAUUUGGUGCAUUGCAGAUGAGAAGGGAAAGUUUGAUGAGCUUGUCGAAGAUAAAGGUGUCAAGAUAUUAAUCGAUCCAAAAGCUCUAAUGCAUGUAAUUGGGACCAAUAUGGACUUUGUCGACGAUGCACUCAAGUAUGUCUCUGCGAUAGCACGAUUCUUUUUCUGCUUUUAAGUAAAAAUGCGUUGAUCAUCUAAGAGGUUGUUUUCUUUUUCCUUUCCCUGGUUCAUUUGCAGGUCAGAGUUUAUAUUCGUUAAUCCUAAUUCAAAAGGGCAGUGCGGCUGUGGCGAAUCGUUUAUGACAACAAGCAGUUCUCCAGCUUCUCGAUCAGGUAGUUCAUAGAUCAUAAAAUUAUUGGUGAUCAGCUAAACAUGGCUCUUUUUAAAAAAAAAAAAACUCGAGUGCCACUGCGUGAUGUAUCAUUUGUACAUGAAGUUGUUCUUUUUCCCGCGAUAUCUCUAUUUAGAUGAAGGAAUUGUUAGUAGAAUAAAAAACAGAUUCAAACACUUACCACUGUACAAAGAUAUGUUUAUGCUCGCUCUUGUAUUACUAGAGGAAAAGAAAUUGUAUUUCCUUCUUAUGAUGAUUCUAUUUUGCGAGCUUAUUGCUCUUUCUAGUUGUGUUCUUCUCAGUUCCUGGAUGUUGUAUUGCUGAUGAACUUUUACCUGGUGUUUGGCACUGCUUUUCCGCGAAAUUUGACAAUAAGCUUCACUUUUUCUCCUAUUCUUUUAAAGUGGAUUUAGUGCCCCCUCAUACAAAUGUUUGAUGAAUCAAAUUGGCCCAUUACAUCAUCUGUUGUUAAAAUCUAUUGAUGGAAAAAUGAUUUGGAUUCCACCUUUUUUGUACCCAUGUAUACAUUAAAGGCUUAAAAUUACAACUCACCAUUGGAUGUAAGAGCAAUGUGUGUUUUCAAUAGAAAAUAUUCUUUUUUGGCGCCAAGUUUUCAAUAAAAAUAAAAUAUUAGUUUUGUGAAUAAUAAAGUUUACUGCAAAAGAAUAGGAUCAAAAUGAAACUUUUCUUUAAAAGAGAGGGAAAAGGAGAAGCACAUUUCGCAUUCAAUUUUGUUCAAGUUUUGUUCAUUUAAAAAAAAAUCAAAUUUAAAUUUAAUAGUACCCUGUAUACACUUGUAGAUAAAGAAUUAGUGUCAAUUUUUUAUAUAAAAUAAAAUUCAUCUCCAGUGUCAGGCACCAAGAGCAGAUCAGAAAUGUGAAAUGGAUUUUAUGCACUCCCUCUUCUCAAUAAGCAAAAUUUCUUCUUCUGCACAAAAAGGAAAAAGAAAAAGUUAUGAAUUCAUGUUAAUUUUUACAAAAUGAGGAAUAAUAAGUCAAAAAAAAAAAAACAUGAUUAAUUCUUAAUGAAAAUAAAAGGAACAAAAGGUUUAAGAGAUGAUUAAUUUUUUAGCAAGUAAUUUGGCCCAACAUCAGCAUUGAUGCUGCUGCAGAGCCUUUGUUUCAGCAAAACUUUGGUACAGUUCUUCAGUUCGGUAAACCAACUCAGAUCCAAGAAGCAAAGAUUUUGAAACACUUUUCACCUCUUUAGUAGCAAUUAGCUCGGCCUGUAACGCAUCGACACGAAGAACAGCUACAUCAAGAAGCUCUUCUUUCUGCGAGUCGACCUUCUAUUUGAGCUCUUCGAGCUUCCUCAGCACCGACGAGAGGAGGUCGAUCGGCUUCGGUGUGCUCACAAAUCGGUGAGGGAGGUGUUCUGUUGUGAUUCUCCGUCGCUGUCGGUUUCUGCAUAAGAUGUCGUGGAUUUUGAACGAUCGAAGCAUCGAGAGGAUCAUCGUGAUCGAUGCCACGAGCAAUGCAACGUUAUGUCUUCGAGCGGUUUCUGACGUAUCGGAAAAAGACUACAUUAAAGAUUAAUUUUGCAAAUUAUAAGAAAAAACAAGAUUUGAAUGUUCAGAAUAGUCAUAUGAUGUUUAAUAGUGGAAGCCCACCAAAUUAAAAUAGUUAAACAGUUGAACUAGUAAAGGUAAAUGAGGAGGUAACUUCAAAAUAAAAAAUGAAAUCAAAUUUGAGGGAUUAACUGUGACAAUCUCAGGGAAUGACCAAGUUUUUACCCUGCAAGUUUGUGAACCCAAAUUGGUUCAGUGUUGGAAAAUGACCAAAUCAUUAGGGCAUUGAUUGGCAAGCUAAUCAAAUUAAUUAGAAAGGAAUAAGGAACUUAGCUUUAUAUCUUUCUUAGUAGUUAAUAAAAGUAUCUGCUUUUGGAGCUCAGAAUUUCACUUUAACUUCUCACGAUUGAAAUUUGUUUGCCGAAUUAAUGCUCUAGUUAAUUAGGAGACGAGAGCGUCUUAUGAAUCAAGGGAUCAAACCACAACAUCACGGAACGACACUCAAUCGAAAGGCAAAGGAUUCUGAUUUGUAUCCAAUAUAAGAUUGAUUCAAGUUGCUAAGCUAUUUAACUAAGGAUACACAACUAACAAAUAGAAUGUAGUGAUCAAAAGAGAGAAUAGGGAAGCUACAAAUUUAGAAACACUAAUAAUUAUAAAUGAUUUCAUUAAUAGCUUUAAGCCUUGUGUAUACCAUUAAUUUUACUACAUGAGUCUACUUAUCAAGCACUUCCCCUGUAAUUGGAUGGUGACCACAUCCCUCCAUUCUCAUUUGUGACAUAUGAUGUGCAUGACAAUGGCACCAAGCAAAGUCCCCUGCUCCUUAGAUCUAACUUUGGCUCAUUUUUCUCUUCAUUUGAGGCCUAGAUACAAAGAGAGAGAAACCAUGUGAGAGAAAAUAAUUGCAAAGUUAAUUAUAUAUUCAAUUAAUCGAGUGGUACAGAUUGAAAGAACUCAUCUACAGAAAACCAAAAAAAAAGCUUUUUGCUAGUGAGUCCCCAGUUGGCCAAGCAAUUCAGUUUUGGAUAGACUUCGAGAUGUUCUAAAGAUGCUAUAGUAAUAAUUGAGAUAUUUGUUUUCUCUUAACCGAUUCAUUAUUAUAAUAAUAAGCCAACAAUGAAUAGAAACUUGUUUUUCUUUUUUAAAUACCCUUGCAGGCAAAAUUGUUCAAAUAGUGCCAUAUAUGAUUAUCGAAUUUCAAAUCUUAUUGAACAAUGAUUCUUGUAGAUAGUAAGUUCGAACUUAAAGUCGCGUAGUAAAGAAUAAUGUAUGUUGGAAAUGCAUCAAAAGUUUUGUGAUAGCAAAACUAGCUAUUCAACGAUUCAAGAUAUGUCUCUAUCUAAAAUUUGUUUUCUCUACGAUAGCUUCUUAGUUUGUUUCUUUUUUACUUUAACAAAAAAAGAAAAGAGAGAUCGAAGAUCUACUAAAUUGAUUUACCACCUUUCGCAUAACCUCGUUGCAAACGUUUGGUCACUUCGAUGACAAUAUAGUACAACAACAAAUUGAUCUUUUUUGAGAUGAACACUUCUCAUUGCAGGUUAAUUUUGACAUGCUAUACAUAAUAAACAAUUCAUGAGUUGAAACUCACUCGCUUUUGAAAAUUCAAAAAUAUAUGAAUGUAGGAUAAAUCACUGAAUAUAUGUUGAUAUCAAUGCACUAGAAUGUCAACAUGGAAAUAGUUUUCACAAAUUAUCCUGUAACUUCAGAUGAGUAAAUUAGAUGAAAAGAAAAUUUUGUACCAUAGCAAGCCAAUGAAGAAACAAAUUAAGAAGAGAGUUGAAUAUAUAGUACUCUACAUGUAUAGCUUUUUGAUGAUUAGGAAUUAAUAUAUGUAGGGAAUUGUUACAUACCCCUUGUGUUGUCCUUAAUUUCUUGUUGUUGGAGGGCCUCAUAUAUGGUACACUAAGUGUCUGCAACAAAUUAAGAGAAAAAAAUUUAAAUUAAGUUAUCAAUCCAAUUAAGAAUAGCAUAGAUAACAUGUCACCUUCAAAAAGAAAAAAAAGAAAAAAAAAGAAAGAAGAAAGAAAACCAUGAUGACAUUAUAAACUUUUCAGAAAUAAAUAAUAAAUUGAAAUUACAUAUAUAUGGUUUACACAAAAUAUUUUUAUUUAUCUAGUUCUAAUUGAGAAAUCAAUAAAGAUUAGAUGUUAAUUUGCACAUAUACAGUAAAAGGAGUGAGCUCUAUAUUGUGCCAUUGUUUAAAUUAAUAUAUUUAGAAAUUAAUGCUUUUGUUUUUCAUGUUUGAUGAUACUUAACUAAUUAGCUAUAAUAAACUCCUUUAAAAUGAUCGAACCGCAUAAACAUGAUUUAUAUAUAAUUAGUUACCUUGACUUGUUCUUGAAGAAAUUUAAUGUAUCCAAUCGCUUCCAUCAAAACCGAUGCUGUAUCGGUCUGCAUACGCAAGAUUAAGGAAAUUAAUAAUUAUAUUAAGGUAGAGAAAGUAAAAACAAGGGAAAAACUAAAUAAGUAGAGGCACAGGUGUUGCAUGUGUUUCUUAAUAUUGGAUUAUGCAGUUAAUAAUUAUAAUAAAAACCUUUUAUUGUAUUUGCACAUUAUUAAUUACCUGUUAUGUAAGAAAUAGUAUAGGACUUUCAAUUGUAACUAGUGUUAAUUAAGUAGUUAUAUUUCAUAGUGAUCAUAAAUUGAUUCCACUUUAUAUAGUUUUAAUACACAUAUGUAGAAUAAAACUUAUCUAAGCAAUUCAAUGGAAGGGAAUCAUAUGGGUUUACUUGGUUUUCAUGUGAGUAAAGAUUAAUUGUUAAGAAAAAAUAACAAAGUUCAAAUCGAGCAGGAUGAUAAUUAACUAAAGUAAUUAUAAAUUUCAGAAAAUUUAUUUUAAUUUUCUAAAGCUCAAAUGGUAAUGUGUAGUGAUUAAGAGGAUCAAUGUUCAUAUGCAUGUGGCAAUAAUUUUUUUUUUUUUUAACCUUUAAAUUCCUAAGCCAUGAGAGGAUGAAUUAAAGGUUACCUUUCCAAAGGGUGCUACCAACUGCUGUAGAGCUGCAAUCCUAUCUCCUAAUUUCUCCUUCCUCACCUAUUAAUUAAUUUCACCCACACCUAAACAUAUUAGUAACAAUAACAAAUAAAGCUAGGAGGGCAUAUUAAUUUAAAAAAAACACUUAAUAUUCUUGAAUUAUUCUAAGACCUAGCUAUAGUUUGAUAAUGUGGUGACUAAAAAUACCAUUUUUAUACUAUAUAUAAAAGGUCAAAAAAUUUAAAAGUGCUGACAAUCUUUUCUUGUUUUAUAUAAUAAGUUGCAAUCGCAAUUUUAUAAAUUUAAAAGAAGGUAAGAUUAAAGGUGUCUCAAAAUCUUUUAGAUGCUUUAUAGUAUAAACAUGAUACUUUUAGCCACCACAUUAUUAAACUAUCAUGGCGGAGGAGUUAGUAGUCGCAUGCUUCUUUGGCGCCAAUUGCAACCGUAAUUUUAUAAACUUAAGAGAAAGUAAGAGUAAAAGUACUUCUGAAUCUUUUAGACCCUAAUCUAUAGUAUAAAAAUAAUACUUUUACCCACAACAUUAUCAAACUACGCUUGAGCGAGCAACAAACUAUAUAUAUAUAUAUAUAUACCUUGAAAGAUGAGAAUGAGGAACGUGACUCUAUUCGAGGCUUCCUAGCCACAACUGUUUGAGAUGCUCUGCGGUUCACAAUGCAAUUUGCUUCUGCUUCUGAAACCCCACUCACUAUACAUGGCACCUUCAAAGAAGCAAUAGUAAUAAUCAAUUAAAGGAAAAAGUUCUUAGCUUUUCUUUCUUUCUUUUUUGGUUUUUAACUUCAACUAAUGCUAGUAGAGAACUCCAAAAAAAAGCACAGUUUCAUUUGCUUUUCUCAUUUGUUUAUCUUUUCUUUCGCAACUCCAUUUAUCCUUUGUGUAAAAGAUGAUGCAUGUCACACUAAAAGCUGAAAAAAGAGCCUCUUGUACUUUAUGGUUCCAUUGGUCUAAUUUGAAAGAAAGAGAAAAAUAAGGCACAUCAUGUGCAAUGAGUAGCUAAAGAAAUUAUUUCAAAAAUCCUUAAAGGUCCCUACAUUUUCAUACAUCAUAUAUAAAGCCCAUCAAGCUGUACCUUGCAAAGUGUAUACAAGUACACGUCAAAGAGAUAAAGAAGGUGACAUGAAUAUACAAGUACAUGCGCAAAUGUUCAUAUUUGUGCAUGGUACUUCUAAAUGAAAUCAUAUUUAUAUGCAUAAUCCAAUAACUACUACAAAUAUUACCAUCAUACGUAUAACUUAGUGUGUGUGUGUAUAUAUAGAAGCAUUUUUUAUUAAGGGUAACUAUACAUGAGUCUAAAUGAGGUUCAAGAACUUCAUGAUUAUCGCAACAACAAUAAUACCUUUAGCAAUCAUUUAGUACACCGACCAAAACGUAGAAAAUAAUGGUAGCAGUUGUUGAACUGAUCUCAUUAUUAAUUAGAAACGACACCAAAAGAACACAACAUAUUUGUACAUACGAAGAGGAAUGAUGGGACUAAAUGCUAUAGGUUUGGUAAUGUUACCAUGCUUAUCAAUCACGCCUAGCUAUCGCUAGGAACUAGCUAGUUAAACUGUUUAUUAUUGGAGAAGCAAGUGAUAUACAUAUAAAGUUUAUGUGUAUCUAUAUAUACCAACCUUAUGAUUGUUGUUGAAUGGUCCAUGAACAGCUUCUUGAACAUGGGGUGGUCCAUAAAAAAUAGGAUCUUCUUUUAACAAGGGUGCCAUUGAAUUGAAAGGAGGUGCGAAAAAGCUCCUGCUAAGUUUAGUAGAAGCCAAUAAAGCUUGAAGAUCCAUGUCUAAGGAGCCUGAGAACGGCAACGGCGGCAAACUCGGUAGCGAGAUGUUAACGCUCGGAAGGACCAUGCUGAAGCCUCCUCUACCGCUUUCCAAAUUCGCCAAACUCGACGGGCCGAAAUGAAAAUCAUCGGUCGGAGGCUGUAGGGCAUUGUUGUGGCCAUUUUGAGGAAGUGCUUUUAGGAACAGCUUCUCACUUAGUUGGUAGUUGUCAAUGUAUGUGGGGUUUUUAAUGAGCCCAUUUAACUUUGGAAAGUUAUCUGAUGUUGGUAGCUCCUCUUUGAUCCUUGCUAAGUGUGAUUGGUUGUUUGGUUGGUUCAUUAAGGUAUCUGCAUUGCUACACCACUGAAACCCUAGAUCUUGAACCAUUAUUGAGCUUAGAGGAGGGGUUAGGGGCUCAUCUUGAUAAGUUGCUCUUAUGAACUCUCUUUGGUUUGAGAGAACUACUUCACUCUCAUUUAGUACAUUGAAGUCACCACAAUUCCUGAAUGACACACCACAAGAGAGAAAAAUUUAAGAAUACGGUAUCUAAAUGAAAGAAAAGUUUUAGAGCCUAAGAAUAUGUAUAAGAAGAGGCCUUUCAAAGAAAUAAAAAAAAAAAAGAAAGUUAUUGUAGAAAAGGAGAGAAAAUUUAAGAAGGUUAUUGCAACUUGCAUGCCAAAAAAUGAAUAUGUUUGAAAGAAUUUAAAACCUAUGCCUUUAGUGUAAUUUGAUUACAAUUAUUGAACCUGAGAGGAUUCUUUUUCAUGGAGGGUAAAAAGUUAUUUAAUUGUAGCAUAUAUGGGUGAAAAUUAUUGGAGUCUAACCCUAAAGAUAGAGUCUAUAUAUAUAUAUAUAUAUAUAUAGGUCUCUACUAUUUUGCAUUUUCUAAUGUUGGCAUGACUCAAUUAAUUGGCUACAAAUUCCUAGGAUAUGCAAAAUGACAACACAAGUAACAAACAAAAAUACAUGCAGGAAAAUUCCAAAUCCUAGGAAUUAACCAGAUGCUACCACAAUGUGCUCUGACCCAAACAAGAAAAAAAAACAGCAAAUAAGAAACAUCCUCUACCCAUUUCAAAAACAUGCAUGGAACUAAUUAAACAAAAGAUAUUUUAUAUAUAUAUAUAUAUAGCUAUUAAAGGCAUGGAGUAAAUAUGUUUUCCAAGGUUACCAUAUGAGAGGUUGGUUGUUCCAUCCAUGGUUGGUUCCCCCGCAAUGGAUUAAAGGUGCAGCUGCUUCUUCUAAAGAGGACCCAUGAAGCCCUUCUUGGUGGUGGUGGUAGUGGUGGUGGUGGUGAUCAAGGUGAUUUGAAGAGUCCAUCAUGGUGUUUUAAAGGGCUUUUGUGUACCCCUAAGAUGGAGAGAAAAAGGAGGAAAGAGAGAAGGAGAAGGGAAGGGGAAAAGAAAAAAAGAUAAAAAAAAGGACUUUGUGAAGGGUGGGGGGGAGAGAGAGAGAGAGAGUAGUGCUUUGGAAUCUCACACCCCACCCAAAGAAGCACUUGAUGAAGAGCUCAUGCUCAUAAGGCUCUCUUCCUUUUUCUCUCUAGUUAUAGCUUUUCACAACUAUUUCCUUUUAAAUCCCCUUUACCCUUUCAAGAUCAUAUAUACAAAGAAGAUAACUCAUAUGUGCUCAAUGAAGUAGGGAUAAGAGGAGGACUCUCUUUCUCUCUAUACUCUCUCUCUCUCUUCUUCUUCUUCUUCUUUCUCUUUCUCUUUCUCUUUCUACUUAUUUUUUUUUUGGUGUUGAGUGAGUGAAGCUGUUGGAGUUGCUGGCAAUUACAGGGGGAUGAUUACACCUCUUCUCAAGCCAUGAUUAUAAUCCCUGCCUUCGAUCCCAAGGCUUUUUCUAUAUAUCCCUUCUCAUUUCUCAACGCAGGCCCCCAAGAGAUAGCAAUGAUACCACUCACUCAUGCUCCCUCUCUCUCUCUCUCUCUCCCUCUCUGUAGAUCCCUCUCUCUCUCUCUCUCUCUCUCUCUCUCUACAACACAAACACAUGGCACAGAGUUUCUUAUAUCUUUAUCACAUGGAAUCUAAAGCAUGACAUCUAUUCUUAUGCAGUAUAUUUUUCUCAAUAGUUAAUUUGUACAAGAAUAUUUACUCUAUAUAUAUAUAAUACAGAAUUAAUCUACUAAAUUAUUAAUAGUACCAAAAAUUUGGCACUAUUAUAUAUAUAUAUAUAUAUAUAUAUACAUAUAUAGAGAGAGAGAGAUUGGUAUGCUUCUGAAAGUAUGAAGCCUUUCGUGCUUUCAAGUCAUUUUCGAUAUUGGGAUUUUUUUUUUUUUUUUUGAGAGAUAGGUAGCACGCUACCCGCUUCGUUUAUUUCAUUUAGAAAUAAACCUAGCUGAAAAUGUGAAUCAACUAGGAUUCAAACUUAGGACCUCGGGUACCAACCACUAAGUCCUUUGCCACUUGCUCUAGGGAUGAUCGGUGAUGUUGGGAUUUUCGAAUCGACGAUCGGCUCUAUUAGACUUGAUCUAGAAUAUUUGAAGUAUCAAGAAAAUAAAUUUUGUGAUUUUUCAAUAUCAUUUGUCUAGUGAUCAAAUGGUCUCAAAAUCAACGGUUAAAAACAAAAAUCUUACAAAAUGUAAUGAUAUGACAUUAAAAUUUUAAAUCAAAGAUAUUGAUCUUAUUUUAUAUAGUAUAAAAAAUUUUCUAUUAAAAUUUUACGUGAUUUGAAUAUUUUUAUACCGUUAAACUUGCAAACGGGUCACCACGGCCAUUAAAAUUAUUAAUUUUAAGUCCCUUCGAUCACUAGGCAAAGGAUAUCAAAAAAUCACAAAAUUUAUUUUCUAAGUACUUCAAAUAUUUUAGAUCAAGUCAAACUGAGCCGAUCGCCGAUUCGAAAGUACCAACAUCGAAAACAACUUGAGUGCACGGAAGGCUCCGUGCCCCCGGAAGCAUACCAGACUUACUANNNNNNNNNNNNNNNNNNNNNNNUAUAUAUAUAUAUAUAUAUAUAUAUAUAUAUAUAUAUAUAUAUAUAUAUAUAUAUAUAUAUAUAUAUAUAUAUAUAUAUAUAUAAGUGACGUUGGUAUGCUUCUGAAUGCACAGAGUCUUUUGUGUUUUCAAGUCGUUUUCGAUGUUGGGACUUUCGAUCAACGAUUGGCUCCAUUAUAUAUAUAUGAGUGAGGUUCGUAUGCUUUUGGAAGUAUGGAGCCCUCCAUGUUUCUAAAUCGUUUUCGAUCUUGGGACUUUCAAAUCGACAAUUAGUUUCAUUAAACUUGAUCUAGAGUAUUUAAAGUACUUAGAAAAUAAAUUUCACAAUUUUUUAAUAUCAUUUGUUUAGUGAUUGAAAAAAAUCAACGACUGAAAAUAAAAAUGUUACACAAUAUGAUGAUAUGAUAUUAAAAUUUUAGAUUAAAGAUAUUGAUCUUAUUUUAUAUAGUACAAAGAAUUUUUCAUCAUAAUUUUAUUUGAUUUUGAUAUUUCUAUACCGUUAAACUUGCAAACGGCUCAUGGCAAUUAUUAAAAUUAUUGAUUUUGAGCCCUUUCGAUCCCUAGGCAAAUGAUAUUGAAAAAUCAUGAAACCGACUUGGAAGUAUAUAUGGAGGGCUCCGCGCUUGCAAAAGCAUACCAGCCUCACUUUAUAUAUAUNUCCUGAGCCGUUUUUUAUGAUGGAAUUUCUGAAUCGACGAUCAGCUCUGUUAGACUUGAUCUAGCGUAUUUGAAGUUUCUAGAAAUAAUUUUUACGAUUUUUCGAUAUCAUUUACCUAGCAAUCGAAAGAAUUAAAAAUCAAUAAUUUUUAACAGCUGAAAAUAAAAAUUCUAUAAAAAGUAGUGAUAUAGCACUAAAUUUUUCGAUCAGAAAUAUUGAUCUUGUUGUAGAUAGUAUAAAGAAUUUUGUAUCAAAAUUUCAUCUGAUUUGAAUACUUCUGUACCGUUAAGCUUGAAAACAGCAGAUAUCAACCAUUAAAAAUUAUGGAUUUUGAAUCCUUUCGAUCACUAGGUAAAUGAUAUCAAAAAAUCGCAAAAAUUAUUUUCUAGAAAUGUCAAAUACCCUAGAUCAAGUCUAACAGAGCCGAUCGUCGAUUCGAAAAUUCCAUCAUCGAAAACGGCUCAGAAGCACGGAGGCCUCCGUGCUCCUGAGAGCACAGCAGCCCUGCUAUAUAUAUAUAUAUAUAUAUAUAGUCUAACUAGAAUACUAUUGAUAUAUAUAGAGAGAGAGAGAGUUUUGAGCCAGAAUUAAUACUAUUAAUAAGUAGCAAAAAGUUGCUAAUAGUGAGUUUUUUGCCCUUGGAUCCUUGCAUGCACAUAGUAUAAUUAAUAGUUCAAUUUUCCUACUUAGUAGAAACGAAAUUGAAAUGUAACACAGUAAUACUAUACCUAAGAAAUUGAUUCUCACGAGGCCUCCUUUAUAAAAACAAGGAGGAAAAAAGUUUUUCCUUCACAUACUUGUGCAUAGUUUAGUGGUUGGUAUUAAUUGCUUGCUUUUUAUAAUAGCUUGUAAGUUUAAGUUACGCAUCUUGUGUUGAUAAUGACACAAAAAAUAAGAAGAAAAAGUUUCUUAUUAGAAAAAAAGCAGGAAAAAGUUUCUCUCAUUAAGAAUAUUUUUGUUAAUUCUUUUCUAUACGAUUUAUUUUCUAGGUAUAUGGUUUCAAAGCAAAACCUAAGCCCCAUCAAAACAUAUAUAGAGGUUCUAGGUUUAGUUUCUCAGUCUACAGAUUAAUGGGUUAGAUCUCUAAAUUCCUUUACCUUUUUAGUAAUUUCUCAUAUCAAAGCAUGCAUGUGGUAUGAUUUAUCUAAUUGUGUAGAUCAACUUCAACGGUGCCGAUUAUCAAUUUGAAGUUCCGAUCAUUCAAAUCGACUUGAUAGGACAAGAGUCCCAAUCCUAUUAAUAGAAUAGUAGCCGGACCCUAUAUAUAUAUAUAUAUAUAUAUAUAUAUAUAUAUAUUGAGAGAGAGAGAGUAAGAAUACUAUGCUCUUUAUAAAAACGAUCAUCUUCGUACUCAUAAAUCAUUUUCAAUGAUGAAGUUUUUGAAUCGACGAUACAAAGAGCCUCAAAUUGACAUUUUUAAUGGCUGGGUAUGGAGCGUUUCUGAGUUAACAGUGUAGAAGAAUUGAAAUUAAUUAAAUUUUUAAUAAAAAGUUUUAUUCACUAUAUAAAUCAAGAUCAAUUAAUGACUCUGAUCUUGAAUUUAAAAAUCCUAUUUCUUAUUUUUAUGAGGUUGUUUCAUUUUGACCGUUCAUUUAUAUCCAAUUAAUAGACUUUAUUAUAAAUUUAAAAAUGACAAAAUUCGAUUUCUAUAUGCCUAAAUACUCUAGAUUAUAUUUAACGAUUCAGAAAUUCUAUCAUUGAAAAUAAUUUAUGAGUAGGUUACUAUACUCAAUAGAGUAUAUAUAGUAGCUCUCUCUCUCUCUCUAUAUAUAUAUAUAAGAUUAUCUCCACUAUGCAUGUGGACAAAAAUGUUCAAACUAGAUCAGGAUCAUUUUUUUUAUUAGAUAUAUUGUCCAUUUUGUGUAACACCAUGUAUAAUUGGACUGCACAAAUUAACCAACAUAUGGAUAAGAAAUCAUUUGGUUUGGUGUGCAUUAAUUUAAUGUAUCAUAAGUAAGGAGUAUAAUUAACAGCUUAAUAUAAGAUCAAUUUUAUGAAAUUUAGGCCCAAGGGUAUGUAUAUGUGCAAAACAUUAUUGAUCACUAUACAUAUGUAUUGAAUAUAUAAUAUAAGGGAUGUGAUUGACAAAAGGGUGAAUUGUUCAUGCAGCUUUUUUUUUGUUUUUUUGUUGCUUUUUUUAAUAUUUUAAACUUAAUUUGGGUAGCCAUGUAAACUGCAAAAGUGCGACACUGCAAGUUCAAGCAGCUUUGUUGCAUAUGUUCUAUAAAGUUUUUACAAAAGAGUUCUAAAUAUUAUUGAGUGUAAUUAAUUGUCUAGUUACAUUUUAACUAAUCAGGACUUAAUUAAUUAGCCCAAUAAUUAUCAUCUCCUCUCCUGUAAGAGGUAAAAGGUUGAAAUAAAUAUAAAUGUCAAUUCUAUGAGUUUGUGUAGGAAGAGAGCUAGAAUACUUACGUAUAUCGAUCUCCUCUUUCUUUUUUUUUUGAGAGCCAGAAAUAGUAUAUGGAUUUAUGUAUGUAUCAAUAAAUAAAUAAAUAUAUGAGUCUAGUUACUAUAUUCUUAUGAGUAUGAUUGGCUUUGUACUCAUAAGUUGUUUUUAAUAAUAGAGCUUCUGAAUCAACGACCCAAACCGUUAAACAUGAUUUAGAGCAUUUAAAAUGUCUAGAAAUCAAAUUUCGUAAUUUUUCGACAUCAUUCACCUAACGAUCAAAAGAUCAUAAAAUUGAUAGUUUUUAACGACCGGUAUGAAACACUUGCCAAUUUAACAGUGUGCAAGAAUUGGAACUGGUUGAAUUUUUGAUAAAAAAUUCUAUUCACUAUGUAUAUAAAAAUCAAUAACUCUAAUCUUGAAUUGAAGAAGAAUCCGAUCAUCUAUUUUUAGAAGGUCCUUCAAUUUUGACCGCGCGUUUAUUUUCUAAAAGUUUCAAAUAAUCUAGAAUUAUAUUUAACCGAAUGAAUCUUCAAUUUGAAAGCUCCAUCAUCAAAAAUAACUUAUGAGUACGAAAGAAUCUAUACUCAUCACUCUCUCUCUCUCUCUCUCUCCAAAUGCUAACUCAUGCAUGUUACACUGCACCACUUCUCCUCAACAAGAAAGAGGCCACGAGCGCACUAGCUACAUAUAGAGAGGAUAAUUGUUAGUACAUGCACACUUCAAACAAAAUAAUAAUAAUAAUAAUAAUAAUAAUAAUAAUUUAAUUUAAAAAAUUCCUCUUGCACUUUAGCCCCGGUCUCAAUUACCGCCCUGCAUUAAAAAUUACAUCAAUUACCAGCCUAUAGUUUGUCGCCAUCUCAAAUAGAUCCAAAAAGAUUUAAAAAUUUUUGGCAAAUUUGGGUGUGAAAUUUUACUAAAACAAGUUGGCAUAUUACGUACGUUGUUCCCUAUCUCAACAUAUAUUUAAUUUGCAACUCAAAAAUAUAUAAAAGAUUUAGACAAAUGAGAUAUCAUAUUUUGCUAAUAUUAUCAAAAUUGAUAGUUUAUUGAGCAAUUUGUUCGAAUUUAUGAUUCUAUUGCAUUACUUAUAUGUAAUUCUAUCUUAAAAAUUAUUUUUACAACGCUCCAUAGCUAAAUUCAAUAAUUAUCCCAAAUAACUGGAUUUAUUUGAGAUAAUGACAAAGUGUAGGAGGGUAAUUACUAUAAUUUUUUAUACAAGAAGGUAAUUGCAACAAGCGCCAAAAUGUAAGAAAACUUAUUAUAAAUUAGGGGGCAUUUGGUUCGGCGUAAAAUGAACUAAAAAAUAUUUUCGGAAUAAAAAAUAUAUUUCCGCUUGUUUGGUUCAACGUAAAAAUAUUUUUUUAUAAGAGUAUUUUUACGGAUUUAAAAAAAAAUUGAAUUUUUCAUUUCUGCUGUUUUUUUGACAGAAAACAAAAUCAAGCUGUGCAAAACUUUUUUCAUUCAUUUUUUUCUAUCAAACCAAAUAAAUGUGAAUCUUUUUUCUUAACUAAACAAAUAUUGAUAAAAAGCUAUUUUUUUUUUUCCUAUAAAGCAUACACUGCAAAACAUAAUUUUUUUUUCACGAAAAAUUUGUUUUUACGAAAAUUUAUUUUUCACGAUUUUAUGUUGAACCUAACGACCGUUAACCCAAAAAAAAAGAAAAAAGAAAAUGUUAUACAUAUACAUAUGGCCCGGGAAAAUAUUUGAAAAUAAAGGGCAAAUUAAGGAAGACAUUGACACAAUACAUGUUGCUUUAUUGCUUUUGAUCAUCAAUGUGGCAGAAAAGCAGCAAUACAUUGUACUAGUAAAUCAUAUGUCUCAUCAAUAAAAAUCCUGAGCCCCAUCCGUAUUAAAUAUGGUACUAAAAAUGAGUGCUUUAUAUAUUAAUGCAACUAUUUUUCGUAACGCAGCUAGGGCCAUAUGUUUAAAAUAUUAUAUAUAUUAAAGAAGGUAAGAGAAUGAGUGCAUGUUGUGAAUGUACGUACGUACUCGAUUGCAUGGUGGAGAUAUGAGGUGAUCAUGCACAUUAACUGAUAUGUACUAAACUAUUUGAAAAUGAUCUUAACAAAUAUCAUAACAUUCUUUUGGCUUCUUAUAAAAUCAAUUCUCAGUUUUCAUUUUCUUAUAUAUAUGUAUAUAUAGGGUCCGGCUACUAUACUAUUAUGAGUACGAUCGCCCUCGUACUCAUAAGUUGUUUUCGAUGAUAGAGCUUCCGAAUCGACGAUCCAUACCGUUAAACGUUAUUUAUAGCAUUUAAAACUUCUAGAAAUCAAAUUUUAUAAUUUUUCGACAUCAUUUACCUUACGAUCAAGAAGUCACAAAUUUGACAAUUUUUCAACCAGGCCGUUAAUAGGAUACUUGCUAGUUAACGGUGUAAAAGAAUCAGAAUGUUGUUGAAGUUUUUGAUAGAAAAUCUAUUCACAGCUACAUAGAUAAAGAUCAGAUAACUCCGAUCUUGAAUGAAAGAUCCAAUCAUACUUUUUUAGACGUCGUGUUGAUUGAACCGUUCAAUUUUAUGCCCACUUGGACAGACUUAUAUGAUUUCGAAACUAUUUACGAAAUUUAUUUUUCUAGAAGUUUUCAAAUCUCUAGAUCAAAUUUAACGGAGUGGAUCAUCGGAUUUGGAAGCUCACAUUGAAAACAACUUAUGUAGUUAUCGAGGGCUCCAAUACUCAUAAUAGUAUAGUAGCCAUGGCCUAUCAAUAUAUAAUAUAUAUAUAAUAUAAUAUAUAAUAUAUAAAGACGCGUAUAGGGAUUCUCGACAAUGAAGACGGAAAUAGCAAGGGAUAAAAUAAUACCAUACGAAUGGUUAUGAAUUAAUUUGUUAAAAUAUCUCAAGUAAAAAGUAGAUGGUUAUGACAAUCUAUAUCUAUACUCACUAAUAAAUAGCGUAUAGGAAAUUCCGACAAUAAACAGACGGAAUCCAAAGGGAGAUAAAUAAAUAUCCCUACACAAUGGUUAUGAUUUAAUUUUUAAAAUAUCUCAAAUAAAAACCAAACGUUUAGAUCAAUCUAUUAAAUUUUCUAGCUAUAUUAAAAAAGAAAUAAAAUUAAUAUUCCCUACGAAUGGGUUAUAUUAAUUUAUUAACAAAUAUUUCAAAAAAAACGACACGAUUAUAAUGAUAACUCAUUAAAUCUCUACUGUAUAUAAAAAUCUAUUCCCUAACAAAUGAUCUAUAAUCAACAUGUGUUAUUAAAAAUAUCUCAAAUAAAAUAGUGUUAAAUUAAUCUAUAAAAAAUAGCAUUUCUAUCUAUUUAUAAAUUCACAUCCUAUGAACAAUUAAUAAUCAAGUUUGUUAGAAAAAUAUCUCAAAUAAAAACAAACGGGUUAUGAUUUAAUUUGUAAAAAUACAUUCCUAUUCAUUAUUUAUAUUUAAAUAAUUUGAGUUUAAAUUAUGAAUUAAAUUUAAUUUUUGAUAUCAAAUUUGAAUUAACAAUUAAUUUUUUUAUUACGGUGGAUCAAUAUUAAAUUUUAAAUUUUAAAGUAAAUGUGAAUUAAAUUUUAAUGCUUUUAGUUUAAAAAAUAUAUUUAAAUUUGAUUCAUAAAAAAUCAAAAAGUAUAUAAAAAUGUUCGAUAUAUAUAAAAAAAGAACACGGUAGGAUAUUGUAAAUAUUUUCUAAUAAAAUAUAACAUAUUAAUUUAUAAAUAUAAUUUUUAUUGUAAAAUUUUAAAUAUAUAUAAUGUACAAAUUUAUAUUGAUUUAAAAUAAAUUAUAAUAAUUGUUACGUGUAUUUACACGUACAUUCGACUAGUAUAUAUAUAUAUAUAUAGAGAGAGAGAGAGAGAGAGAGAGAGAGAGAAGGGCUACAGUCCUUCGUACUCAUAAGUCUUUUUUUUAUAAUAGAGAUUCCGAAUCAACGAUCCACUCCAUCAAAUAUGAUCAGAAGUAUUUAAAACUUCUAAAAGAUAAAUUUCGUAAUUUUUCGAAGUCACAAUAAAGUCCAUCAAGUAGGCAUAAAAUGCAUGUAUGGUCAAAAUCGAACGAUGUCCUAAAAAUAGAUAAUCGAAUUCUUCAAUUUAAAAUCGGAGUUAUUGAUCUUUAUCUAAAUAGUGAAUAGAAUUUUUUCUCAAAAAUUUAACCGAUUCCGAUUCUUUUUCUUUUACACUGUUAAACUAGCAAAUAUUUCCUACCGGCCGUUAAAAAUAGUCAAUUUUAAAAUUUUUUCACGAUAAGAUAAAUGAUGUCAAAAAAUUAUAAAAUUUGAUUUCUAAAUAUUUUAAAUAUUCUAGAUAAUGUUUAACGGUAUAGUUUGUCGAUUCGAAAACUCUAUCAUCGAAAACGACUUAUGAGUACGAAGACGAUUGUACUUAUAUAGAAGUACAGUAGCUGGACUCUCUCUCUCUCUCUCUCUCUCUCUCUCUCUCUAUAUAUAUAUAUAUAUAUAUACACACCUAUAAUAAUCUAUGUCGAGGGAUCUAACCAAAGAAGAUCGAGUGUGAGCCUUAAUCUUUUAAACUUAAUCUUAAAAAUAUGUAAAUAUGUAAAUCAUCAAUGUAUGAGCGAAAUUUGGGACCGAAUAGGAACGAAAAUGAGGUUUUAGACCCUGGACCAAAAUAGUGCGUAACUGGACAUAGCCUGACCCAAUCCUAUAGAAACCCUACUAUAUAGGGGGCCCCACAUACUUUUUUAAAUUCUUUGCAAAUCAAUUUCGAUUUAUCCAUUUACAAAGAAGUGCUUAUGUGGAUGCUUCUGUUUUCAUCUUCAUUUACUUUCACUGAAGAAUUUUCCAAACAAAUAAACUCAGCUCUGAUCAAUAAAAGCAAGAACUCUAAUCUUACAACUUUUGAGUAGAGAAAAAAAAAAAAACUUAAUAUGUUGAUCCAAAUAGUAUUUUAUGAAACAACAUUACAUCUAUAUUAAACCAAGAACAAAAAGGCACUCCACUAUAGUGCAAUCAAAAAAUUUCUAUAUAAGCAUUUAACUUUUCCCAGGCAAUUAUUGUCACACAAAGCUAAACCAACAUCACUUUAUCUGUUCUUUAGAGAGAGAGAGAGAGAGAGAGAGAGAGAGAGAGAGAGGGAGAGAGAGAGUGUGUGUGUUUUUGCCAGAUGGUUGAUUUGGUUUUUGGUGUUAGUGCUGAUUCCAUGGCAGCAAGACCAAAGUGAAUGAGCAUAGUUUGGCAGGCCCUCUUUUCAAAAAAAAUAUAUAUAAAUAUAAAUAUAUAUUAUAAGAGUGAAAAAAAAGGAGAAGGGUUAUUAAAAUAAGGUGAGGCCCACAACCCUUCAUGUCAGGAGAAAAGAGAGGCAAAGAUGCCAGGGAAAAUGUGAAAUAGAGAGCAUGGGCAAGCUUGCCUUUUUUGGCCCCCCCUCAAAACCCUUUCUUCACUGACCCAGCAUACACCACUAUAGCCUGCAUCUUACUUCCCAAAAUCAUGCACUCUUUAUGGGACUGCCCCUCUCUCUCUCUCUCUCUCUCUCUCUCUCUCUCUCUCUUCUUCCUUUGCUCUGAGCCUCACCUUUUCUUUUUUUUUUCCUUUUUUUCUUUUCCAUUCAUUCAUCUCUCUCUCUCUCUCUCUCUCUCUCAUAGAGGAAUGAUUAAAAAAUUAUUAACUAUUAUUAGCUUAAAGGGUUAAUUUCAUACAGCUCUGUGUAAAUAUAUCGAAUAGCAAAUAUAUCUCUGUAAGUUCAAUUUUUUAUAUUUAUUCCUGUAAAAAUCCAGUCAUAUUCAUAUUUGUCCCUUUAAUUUCCUAUCGUUAGAGUAACGUUUAUUUUUUAAUAAAAGAUAAGUAAAAUGAUAUUUUUAUCAUUAUUAUAAAUAUGUCUCUCUAAAAGUCUUAGCUGUUAGAAUUAUAUAGAAAUAUCCUCCUAAAAAUUUCAUCCCCAGCGAUCAUCUUUUUUCUUUCUACCAUCAUAAAUAAUAUAAGAGAGGUAAAAAAUUCAUUUUCCAUCGCUCACUAAUUAAGAUUAAGUAUUUUACGUAUGGUUAACUAUAUUUUUCUAACGAAUUUUAACAGUAGAAGUAUAUUUAAAAAUAUUAGGACCUUUAUAGAAAUAAACAUAAAAAGUUAAACUUGGUAGGAAUAUAUCUGCUAUUGCAAUUAACAUAGCUUAAACUUGUAAACCAAAAAAAAAGUCUUGGAUAUCAUCCUAGCUUGUUGAUUGCUAUUUAAUUGAGAAAAACACCAUCCCCCUACUCAUAUCAAAGUCCAAGUUUUAUAUAUCUAUCAAAAUCGUCCGAGUCCGAGUCCGAGGACGACCGAAUACUAUUAAAAAUAGAUGUUAUUGAUUCUCCACUGGCUUAAACUUUUGAAAAAGUAGGAUUAUUUGACUCUCACUAAUCUCUCACAAAGAACCUGCUUGAUCUAGCUAAAGUGUACAUAAAUAUUUAGAACUACUUAAAGAGAUACUGAUAACUGUUUUUGAUAUGCGAGAACAGAAGCUUUAAUUUAAAACUUUUACCUUUCGCUUUUGAUAGAGCUCUAGUUUGCUUAAUUAGCCGAAAAUAAGUUGUAGUACACCCAUAAGAUGUUACUAUUAGGAACCUUGAGACCUAGCCCUAAUCAAUCACUCUCAAUGUUUGUAGAUACAUGAUGCAUUAUAUAUGCACCCCCUCUAAUCAUGUGUAACAGUACUAGGCUUUUUCCUGUUUUCUUGUUCAAGCUACACACUGUAGUAGGGGACCAUUUAAGCUUUCAUUGCUCAAAAAUAGUUUGGGCUAGAACCAGAUGUAACAGCUGAUCUUCCAGUGGGCCUUCAGAUAUCAGAGAUAAAAUUUCAUAGAGAAAAUUUUUAAUAUUUUUUUAUGCCUUUUGAAACCCCUCAAAAGGGGGAAAAAAAGGAAGAAAGAGACUCUUUUCAGCACAAGACCAUGAACUGAUCCAAACUGGUAAUUUGCAUUCAAGUAAGAAAAUUAAGCUUAAGGGGAAAUGUUAUAAUCUUUUAUAAAGUGGUUCUCUCCCUCUCUCAUGGAAAAGUGUUUGGAUAAUUAACCAUAUAUUAGCACAACCUGGGUUUUAUAAAUUAGCAAUCACAACCAACUAUACAAGCUCUAUUCUACUAUGAGCCUGUUUGGCCUUACUGGAGCUGAAAGUGCUAAUCUUACAAGCGCGAGAUUUAGAAGAACUUCUUUAGUCGGCACCGAUUUAGCUAAUUUAAUUUGUGUCUCGCAAACCCUUCCAAAAUGAACAAAAAUGGUGUUCUUUGUGGUAAAGUCGCCUUAAAAUUAUAGAAGCAGGACCAAACAAACUCUUCAAUAUAGAAGCACAGCAAAUAAGCACUCAUUUUUAAGUUCGCAAAGAGCUAUUCUUCAACUAAAGACCUAUUUGGCCCUGCUUUAAUCUGUCUCUUUGUUUCAAUAGGCUUAUAACGGAAAAGACGUAUUUGGUCCUUGUAAAGUUUCCACAAAACACCUAUUUGAGUGGAACUCUAUGCAAAUGUACCAGUAACAACUUUCACUAGAAUGGAGCGAAAAUUAAAGUUUUAAAUUACUGCUUCUACUUUCAAAACUCUGGCGCACACAUAUUUGACUCUUGAAAAACUUAAAGAACACUAAUAGUACUAACUUGAUUAGAGAGGGAUAAAGCUAGAGACAUGGACAUAAAUAAUUAAGCAUUGUGGCUCACACACAAAUGAGAUGAGAUAUCCUUCCAAAAGAGCAUCACUUUUGAUUAACUGACAAGGUUCUAAAAUCACAUGAUCUAAAGCAAAACCCCCCACCCUCCCCUCCCCUCCCCUCCCCUCAUGUGACUGUNCUACUUCACUUACCAGGAAUUUCAACAGUUAGUACCGUCCCCAUGGCCAAAUCAAAACCCCUUUGCUUUCCCCCAAGCCUUAGCUGGUCAACCCCCUUGUGCCCAAAUCCCUCAAGGAUUAGACCCUCUUAUUAUCCUAAUCUAUCUAGCACAUUACUUUAAUCCCCCCACUUGAGCCCAAAUCCCAUCACUUGGAUUCUUAAUCCUACUUUACUGCAUUUUUUUAGUGGAACUUUGGGAAUAGCCAAAGUGUGCUUUGGAAAAUUUAUUUAAAAAGGGUGUUUGGAAUCAUCCACAGAUGAUUAAGAAUAUGGUACCAUUUGAGUGAAUAGAAUAAGGGGUUAGUGGGGGGUGGGAUUAUUUUUGUCCCAUAAUUUGUUGUCAUCUAGAUCAAGGGUUAAUACAAAAAUUAAAGUGCACCCCCAUGCCCUAGACCCUUAAAAAGAGGUCUUGGGCUUCUGAUCCUAAAGGUGUUUGAGAAGAAGACAAAGGGGUUGAGAGGGGAAUAUAUGCUUUUUAAGUAAUCUUAGGGCCAUGAAUUCCAACACAACCAAGGGUGGGGGGGCCAUGGCUGUUUUGCCUUUCAUUCAUACAUCAAAUUAAAAGCAUUGAUGUUAGGUUGUGGUGCCACACUCUCUCUCUCUCUCUUUCUCUCUCUAGUCCUCUUUGUAAUCCACACCAGAUACAUUCCAAAUCAAUCACAUAGUAAUAUCUUAAAUUAAUUAAGUUAAAUCAUCAGCUAUGUGGCAGAGUUUUAUUGGACUGUGACUAAUCAAAUUUAAUAUCUUCUCCUGAAGAUAUAUUUGAUAUGGGCAUCUUUUCACAAUUUCAUUUAAUGAAGCGAUAUUAGCUUAUGAACAUCAAAUCAUGGACUAUAUAAUAAUUCUAUUUUAAACAAUAAAACAUAAUCUUUACUUAUAUAUUUCUUCUGAAAGAUAAUAAGAUUAGAUUGGUCUUUACUUGUUCUACGAGAAUGAAAUAACUAUUAUAGAAAAGGGAUAAUAUCUAAUGUCCCUAAAAACUUCUAAAAUAUUUAAUAUACUUUUACUUUUUUUUGUUUCAAAUUACUCCUUGUAUAUUUCUCUAUUAUUAAAAAAUACCUCGGCUGUUAGUACCCAUUAAGUUAUCUCGGAUUAAACCUGGUUAAAUUUCUACCAGAGUUAAAAUGUGAGAUACCAGGUAGUCCUAUAUAUAAGAUAUAAUAGGGCUAAGCUCUUAACCUGACUUAAGUAUUUUGAGUGGUUGCUAGGCCCAAAAAGUUAAGAGAGUUAAGCGUGCUAGGAUGAAAGUAGUCCUAGGAUGGGUGACACCGUGAGAAGUUAGGGCGUCCCAGUUGAUAUUAGAACUAAUUACCAGCCGAAAGUGUGAUAUAAGUCUCGGCUGAGCCAAGAUCGGAAUGACAAGGCUAGCGAGACGAGUCUCACAUCGCCUGUUACUUGUGAGUCUGAGCUUGACGAGAACAUCAGGACUUAAAGGGAGGGAGAUUGCAAGACCCCAGAUAGUCCUAUAUAUAAGAUAUAAUAGGGCUAAGCUCUUAACCCGAUUUAAGCAUUUUGGAUAAUAACUAAGCCUAAAAGAUUAAGAAAGUUAAAGGUGCUAGAACCGGAGCAAUCCUAGGAUAGGCAAUCCCCUUGAAAGUUGGGGCGUCACAUAAAAAAAAAAAAAAUCAAAUUAUCUCUCUUACCCUUAACUUAAGGACAAAUAAGAAAAAUUGAUGAUGGUAGAAAUAUAUAUUUGAAAAGAAUAAAAAAUCAAAAUAUCUUUUUAUCCCUAACUUAAGGAUAAAUAAGAAAGGUUGGUAACGAUAGAAGGAUGUAUUUGAAACGACAAAAUAAUAAUUUUACAGAAAUAACGGUUGUUAUUAAUAAUUCACUAAUAAAAUUUAACUCUAGAAGUAUAUUUGAAAUAACUCAAAAUUUUUUUUUUUUUUUAGAGAUAGGUAGCACGCUACCCGCUUCGUUUAUUUCAUUUAUAAAUAAACUUAGCUAGAAAUGUAAAUCAACUAGAAUUCAAACUUGGGUCUCGGGUACCAACCACCAAGCCCUUUGCCACUUGCUCUAGGGAUGGUUGGUAAAUAACUUGAAACGUUAAAAAGAUAUUUUAAUAUUAGUUUUCUAAAAGAGUUAAAUCAGAAAAUGUGAAACUUUUUAAAAAUAUAUAAGCAAUUCCCCCUAAAAAAAAUAAAAUGGAUAACUCCCUCCUCCCUCCCUCUCUCUCAUACACAGACAUAUUGAAUAGAGCCUAACAGGCAUGUCACAUUCUCAUGUUCCAACUUUAUUAGGGCUUAUGGGGCCCAUGUCACAUCCCCACGCAUAUGACAAGGGUGUCAUGUCCAUGCAAGUACAUGUCAUGCAUCAAUCUUAAGUUUGAAGCCCCAUCCAUGAUGAAGCCUCAAACACCUGCUGGACCAAGAGCACUUAUGUAUGAAAUCCAAAUAAAAACACUUACAAGCACAAACCAGGAUCCAGUUGAUUGUACAUUCCAUUCACUAGGUUAAUUAACCAUUUACCAAAGAUUAAAUUUAAAUCGAAUUAAUGUAAGUUGGCUUAAUUUGGUGCAAAUUAUCCUCUUCAAGAAGAAUGGAUUCAAGAAACUUCUUUUCUUUUCUUUUCUUUUUUAUGGUUUUUUUGGAGAAAACCCUACUACACCAAAGUACCGCGGAUCGAACCCGAGAUCAUCAAGCAUUGAGAAAGAAGAUUACAAACAUUUGAACCAAGAAUACAUUGUACUUAAACCUGGAGACAAAUUAAGUACAGUUACCAUGCUUAAGCUCUUGGCUUUUUGGCACAAUCCAAGUUCACCACAUGAUUUGCUUCAAUGUAUGCUUAGUUUUAGUGUUUGGCAUAUUACAGAGACUAAUACAAAUCCAACCAAAAUUAUUUCCUAGUUCUUUUUGGCAUUUUUUUGGGGUAAAAAUUUGGAAUGAGCCCCUUAACUACAGGCCCUCUAAAAAUACACCCCUUUUUUAUUCUUUCUUUCUUUAAGGCAAUCACUUUACUUCUACUUGUUUGGUUUGAGUUAAUUAGUUAUUUAAAUUAAGGUAUUUUGCUUAAUUAUUGCUAUUUCAUUUGCUAAAAGAAGAUUCCAUCCAUCAAAUAUAAUAAUCACUAUUGGACUUAGAAAAACCGCUAAUUCGUUUGACUAAAAUCACAAAAAAUAAAAAUAUAUAUAUAUAAGUUGGAGUGUAACUUUAUUUAAAAGAAGAAAGAAGGGAAGUUGAGGGGCCUAUUCCAAAAUGGUAUAGUUGAGGGUGCCUUUAAAUUUUUACCAUGUUUUUCAUUGACAUGUUAUUGCAUCAAUGAUUGAUUUUUGUUUAACAAUAAACAAAUUCGUCUAAGAGAGAUUUCACAAACAAAACAAAACAAAAGGAACAAAAAAGCAAAAAAGUGCAACACUAUAUAUGUUUUCACAUCAACUUAAGUGGAAAAAGUUAAAAAGCAUAAAUCAGAACACUGCAAUAAGCUCCUUAAUUUGUAUUGAAUUUGUUUGAAAAGCAAAAAAAUAAUGCAUCUGCUUUUGAAUGCUAGCUGAAGUGUUAAACAAUUAAUGGAUGAUGUGACUAACAUCUUAGAUAAAUAAAAGGGACCCGAAAAUUAAAGCUACUAAUUCUGCAGCUGUUUUGGUCACAUCUAUUGCAUAUAAUCUUAUUAAUCUUUAAAACACAAAGAAAUUUAUUUGUUCAAUGCUAACAGUAAGCAAAAGAAUACAAAUUGAAAGAGAAAGAAUAGGUUUCUUAACAAUAGGUUUGUCUGUAUUUUAAAUCUUGCAAAAUUAUAUACACGACAUACAAUCAAAACAAGCUGCGUAAUUAGUAACUUCAUUUAAGAAGAGGGGUCUGUUGAACUGUUUAAUAAAGUUUAGAAAGUCUAAUUGCCACAGAGAAAGUUCAAGAACCUGUUUGCAAGAGAGGUAAAGUUCAGGAGGGCUGACAAAAAGUUCCAACUUGUAACAGAUGAAUCCAAAUGACUCCUGCAUCCUUUAUGAUCAAUACUACUAAAAGUUGCAGCAUCCCUUUGGUGGAAAAAAGCUGCUCUCUGUUGAAAGGAGAAGUCCCACAACUUUAGGUAGUAGAUUGAAUGGAGAGACAAACAACUUCAUUUUAUUUUGGAUAUGAAUGUAGAUGUUUACCUUACCCGAUUACAACAGAAAGAUGUCGAGGGGACCAUGCACGGCGCACCGACCACUUCGCACGGCUUCUCUAUCGAAUCUUAGACAGAUUUCUUUCAUUUUACUUGCAAUUAUACGUAAAAUUUUGUCAAGAAAGGAAAAAAGUGAGAUUCUAAUAUUCUAAAUGUUAGUUUGAUCGAGAAGAGCAUGAAACUGGUACCUCUAAUCAUAGUUAGGUAAACAUUCACUGUUUAGAUAUUAACAAAUUUGUAAAACAAAUUUUAAGAGUAAGAGCAAAUUAUAACCAAAAUGAGGAGGAACUUGAACUAGAACAGAUACCGAUAAAGGCACUUACCUUUGUUCUUCUAUUUCAGGUAGGAAGUUAUUAAAAUAAAGUAGAACAAAUUACAGGUUACAAGAUGCUGCAUGCUGAAUGUUCUACUGCAUCAGUAUUUAUGUUCACCAAAGUAACUUGAUUGAGGCAAAAGUUCAUCAGAAAUAGUUCUGUAACUCACUAAUUAUAUGAAUAGUUAAAUGCCAUUGCUGUACCCAAUCAUAAACACGGAUAACAACAUAAAAGAUACUAUAUGCAUCUUUUUUUUGGUUACUAAUGAAUUAAGCUUGUCCUUAAAAGUAUACAUUACUCCACAGAAACAUUGAUGUGUUUCUUUCUAAAUUUGAGGAACAAAUUUUCUAGAGAGAGUGAAAGUGUGACAUAACAAUAGCAUCACCAGAGUGUCAUGUUCUAGUAAUGUAGUAGCUCACCAAUGGGGCUUCUCCAAGUCAAUCAACAAAAUAAGGGUCUCCUCAGCUUUCUUUCACAGGUUACCUUUCCAAGUAUCACUCAAUUGAAUGCUCAAAAGUGUGAGAGAGAGAAAAAGUAGGAGGGGCUCAUGAAAACAGAACCAUAUCCUGUGCAACCAAGAAAGGCUGUUUUAGAGAGAGAGAAAGUGCGGGCAAAAAAAGCUGUGGUAAAGGAGAGAAGAAGAGCAUGCUUUGAAAUAAUGUUCAAUGUUUCAAUGAUGGCCACUCAAUUUUGACUGCUUUGGAUCAGUUUUGAAGAGAGGGAGCACAUGAUGGAUUCUUCUUCAUAUAAUUGGAACACUUUUACACAGCUACUAAAUAAAAAUAAAGUGACAUAACCUUAGAUGCAAAUCCAUUACGGUCCCAGGUUUCGAUACCAGUUGCGCGAAAAGACAAAAAAUAUAUACAGAGCCACACAUUUUUAACAAACAUAAAAAUCCAACAGCUACAGUAAACUUUUAAGUCAUAACGUAAAACCCAAAUAAAGAGUUCUUAAAAUCAAAAUAUAAACAAUUUAAUGUGAUCCGCAGCGUAUAAAAGACUAGCAAGCAAAAUUUUAUAUAACCUUCGGACAUUUAUUUCUUAUGCAUCAGAAAAUAGAUUUUUUUCUUUUUUUCAAGAGAAAUGGAUAGAGGACUUUUGAACUACUUUGUGUAAGUAAAAAUUUUUUUUAAAAAAAAUAUUUUCUUUUGUCUGCCAGCAUUUUAGAUACUGCUGAUCACAACCAAUAUAUUUACAUGGGGAAUUGGAUUAUAUACCGUCAUUGAAUCAUUUACACAAAAAUUCAAUACUUUCCACAAUCAACAAGAAGUUAGAUAUAAGCCAUAAAAUGACAAUCAAAACCUUUCAUUAUGAUAAAAACUACAUGAUCUUUCUCCCAAAAGAAUCAUUUAAUUUGGAUUUCUUAUACUUUAUGCAUCAGCUUUAACCCCCAACACCCAACACCAACCCCCCUCAAAACACAAAAAGACAAAAAAAAAAGAAAAAAGAAAAAAAAAACUGCACGUAUUUAAGAGUCCAAUACAAUGCUUUGCAACAAUUUAUCCUCUUGAAGAAACAUUGUUGAUAAUAUAAUUCUGUAUAGAAUAAAUUGCAACAAUUAAGGUCAAUUUUCUAUUUGAUCAAUCAAUAUUUUAUUUUCAUUUAUACUUUUAUCAUCUAGAUAAUAAUCAACACCACCAAACUCAUCUUUUAGUGUACACUAUGGCUUUGAACAAUAAUAUCUUAUCGAUAUAUUCACCUCUUAACAUGUAAUGAAAUCUAAAUAUUAUACACACCGACAAGAACAUUUUCAGGUAAGAUUACGAUUACUAAACACACCAUCAGAAUCAUUAGACUCAUCUGAAAAGCAUUAUAUUAAGCUAAAGCUGAAUUGUAUGCAUUCAAUGUACAAAAUAUCCCCUACAAAAAGUUGUAUACAAAAAGAACAACUAAUCUAACGAAUACUUCUUACUUUCUCACAUUAUACGCGAUCAGCCUGGCUGCAUCAUUAUAUACGACAUGGGUUAAAUGUUGUCACAAUUUUGCCACAAACUACCUCGACCAACCUAUUCCUGCACCCCGCUAGCCAAUCAUACAAAAAGAUCAAAAGGACUGAUCCAAAUCGACUGUGGCUCGUUAGUCACAAUGCUCAGAUGUUUUUUGGGUACAUUUAAGGGGUAGGUAAAGUGGAAACUCACUAGUAGAAGUGACCAAGCUGCUCCUCUUUCUUGGUAGUUCAAAAGCCCUCAAAAAAGUCCUUUUCCACGUCUCGGAUGUCAGAAUCAAAAGCAGUAUCAAAAUCAUCCACCUCUGCAGGGGUCUGAGCCUCAUUUUUCUCAUCAUUAGAACUCAUAGGCCUAUUUUCUCUAUCUUCCCAUUCAUUGGCCUCCUCUUGUUCUGUCUUCUUAGUGAACUCCUCAAACCAAUCCUUGAUUUAAUAAUAUAGAAAACAAAUUAGAAAUUCCAUACAAAAUAUGUGGAAAGUGAAUUUUGAACAUGAGUGAACAGCAUUGUCAGAGCGGAACCUCAACAUUUUCCGAUAUCCCGUCUUGCGAUUCCGUCUCCUGAUUAGCGGUUGUAUCUCUUUGGGGGUUCUCCUCGGGUUGAAUUUGCAGCUUUUGAAUUAACUCUUCAUAAUGCGAAUGAUCUGCACAAAACCGAAAAAACAGCAUAAUUACUAAUCGUUUUGUGAGUGGUAAAGGCUUGGACAAAAUAGAACUGAAGUAUAGGGAGGUUCAAAAUAAUAGCGAGCAAAGACAAAAGAGCAUAAAAUUGACCAAAAAUGAUAACAUUAUAAUUAAAAGGAAAAAGGACAACAUAAUGAGAGAUGAUUUUAAGGCAUAUAUUUUAUAAAGCUACAAUAUACAUUUCUUGAAAAGUGGCAAAUAUAAACUAGUGAGCAGGUUACCAACCAAGAAAAAGGUGGAACUGCUGAAAGUACUAAGGAACUUCUCUAGGUAACUGCUGCAUUGAUGGAAUUUCCAUCAUCUUUUCUUUUAUCUAAAUUUUAUUGUAUGAAAAUGCAACUGUUAUUUCUAAAUUUUAAUAGUUUUACAUAAUGCAUAUACAAUCUUCCAAAUUCAGAUAUUUAAACAUAUAUUCCUAGAAAAGGCUCAAUACAUGUGUACCCUUGAAAUUGGCUAUUAUCACCACAAAGACCAAAAACACAUACAUGCCUGUGCAUAUUUCACUAUACAUAUAUACCCAAAAACGAAAGUUGGCAAGCAUAAAGGAAAAACAAUAACAUCAAGAAUAUUAAGGUUUUCACCUUUAGAGCGAUAAAUUAAAGCAUCACGGACUUCUAAAGGAUGUUUCCGCUCCUCGUUUUUAUAUUUAGCUUUCAAUUCGUGACGUGUACGACCAGGGAAUAGCUGUAGUAUCAUUUCAAAGUCUGUUCCAAACUGCUGAAUAGCCUGAAGUGACAAGACAACAUUAGGAAGAAAUUUCAACAUUAAGCUAAGAAGAAAGCUCUCCAUUAAUAUCAUGAUUUUCACUUGAGCAUGGGCAUUGUGGAAUAUUAAUAUAUUUACAUAUUACCCCCUUAGCUCUAAAUAUUCAUCUCUUUGCCUCCUUCAUUAGAGUUUCUGGGCCAAUUAUAUCACUUUGCUUAUGUGUCAUUUCAGUGAAAACGUGGUUUUAAUAGUUGAAGGGAGCAAUAUGAAAAGCACAACAUAGUCAUGUGUUUUUUGCAAUUUAGCUUAAACAGUACUGAUAGAAUUAUAAGAUAGAAAGGCCUAACAAAUAGAAACUUCCAAAGAAAUAUACGAACGGUAAAAGAAUAUACGCGAGAACAAUAGUUCCAAUUAAAAUCAUAACUUUCAUUUGUUGCGUACUUGGUUACUAAUAGGAAAAUGUAAUAUAUCGCUAUUGUUUAUUGCAUACUUUGUAAAACAUUUCUGUUUCCAAUUUUGACCAUCUUUUUGACUUCGCUCUAUUCAUAUAAGAGUGGUAAUUCAAUUUUGUGGAACUUGGCUGAGCGCCGCCAUUUUCCUCGUUAUCAUGAUUUUCUUCUUCACCGCCGAAAAAAUCAAAGUCAUCUGGAUUUUUUCUUCUGUAAACACUGCAGCACAUUAAAAUAUGACUGAUCAAAUGUCAGUAAUAAUUGACAACAAAAGUACAACAAAUCCUUCACAAAUCAAAACAUACUACAAGGGAUAAGGUUGUGUUGCUAAAAUUUAAAAACAACUUCUAUCCGAUUGACGUGUUCGGAAAAAAAACUCGCAAUAUUCUUAAAAGCUUGUUGUUUGCAAACUACUACUAAAAAUGUUUUCAUGCGGUACCCUAGGUUUGUGCUUUGAUUAGAAAGCUAUAUUUCCAAAAGUUCAUGUGACAAAAAAGAAAAUGACAAUUCCCUCAAAUUAAGGUAAAGAAAUUACAGCAAAGAAUCACCAAAUAAUUUCUUCCAAUAAAAUGAAUACUUGAGCUUAUUAUAACAUGUAGAAUAUAAAGCUUCUGCACUACAAAUGUAUUAGAAUCAUAGAGUAAGGCCUUCACUAUUUGUUUCUUGUUAAGGUCAAUCCAUUUAUCGCAUGUUUGGUUCAAAUAGGAAUAGAAAUCGGAAUAGGAAUAGGAAUGGGAAUGGACCGGAAUUGAAAACGAAUAAUAAAAACUCCAAUUUGUUUGGUUCAUAAAAGGAAUCGGAAUUGAAUUCAUGUUCAAAUUAAAAUUCAAAAAGAUUAAACUUUCAUUAAAAUUUAAAUUUACUAUUCGAAUUAGCAAUAAAAAUUUGAAUCCAAAUUUGAACCCACAAUUUGAAGUUAAAAUUUGAAUUUACAAUUCAAAUUCCAGUUCACAACUUGAAUUUAAAUUUAGAACUAAAUUCAACUAUCAAACUAAUAUUAGAAAGUAAACAACUUGAGCUUAGAAAUUAAAAAUUGAAUUUUGAAUCCAUAAUUCAAACUCAAAUAUAAAAUUAUAGUUUAAAAUUAAAUAUAGAUUAAUAUUUGAAGUUAAAUAAUUGUUUGUGAAAAAAAAAAGAAUUUCUCAAUCCCUUUCGGAAUUAAAGUUGAUUCCCUCUAAAUAGGGUUUAUCCCUCUUUAACCAAAAAAAAAAAAAAAAAAGAUUCCCACUUCCAUAGGGGGAGUCAUUUUGGGGGGAAAUGUGCUAGCAUACAAUUCACAAUUGCACUAUUUUAGCAAGGAAAAAGUCACUCUAAGGGACAUUUCAAUUAUGCAGACCUAGGAAGUUCAAUGGCGCAUACAGAGGGAACCACUGCUAUCGUAAGGAACAAAAGUCAUUCUGCUUAAAAAACUUAGUUUACUUCCAUACCUUUGACCAGCUGCUGCUUGUUUACUCUGUAAACAGGUCAACAUAAAAGAGCAUAGUGAGAUAUGAAACACACUUUUAACUACCACCUAAUUGGCCUCCAAAAAAAGAAAAAAGAAAAAGAAAAGAAAGCACACCCAAUUUUUCUCAUUAUUCUCUGCUAGCAAUAUGAGAUUCCUUAUGCUAAUCUGCCUUCGAUCAAUCUCGUUCUGAGGCGUUUCAAGCAAAACCUUGUCCACUAUAAAAUGAAGCCCAAGUAAAUAUCAAGAUAAAUCCCACUAUCUAUUUUAGCAACAAAAGAUUUCACUUGCACCCAGCGCACUACAUCAACCGUGCAAUGCCCCAUGUGAUGCUAUCAAUUCCAUUUCUUCAAUCCACACUACCCAAUGAGUUGCAGCCUUUUCUUGAUUAAAAAUUUAUCCUCUUUAAAAAAGAAUUGGAUGGCUGCAUUAAAAGUGUGAGAUAGAUUUGGCAUUUGGGAAGUGCACGGAUGAUGUGGUGCUUGAGUACAGGCAAUAAUUCUUGAGUUUUAGCAUAUAUUCCCAUGCAGAUGUGAAUAGAGCUAAUACUCCUGCAAAAUUAGUAUCUGCCUGUGAAACCUUCAGAAUCUUGUUUGCUUGUGCAUAUGCCCUUGCUGAGGGUAGCUGUGCAAAAAUGCUUUUCCAUAUACCCAUGGUCAGGGUGUGAAUGCAGGUAAACAAGGUACCUAGCAGCAUCCAAGCAAAUACCACCUUUACAAGGGCAUUACACAACUUCAUAUAUCUGCAAGGACAUACAUGCAAUGAUAAAAAUUUCUUUCAUGUGUAUGAUGUAGUAGCUUCUCUUAGUGAAUGAAAAGGUCUCACAACUACCUCUCCGUCUCUUUCGACGUAGAGCAUGGGAAAACUUCUUUGGCGAUUCUUCUACAAAUGAGUUGGAUUUCUUGGAGGUUCUCUUGCGCCUCUGAUUUGAUGUCUCACUUUCAUCCUUUUGCUUCCUCGACUUUCUUGGGACCCUCUUCCUCUUUUCUGCAUCUUUGCCAUUAUAAUCAUCAUCUUCAUCAUUAUCAUCACUAAGAACUUCAUCCAUUUCAGAAAGAUUACAUGUCCUGAUAUCCGAAUCAACAUCUGCUUUCUCUUUGGACUUCUUUCUCAAAUUCCUAGAUGAUUUGGUAGCUCCAACUUCUUCAGCAGUUUCUGGAUUUGGUUCUUCAACAUUUUGGUUACCAGUAUCAUCAAAAUCGUUAAAAAACUGAUCUUUGCUGAUAUCAUUCUGCCAAAAUCAGAACCCAAGGUAACUUAGUAAUAAAAUUAUAAAAAGGUGUGAGAUAUUUACCUAUAUAACCUUUAUAUAUUUCAAUAAAAAAAACUCACAGGUCUGAAAAUUCAUCAAUGCACUUACCAAUACUUGAUUUCUAAUAUAAAUUCUGGUCGUUACAACAUCCUCUUUAGAGGAACCUUCUCUAAUAUAAAAAAAACUUCCCCAAAUGAAUGGGAUGGCUUUCCAACUUCAAAAUUAGGUAAUUUGGUAAAGAAACUUCUUUCUCAAAAGGUACAAAAAAAUUUAGAUUUUACAGAGAUAUACGGUGAUAGAUGAUUUUACAGGGAUGCGUACAUGAAAGCACCAAUAAACAUAUCUAUGAUAAUAAAACAAUAAAAGAGAUUGCAUGAGCUAAGAAGUUACUUCUUUGGUUGGCUUCAUAACAAAGUCAGCAAACCAAUCAUCAGGCAUAGGUGAUGAAUCCAGGCCAUCUUCCAAAUUUUCACAGGCCAUUGUAUCUUGGGAGGGAAUAUCUGUUUCAAUAGGGUUGGAUUGCUCAGUAUAGUUUUCUGUAGGAGCUGCAGAAUCAUUAGCAUCAGGAAGAACAAAAGACACCGAUUUCCUUUUUCCUUCUUUUUGCUGUCGCUUAGGUUGGACCUUCUCACCAUUGUUAACUGCUGAAAAAUUAUGUACACAUUAUAUCAAAAAAUUUGCAUAUUAAGAGAAGAUCAAUUACAAUGUGAUCUAUCCACCAGCAUCUCCUUACAUAAGUAAUCAAAAAUUCCUAUUUAACAAGAAGUAAUCAUUCAAUACCAAGUUGUCCUUGUACUCACCGCCAGUAGCAUUGGGCUGUGAGGAGAAAUCAUCAAGUGAUUCCAUGUUAGCAAGCAUAUUAGCUCCCUGGAAUAAAUAACUAGAAAUAUGUAAGUAGAGAAGUUGAAGAAUUCAGGUUAAAGAGCUUAAAUCAAAUUACCAGUUCAUCAAUUCCUUGACCAGGAAGAGCAUGUGAAUUAUGAUCGUUCUCUCUGUCCUGAGAUCCAUCAAUAGAAUCUUUUAAAUUGUUUACUAGUUCUUCUGAUUCCACAAGAGGUUGCUCAUUCGUGUUAGUUUUUGUUGGAGAGCUACUGCUGAGAUUUACUGCAGGAACGGACUCUACACACCAAGAAGAGCUUAGUGAUAUGAGCCACUUUUACUCCUAGGAAAGUAUAGUUCAGCAGAAAAGAAAAGUGACAUGUCCUGUGCAAAAAUAUGCAAAUUGCACAAAAUGAUCUGGCACAUUUGAGGAAAAAAGAAAGAAAUGGAGAGAAAAAACUACAGAGGAUGAUAGACAGUCCCCUAAAAAAAUGAUAAGAAAAAUUAAAGCAAGUUAUCUAAAUGAAAUUGGUGUUACUGUGGAAUAGUCCUCAAAUGUACUCAAACUUCAAUAAAAAAUGUAUAGAAUCCACAAAGCUGUCAACCUAUACAAUCUUCCAUUUGCAGGGCAGACUGUAUACCAUUUCCAGAAGAAUUAACAUCAUUGAUCCGAAAACAUGUCUCCAUCAAAUUUACACCUAAAAUAAUUAGAAUUUUUUCAGCUCUUCACAAACUCAACUGGUAUGAUCUGAAAUAUGGUUCUGUUUACUCCAACUCCUAUGUGAAAAAUUCAGAAAAACAACAGACUAAUCUUGACCCAGAAUAGCCAGAAAACUACCACGUACCAGAGGUUCCGGCAACCUGAGAAAGAGCUCUUGCCCCAGACUCCAAGCUGAAUGUUUCCAACACUUCCUGAUAAAUGACAUUCACAAAAAGGUUUUAGGAGGAAAGAGGAAGAGAAUAUUAAAUGUAUUCAAUAGGGUGUUUUUCAUAUAUAUCAAAUAUGGGAAUUUGCAUAUUGCAUGCCCCUGAAAAUUGUUCGCACCUACCAACUUUGCAGGGGUAUAUGCACAUCCCAUAAUUACAGGGGUAUGCAUAUGAAAUAUGCUAUCCAAAAUAUUUAAAUCAUCUUACCUGAGCUUCUGAUUUAUCAUGGUGCAUCUGCAUAUCAACAUCACCCUCGUAAACUUGUCGAACAUCAUGAGACGCCUCAGUGUGGACAAGUGAUUCUUCAUUUUUGUUUGGGGCUCCUUGGUCUAUGUAAAAUUCAGAGGGAAUGGCUUCCAUUUCAGAUCAGCAGAGAAGGAAAGAAGUUAUAAACAAGAAAUAUAUUCCCGCAGAAUCAUGUAAUUAUUAUGUGCAUCCUCACAAAAUCUGAUUAAAGUUCUUUCAUCUAUGCCCCUGUACUUAAUAAAAUACAAGAAAAACUUUUAUAAUAUUCCUCAAUGAUUAGCCAACUCACGAAUAAGGCAAUUUAGUAAGAAACUGCAAUUUCAAGGAACAGACAUUAAAAAUUGUGAAUUGUGGCGUUGAACAUGUAAUUGCAUAAUUCUGCAGGGGUAUAUCCGUUAAGGAAGAAAAAAAAAAAAGAUGCUGAUGCUAGAAGCAAUAGUAUAAGGGUGACAAGGUCCCACCUGCUGAGGAAGGACUUACGGGAUCAACAUUAGAGUCCAGCCCAACAGGCAUACCUGCAUCCUGAAAAUAAGUAAAUAACAAUGAAUCACUGUAAGAUAACAUACGAACCUCCUAAAUACAAAUAAAUGCUUCGUUUUUACCUCUCCCGAGCUUCCUUUAUGUGGCUCCAAAACCUGUUCCUUCUGCUUAACAUUGGAAUCAUGCGACUGAGGCUUUUGGGUGCUAGAAGAAGUACUGGCGGAAGCAGCAGUUUCAGAGGGUUUGGUUGCCGCUUUGGCGGUUUUAGCACGCACCUUCGGACGGAAUUUACCCACAUUUUUCUCUGCUAACAGAGAAAGCAAUGAGCUUUACCUUUCAAAGGACAGGGUAAAGUCUAAUAAAUCUUCAACUAAAUUCUUAUUACCAGUGUUUUCUUUUGGUUCGAGAAAAAUAUCGUCGAGAAAAUCCAAUUCAGCAACCAUGCUCUCUGCAUAAAGGGAAAGCACAGAGAAAAUGAAUAAUCUCGGCACUACAAACCCAGGAAAUAUUCAUACGUUCAAUAUAUAGCAUGAUUAACAGUAGCUCAUGUAUCAGAGUACUCCUGCUUUGGUCUCUUUCGAGAAAUCCAUUGCUAGAUAAUGCAGCAGUUAAUAAGAAUUGGCUUUAACAGCAAUUAAGAGAAAAAGAACGGAACUUUCCAAGUCGAUAAAAUGCAAGAAUAAUUCCAAAAAAAAAAAAAUUGUUUUAGGGUGACAACCUAGUUUGUUAAAACAUGCAAUACCAGCAGAUUAAAGUUCUAAAAUUUUCAAUAGGAAAAAUGCUAUGCCUCCAGAAUCGCACGCAUACAUGGAUUCGAAUACCCUCCUACUGCCUAAAUCAAUGUGGACGCAAGCUAUUCAUUCUUAUCGGCGUGAAUCACACAACAGCCCCUUGAAUCUCGCGAAUUCCACCAUUUUACGUGCACAUUCUAACUAAUAUAUAACUAUGUCGCAACCUAAGAAUCUUAACCUAUUUAUGUAAUCCGACUUGUUGAACACAACAAGUAUUUGUCUCUGAACACACCAAAAAGUGAAAACCUACAUACAUGUGAGCAGAGCACUGCAAUUACAACAUCACGCAUAGCAAACAUAAAUCCCUUUUCCCAAUCGUAGCUUCCGUAAACAGUACCAAAACAGUACUCUUCGUGUUCGAACUUUGAACCCCACAACAGAGAGAGAGAGAGAGAGAGAGAGAGAGAUACCGGAGGAGGGUGAUCGGAGGCCGAUUGCGGCGGCGCAGCCACUCGACACCGCGGCGGCGGCGGAGGAGAGAGCGAGGGAUGCGGGGAAGGAGAGAGAGAGGGAUGCGAGAGAGAGAGAGAGAGAGAGGGAAUAGGGCAAAGGCGAGGGUUUGAGAGAGAGAGAGAGAGAGAGAGGGGAGAGGGGGAGAGUCGAAGUAGGAUUUGAUUUAAUGAAUGGUUUAAUUGUGAUUUGUGGUAAUCUAAUUACAAAUUAGUUUUAAUUUAGUGGUUAGUGUAAUUUUGUGGAACGUCACAUGUCGCUGGUUCAAACCUUCAAGGUAACACAUAUCAAUUAAUAUAUAUAUAUUUACAGUUACAUAAUAAAUUAACAUAGCCCUAAAUUUUAAUUUUUUAAAAUUGUUAAAUUAUUUUUUGUUUAAAAUUAAAAUUUUAAUUUUUUAAAUUAAUUAAUAUAUAUACAUAAUAAAUUAGCAUAGCCCUAAUUUUUAAUUUUUUAAAAUUGUUAAAUUAUUUUUUGUUUAAGAUUAAAAUUUUAAUUUUUUAAAAUUGUUAAAUUAUUUUUUGUUUAAAAUUACUGAAUUUGAUGAAAUAAAUUGAUAAAUUUAAUGAGAUCUUUAAUUUUAUUAAAAUUUUCGCUAAAAUUACUUAAUUUUGAAAACUCACUUUGGGUGAGUGUUCGGGCUGGGCUUCGAGUUGGGCUAGAGCCUUUUUUUUCGUUAUAUUUAACUAUUUCGGAUUUUAAUUUGGAGUGAGUGGGCUGGGCCGCGAGGCCCAUGAGUUUGAGAAAAAAAGAAUUAAAAAAAAAAAAGAAAAUUCAAUAUCUCAUAUCCCUUACUAUAGCGCAAUUACAAAUCGUCAUCCAAACUUUACAAAGUUAAAUAAAUUUAAAAUGAGCAUUCGAAGGAAAGAGGAGCAUUCGAAUCAGGUGGUUAAUUGACACAUUUACAAAGUUUGUGUAAUUUAUGCCAAAUUACAAAGUUAGUUAUCGAGACAAAUUACGAAGUUUACGCAGUUUACUUCAAAAAAAAAUUAUAAAUAUGGUCGACCCUGACACGAUCAUGAAGUUUAUACAGUUUACUUCAAAAAAAAUUAAUUUUGAGGCCUGAUCAGACACAAUGAAUCUUGUCGACCCUAACACGGUCAGCUAUAAUUAGGGCUAGACAAGUCGGGUUUAGUUAAUCAAGACAAAGUUUAUUUCAAAACCUUUUUGAGGCCUGAUCUGGCACAAUGAAUUUGGUCGACCCUGACACGAUCAGCUAUAAUUAGGGCCAGACAAGUCAGGCUUAGUCAAUUGAGACAAGUAUGAAGUUUAUGCAGUUUACUUCAGAAACCUUUUAAGGCAUGAUCUGACACAAUGAAUAUGUUCGACUCUAACACGAUCGGUUAUGAUUACGGUAGAACAAGUCGUGCUUAGUUUGCUCAAGGUCUAUAAAAAGGUGCUAUUUGAGUGCCAUGCAACCUCACUACUUUGAAGUGCUCAUCUUUACUAUAAUUAAUCAUAAUCACUUUGAAUCCACCAUCAUCUUUGCAACAUCUUCUCUAAUCAACUAUUAAUUAUAUAGGCUUCACUUGGUUGCUUUUUGCAAAAGCAUGUACUUCCAUUGCUUUCUAAAGUCAAAUGACAUUAUAAGGUGAUGCAUGCAAGGAGAUAAGCUUUUUAUGCUCUCUUUGAUUUAAUUAUAAUGAAGAUAAAGUGCACCACUAAUAUAAGCUAAGAGCCACCUAUGCCCCCCCCCCCAACAAAGGUUCUCUACCAUGCAAUUAAUUAACUUUGUUGUUGCUUAAGCUAUUUUGAUUUUUUUUUUUUUUUUACACUGGUCCUGUUUUGCAAUUUUUUUUUAAAAAAAAAGGGGGAAAAUCUUAAGUUUCUAUCUAUGACAUUCUAAGACUUGGGAGUGGUUCCACAUCGGAUAGCUACGGUUAGUUGUCGAGGUAUAUAAGACUGAAUAGGCUAAACUUAAUAAGUGUACUUAAAAGUGUUUUAAACAUGUGGAUUUGGUCUAUAACAAGUUAUUGGGUGUAAGAUACGCAGUUCAUCAAGUAUCAGGCUUUGUGACGGGUUGCUCUUUGCAAAUCGGAUCGUAACUUCACUAUGGCGAGAAGCAAAUAAAUUUAUAAGCCUCAAAAGAGAAAUACUGAUAGGAUCGUUCUGCUAAUUCUGCGAGAUUGAGAAGUUGUUGGGAUGAAUCUAAUAUAGUGAUAUUUUUUUUUUAUCCCUUUAGCUGACGUAUUAAUAAAUUUUAAUUAGAGCUUCUACUUUUAAAUUUGAAUUUUGAAAGCUCAUUAAUCUUGUUCAAGUUACUGAAGAAAGUGUUAUACAUAUGAAAAUCCUCAAACUUAAUUUUAUUUGUUUUAUUAAAUUUUUUUUAAAAAAAAAAACUAUAUUGAAACUUCUACUUCUUGAACUUAAAAUUCGGUUUUAGCGUCAUUUCGCAGAGAAAAAUCUACAGUUUUUUCUUUUUGCGAAAUACUUUCUUACUGGUAAUCAUAGUAAAAAAUAAAAUAAAAAUAACGCAAAAUUAGAAAUAGAAAAAAGGAGUUAAAGAGACAAUUAGGACUUGCUUGGUAUUGAUGCUCCUCUAAAAUUAGCCGGCAAAACGAACAAAAAAAACAUCAUAAUCGAUUUAUUACGAUAUUCGGAACAUGAUAUUUUAUUCAAAAAUAAAUACGAUUUUUUUUUAUCGGAACACAAUCUUCCUACAAUAUCAAAUAUAACCCUAAUUCUCCACAAAAUUUGAGUGAUGUACCACCUAUUAUUGAAUACAUGUACCAGAAAAUAAAUUUGCCGGAUUUAAUUUGUGACCGUGCAUUUGAUAUUAUUUCGCACAAAAUAGUAUAGUUUUGGUUAAAUUAGUACUCUAUUUUUAAGUUUAGUAUCAUUGAAUUAUUGUACUCUGAUUUUAAUUGCAGCAUCAUUGAAUUUUUGAUGGUUACCUCUUUUUUGUUGUACCAAAGUCGGCGGUUGUUGAACCAAAUUCGGCGUUUGGUACGAAAACCAAACAUUCAAAGACCUGCAACAAGAUUUCACGGAUCCGCUUUUUGCAGGGCAUUUAUGUGAUAUUUGAUAAAUUAAAUAUUUUGAAAUUAAAGGUUUUUUUUUUCAAUCAGAGAAUCGCGAAAGUUAUUAGGAUUAACUUAUCUAAAGUAUGAUAUAUUAAGUUUGAUUAACUAUUUAAUCUUUAACGUUUUAACUUUUGCUACUUAAUCUUUUAAUAUAUUUGAUUUGAAUUAUUUGAUGAUUCAUAUAUAUACUUCACAAUUUUAAAUGUAGCAUCCAUUUUAUAGACUUUAAUUCGAGUUUAUUAUUAUAUAUUUUGUAACUAAAGAUUCCAAUCAAAUGACUUACAAGGUUAGGUAGAAAAAAUUAUGACUUUUAAAAAUUAGACUGUGAAAUCAAAAUGGACCGCAGUUCAGAUAAUUUUUACAUAUUUUUACUUUUUUCUUUUCAUGAGAUACUUUUUAUGUUUUAUUGGACAUUAUUUUUAGGAAAAACUUCAAAAACUCUCCCUGUGGUUUCCAACUUUCUCACUUUAGUACCCUGUGGUUUAAAGUGUAUCAAUUUGCCCCCCAGUGGUUUUGUUUUUAUUUUUUUUAUAGCUUUUUUCUUAAUAUUUCGUUAAAUUAUAUGCAAAAAAAUAUCAUAUAUCCAUCUAGAUUUACUGAAUAUUUACUUUAGUACUCUUUAAUUUUAAUUUUGUUACUGAUUUGAGAAAAAAAAUAAUAAAAUUGAUAAAAAAAAAGAGAAAAACGAGACCACAGGAGGGUAAAUUGAUACAUUUUAAACCACAUGGUACUAAAGUGAGAAAGUUGGAAACCACAGGGAGGUUUUUGAAGUUAUCCCUUAUUUUUAAGUAGAUACUUUGCUUACUAAUAAUUUCUACAGCAUAUUACAAACAUACUUAAAUAAUUAUUGUUAAUUGACAUAAAGGUGCAUAUCAAUAGAAUAUAAGUCGGGAAAGAAAUCUAACUAUUAAAUGAUAUCAUUUAUUAGGGUAAAUUGCAUUCAAAUUAUGAUCAGUUGGGCGACACUUUGGUUCUCAAACUUUAUUAACUAAUAUUGAUGUAUCGCUAACCGAGAAUUGUAAUUAAUGAUGCAUCAAUAAUUAAUUAAACUCCUAUGUCACUAUAACAUUAGUGAUGCAUCAAUAUUUACUCAACUAAAUUAGAUCGUACAACUUAAUUAUAAUAAUUCUAAAAAUUUGAAUAAAAAAUUAUAAUAAAUUAAAAUUUGAGUUUUAAAGUGCCUUCCCCCACCGCACGGUCUUAGGACCAAGCCUUUAUAAUUUACCGUAUAAUUUAUAAAUAAAUAAACAUAAAAGUUGUUGGUUUGUAUAGCAUUUAUGUUUUUUAAAUUAAAAGCACGCGACAUGAAAAUUAGGACUAUCUACUAGAGUAAGUCUACUGUAUCACACUUAUACCAUAUCAUUAAUAACUAACCAAUGUUAUCUCUUUGUUUGAGAAAAAAAUGUAAUAAAAAUAAUUUUCUAGUAUGAUGGAGGGAUAAAAUUAAGGAAGAAGGUCUGAUUGAUUGAAAAUAUCAUAUCAGUAAUAUAACCGAUGCAUUAUUGACUUUUUCCAUCUCACGAAUCAUAAAGCAUAAAUAAAAAACCUCACCUACAUGUAGGGCCCGUUUGUUUUGGUGUAAGUGGAGUGAUGGAACUCAAGUUCCAUCACUUUCGUUAUUUGUUUUAAUGUAAGUGAAAAAUAUAAUGUAACUCAAGUUACGUUAGAGCUCCACUUCACCUACUCUCGACUUCCUCCUCUAAAGUGUCAAACUCGAUUUUCACUACACUCAACCUCCUCUAAAAAAUUUAUUAAACAGUAAAACCUAAACUCUACUUCCUUUAUAAUGGGUUAGAAUUACCUUAUUUAUAAUAAAUUAGAAUUAUCUUUAAAUAAUUAAAAAAAAAAUAAUUAUAUAAUAGAUUAAAUUUUAUAGUGGUAAAUUUAUUACUAUAUUUAUGAGAUAAUGAGAUCCACUUACUUACAUCAAAACAACCAACGGAACUCAAAAAAUUAAUUUUACCAGCACCAAGUUACAUCAAAACAAACAACAGAAGUGAUUGAAUUUAACUUUCAGAUGGUACGAGUUACGUCAAAACAAACAACAAAAUAAUAAUCACACUUCAGAAAAACUCAAUCACCACUACACUCGACUUACGUUGAAUCUACAAAUACGUCAAUCCAAACGCUCCCGUACAGCACAUAGCAAUCUCUUAUUAAUUAUUAUUAACAACACACAUGUACCAAGGACUCUCUCUCAUUUUAAGUUGUCCUUUAUUAGUUAGUGUACCAUAAACUAUAAAAGAAAAUGCACCUUUUGAUGUGCAUGUCUAAGAUAUCAAGAAUCUCUUGGAUGACCAAGACCAAGAGAAGGACAAGCUAUAUAUAAUUAUUUAUUAAAUAAAUAAGUUAAUAAAAGAAUAAAUAAAUUAAUUAAUGGGGUAGAGAAGCAUAAAAUGUACUACACUUCUACAUGACAUAGGGGUUGAGGUGACCAAAGAAGAUUUGGGAGAUUAUGUGGCAAUAAAAAAAUGGUAGGUGUGGAAUAUUUUUUCUUUUUUCUUUUGUUGAAUAAAUAUAUUAUAGUGAAUUCCAUUGGUGAUCGCAAUUGAUUUAUGGAUAUAUUAAUUGUUUUUUGUGACCAUCUAAGUUUUUGUUUUUUUGGUUCUCUUAAUUUGAGUGUGCCCAGUAGAGUUUUGAGCUAUUUAAUAAAUUAUUAUUUUAUAAAAAUUUUAAAAAGUAAAAAUAAUUGAGAAAUUACUUUACAUUUUUUAAUAUAGUGAAAUUUUAGAACAUUUACUAUACUAAAAUUUAAAACAAAAGCAGUGUCACAUCGGCCUUAAUUUAGUUGUAUUGUUGUUUGAUAAAAUAUUAUUUUAAUAAAAUAUUAUUUUUAAGUACAUACUUUUUAAUGCACAUUUGUGUUUUUCAAAUAUUUUUAUAUUCAACGUACGCACGUACUCUCGCUUUUUCAGACUAAAAUUUUGGAUUUAAUGUUUUGUUACUGUACGACGAAAUAAAUAAUUAAUUACACUAUAAAUUUACUGAAGCUACUAUAGAGCAAUUGUUUAAAAUAUUUUAUAUUUUGUUCCAAAUUACAAGGCCUUAAUUAUUUAAAUUGAAUUUUAAAAGUACAAUUAAUCAGAACCAAGUUUCAAUAACUUAAUUUACAACUACUACUAAGGUACGUAAAUAGUAUAAAGUUUUAUAUAAAGUGUGCAUGAUACACAUCCCUCAAGGUUCAUUAAUUUAAACCACGCAUGUUUAAUGCACUAAUUAUUUUAAACAUUAUCCUCGUCAUUGUCACCUAGAAAGAUAUAUUUCUUAAGUUUGGGGAUUUAAUUCUCUCCUUUCAAUUUCAAUGCGUUGACAAAAUGGAAAAUUCUUUUUUUUAAAAAAAAAAUUAUUGUACAAUGAUUAGUAUUGGAGAUAUUGCGAAUCAGGUUAAUUGGUAGUGUAAGUCAAUUUGACAUUGACAGUAAUGAUCUAAUCAUAUGAUAUAUGAAGAAUUUUUUGUCCUAAAGAUGAUAAAAGAUUAGAAAGAUAAAAUAAUUCUAAAAAAAAUGAUGUUACAACACCAAAUUUAUUAGCUUUUUUUUCUGUAAAAUUAAAAUUUUGAAAUGCCUUACAGUUAAAUCUAAAUGAUAAGUUCCAUAUAUAUUUACUUUGUUAGUAUUUGUGUAAAAAAAAUAAAACUAUUAUUUAACUUCCCCCACAUUUACGCUUGAGAUAUUUCAAUAAAAGAAUACAAAAUAAUCGUACGGUGUUUUAAUAAUAUAUAGGAUAAAUUUUAAAUACCACUUCUGUGGUUUCACAUUUUCUCACCUUAAUUAGUACCGUGUGGUUUAAAAUGUAUCAAUUUAGCACGCUAUGGUUUCAUUUCUUCUUUUCGUUAAUCCUUCUGUUAACUUUUUAUUAAAUCACAUACAAAAAACUUCAGAUACCCCACCUAUAGUUUAUUGAAUAUUCACUUUAGUACUCGUUAGCUUUAACUUUGUCACUAAUUUACCAAAAAAAAUUAGUGAAAAGAUAACAAAAAGAGAAAAAUGAAACUAUAAGAUACAAAAAUAAUACAUUUUAAACUACAGAAUACUAAAAUGAGAAAGUACGAAACCACACCAAUGAUGUAUUAUUCAUCAAUAUUUUGUGUCAUGGUUAUGAACCUUUUAAUUUUCUUUUCUCUUUUUUGAUCUUUUCCUUUUGCUCUUCUUUUUUUCUUUGUAACGUCUCUUUCCCUGUUUUCAAUUGACCGCGACCACUUAAUUUCACUCUUUCUUUAAUUUGUCUUCUUCAAUUUUUUUUUCCUCCUUUUCUCUGACUCUUUUCUCUCACUUUAUUUUCUUUUUUCUACUUUCUUUGGAAUGUAAUCAGGUUUAGUCAAUUUACAGUAAUAGUGACAUUAAUAUCUCUCUUUCCGUAAUUCUCACUUUGAGAAUCCUUUGAAUGGGAUGCAAAUUUAGCAUCUUUUGACUUUGAAAAUAUUACCUUGUCGCAUGUACACAUUGGUCCGUCUUAAUUUGAUUCAAUCGAUACAAGAUGUGGAUCAGAAUUUAUCAUAAUAAAUUAUAGAUAGUGACAAAUUAUAUUUUGUUUUUCUAUUAGUUAAGAAAUGUAAUUCUUAAUAAAUAUCUUAAUAAGUAUUCUAAUUCUAAUUUAUAUGUGAGAAUUAAGAUAUUUUUUCUGAUCAUAUGAACUUCUUUCUCUCAAUUUUGACAUGAGAAAUAAAAAAAAAUCAUUCUUUUUCGUUCGAUGUUUAUGUUUUUGGGAUUUUGGAGGGUAGACGAUCGAUUGUGGAGAUUCUAGCAGUCUUCCACGAUAAUCAAGCGUACGUUGAGGUCCUGACACGACGUCCCAUCGAAGAUUCAGAAAGUCGCCACAGAUUCAAGAGGCUGUAAGACGAGUGUGACGAUCCAACAUGUUUUUCCGCUGAAGCUAUUGUAAAUACUAUUGCGAAGUUCAAAUAUAUUUUAUAUUAUGUACAUUAAACACCUAAAGAACAUAUUUAGAAAUGUAUCUAAUAACUUUAACUCUCCUUUUAUUUGAUGCUCAUGAAAAGACAAAUAGAUAUCUAUGUCCUUUCUUAAUUUGGUAACAAGAGAAGAAUACUUAAAAUUUAAACAUUUGAUUCGGGAGGAAAAUGUAGACAAAGAAAGUGUGAACAAACACCACAUGAUCUAAAGUUCCAAUCUAUAGCCUCUUCCUCCAUUCACCUUCUCCACAUCUUCCUUGUUCUCUCCUCUACCAUCUAAGCCCUUGAGGCAAUAAUGCUCGAACCUCUCAGCGGAGCUUUGAGGGACCGAAAUGAGCACGUUGAACGCGUGCAAAUCCCCGAUCACCGGCAAAAACAAGCAAUAGAUCUCACUUGCUAGAGUGCCCAUGUGAAGGGGCCUUCCUUCCCCGAAAUCCAAGUCCUCUAAUCCGAGCUUCGACCAUGGCGAGAUCACUAGGCUCACCGAUAGGUCCGGCUUACCCCUCUUCACCUCCAAGAGAUCGAUCAUUGACCGAACAUAGCCGUCGUUGACGAACUCUUUAGCCUCUUGCACCAAUUUAACUCCGUAGUGCACGUUAGAGGUGACUAGUUCUUUCACUGACGUCUCCGCACAGCCUAGCACAAACGCAUUGCCGUAAAAGCCUCGAGGGAGCUCAGGCUUUAGCUUCUUGCGUACAUUGAUCGAGAAGAGGAGCUUGGCUCGAAGAGUGGGGGGCAAUUCUAAGGACUUGACCCACGAACGCCAGACGUGUGACGCGAGGACUUCAAAGGAAGUACACUUGAGGGAGGGGAUGCAUUGCUUCUUGAGGUGAAGAAUGUGCGAGGAAUUGAAGGUCAGAGAGACGACGGAUAAGGGUUGAGAGAGGAGUUGAGUGAGGAGAUCGAAUGAGGGGUCGUUACAAGGAUGGGGAUUGAAUUCGGGGUGAGAGAAGGUGAUUUGUGGGGGAAUUCGGGGUUUUAGCAUGUGGCGGUCAUGGAAGGGGGCGAUCGGAAGGGCGAAGUUUGGCUUGGCGGUGAUGUGAGCCCAUGCAUGAAGGAAUUGAGCCGACCCUAUGCCGUCGCAGAGGCAAUGGCUGAUUGCAGUGCAUAGAAUCAUUCCACCACACCUUAGAUGAGUAACCUACACACAAGUGAGAAAAAUAAAGGGAUACAUUAGAUCUUAUUAACAAAGCAACCACCCCACCCUAUUCGCCUAGUUCAUUUUUCUUAAUGAAUGAAGCAGGUAACUCGCUACCUUUUUCUCAAAAAAAAAAAAAACAAAGCAACCACCACAUUGAGAUGUGUUAAUUAUGUGACAGAUCUAGUGGAAACUUAUUUCUUUAGGAGCCAAAAAUAAAGUGAAUUGGAAAUUCAAUAAUUACUUAUUUUGAUAGGUGUAAAGUUGGUGGAUGAUGAUGACAAAUCAUAGAGAAUUAAACACUUGGCACAAACCUAUGGGCCAUGAAUGAGGGAAAAUGAUGCUUGGAGAUGACCUUUGAUAGAUUAUGUUGGAUGUUUUCAUGGAGGAGCUAAAUUGGUAGGCCAACAUGUGACAGUGGCUAGGGAGCCAACUCCAACAUGAUAAGCAAUGGAGAGAGAAAAAGAAAAAGGGAAAAAAAAAUAAAAAGGUGAGGGGAAAAGUCAUUCUCUUUAAAGCAAAUGGGAGCAUUUAAUUUCAAUAGUAGAAAAAAAAAAUCAUAUACUUAGUUUAAUUUACAACCACACAAUUAACUAUAUAAAGUUAGGGGAAAAGUAAAUGGAAUGAAAAUCACCAAACAACCAACAUGUUUAAGAGAGAGAGGGAGAGGGAGAGGGAGAGGGAGAGGGAUUUAUCACACAUAGUACUGAAUCAUAGUAUCCAAAUUAAGCUCAUGAAAGGGAUGUUGAUCUUAUCACCAAAAAACAUCUUAAAGAGGAAAAAAGAGAAGAAAAAAAAAUGUUUGCUUUAAUGAAAGAUAAUAAUAAUAAUCUCUUAAAAAGAAGAGUGGGUAAGAUCUCAAGGCAAAGCAUAUAAUUAUACAUACAAUCCAUGCCUAAAAAGUGGGAGGAGAGGAAUAAUACAAAUUAGGAAUAUUGCAAUAUGCUUGUACUUUGAGAUGGAAACCAGUUACUUUAGACCCAAUGCCCAAAAUCCAUAGCCAUCACAAAACCUUUGCCAUCUUUGGCAAGCAUAUAUUUGGGCAGUCCAAAUAAAAAACCAAGAACUAGUUGGAGAAAAAAAAGAAAUGUAAAAAAGACAGGUCUAUAAAACCCAAGAAGAACUUGACUCAAUGGAUUAAAAAAAAAAAACAAAAAGAAAAAGUGAUUUUAACAUAUUUUAACAUUUACUACAACGAUAUAUCAAAUUUAUUGAAUCUAGCUAAAUUUAGCGAGGAAAUAGUGAUCAUAUUCAAUAAAUUUACUAAAUCUAUUUAAAUUUGAGAAAAUAGUGAUCAUAUUUAACGAACUAUUUUUUUUUAAAAAAAAAUCAGCUAGAAAAUAGUGAUCAUAUUUAAGGAAUUUAUCUAUCAGUAGUGAGAACGACAGGAUAAAUUUGCUGAAUCUCUUUAAAUUUAUCCUGUCGUUAUCACUACUUAUAGAAAAAUUCACUGAAUAAGAUCACUAUUUUCUUGCUAAAUUUAACUACAUUCCAUAGAACUGAUGAUCGUAUUUAAUGAAUCAAACUUAUCUGUUAACAAUAAUUUUCGAUGUAUUAAUUAAUGGGAUCAUCACCCACAAUAAUACACUUUGUUACUAGUUAAACACUUCACAUAGAAAAAAAAAGAAAAAAAGAAAAAGAAAGGUGAGACCACAAUCACUCACCCAUUUACAAAUAAGGGAACUUGAAAACAUGUUAUUAUUAUCAACAUGAAAUGAGAGGUAAAUAAUUAACUUCAACAAGGAACUAAAAACAACCCAUGAGAGAGAGAGAGAGAGAGAGAGAGAGAGAGAGCUCACUUGGAUGACAAGUGGAGGAAUACCCACAAAGCUCUGAGCCUCCACCCUAUACAAGAGCUUCCUCCAAGACCUGUUGGGCUUUCCAGAACCUUCUAGAAACUCCCCAGCAGUGAGAUCCACAAACCCUUCAGCAAAACAAGCCCUCACCCUCCCAGCAAAAGGGUAGUAGUCCACAAGCACUUUGGCCAGAGAGGCCCUGAGUGCUUCCCCCAGCAGUGCUUUUCUGAAUAGGUAGAGGUACUUGAUGGAGAACCUCAGGAACUUCUGGUCAUCAAGGUUGGAGAGUUGGAGGGUGUGGUUUGGUGUGGGGCUGCUUGGGCACACCAAGAUGGGCUCUUUUGGGUAGAAGAUGUCUGGGAUUUCUAUGGACUUUGUCAUUGCCUCUUCCCCCUCCCCCCACCUUUUCCUGGACAAAGAAUAGAAGGAGAGAGAGAGAGAGAGAGAGAGAGACUAAGAUAUAUGUAUGUGUGUGUGUGUGUGUGUGUGUGUGUGUGUGUGUGUGUAUUAUAUAUUAUAAUAUAUUUAUAGGAAGAGAGGUGUUAGAGACUAGAGAGAGAUAGGGGGGCUUGAAAGAGACAUGGGGAGGUGGGAAGUUUUAACUAAGUGAGAGAAUGAGAAAAAAAAUAAAAAAUAAAAUAGAACAGUACAUCAAUUAUAUUGCAAUUGAUGUGGCGUUCUCAAUCAAACAGAUUGUUUCAUUUAGAUUUAUUCAUGUUACUGUAUCUUUUACUUAAACUAAGAGAUAUAAUCGGCUGUUAAUAGAUUACGUAUUGUAUCUUUUAUAUAUAUAUUGUAGAAUCUCUUGAAAAAGAGAGAGAAAAAAGUUUAGAUUACACUAGUUAUAUUAUUGACGUAGCGUCCUCAACCAAUAAAAUUAUUCCUUUUGAAUUCACUCAUUCCAUCAUGAUUAAUAAAAAAAAAAUAUUCUUAUUAUAAUUUUCUUUCAAGAAGUAAAAUAUAAUUGACUUGUUACUGAUAAUAUAGUACAAAUAUGAUACAGUAGACUUCAUGGACAUUAGAUAGGGAGAGAGAGAGGGAGAAAGAUUCUAGUUUUUACUCUGUAGGGAAAUAGGUGAGUGAUUUGGCAGUGGAAAGCAGUAAAUUGUUUGUUUAUUCUGAAAAAAAAUUCUUUUUUCAUUUCUAAUAAUUUGUUGGCUAAUAACUGCAUGCACUGGAUGUUUGUAGAAGAGGAAUUUUGGUCAUGGUAAAAAUUUCCACUUGAGAGCAACUUGUACCAGAAGGGUCCUCACUUUAGUAUUUAAGUUUACUAUGCUUUUGUUUUAUAGGGAAAAAUGAACAAAGAUUCCCUCACCUUUAGCUCUUUUAUAACCACAUAAAUGAAGUUUCAAUUUUGACUACUAGAUCCCGUAAAUUUUAUCAAAUAGUUUAAUAUAUAAUUUUUUUUCAAUUAAAUUUAUCAAAUAUACAAGUAUUUUUGUCGUAACUAUUGCAUAUAGUUUCGUAGAACUUCAAAUCACAAACAAAAAAGCAAAAAACUAUUGAAGCUUGGUUCAAUCAUUUUUUUAUCGUCAAACUUAAUUAUCAAAAUUUGAAGAAAGAAUUAUAUUUUUCUUUUUAUAUAUUUUGAAGUUUUACAGGAUUAUAUGAACAGUAUUUCAUCAAAAUGACAGUGUAAUUAAUAAUUUCACUUGAAGAGAGGGACCUGUUAAACUAUUUGAGAAAGUUUAAGGGAUGUAAUUACCAAAAUUAAAAAUUUAGACUUCUAUUUACAAAAGAGCUAAAGUUUAGAAUGUCUCUAUACAUUUUAUUCCAAACUUAGGCUCUUCUAACUUUUAUUUUGUUCUGUUUCUGCAUUCGAUAAUUAAUAACAAUUUCUUAUAGAAUAUGGAAAAGAAGAAUAGCUCGAAACUUUUACAAUGGCAAGCAAAGAGAAGAAAAAAGAUUCUAAAUCUAAAAAUACUUAGAUAUUUUAAUAUGACAAUUUUCCUAAUAGUAAUUAGACAAUAUUUCAUCAAACAACACUACAGACUAAGGUAGGAUCAUAGAGAAUAUUCUAAGAAUUAAUAUUUGUAAUAUUUGUUGAUUUUGUUAUUUACGAACCAAACUAGCUUAAAUUAUCUAUAAAUAAUUAAAAUAGUCCUAUUAAUAUCAAUUCUCAUAUUGUUAGGAAAAUGGAGACAAAGGUGAAAACUUUAUUUUUUUUUUAAAAAAAAGAGUAGAGAUGAAGACUUUCCAACCAUACAAAAUGCAAAACAAGUAUAAUCUUUUAUGGUGUUUAUGAGUGAGAUAGGCGCAAAUAAAGCCGGAGUAAAUUAAUGGACCCAAUAAAUUAGGAAAUGGUAUAUUGGACAAGAUUGAUUAGACAUUUCAUGAGUCACAAAUGAAAUGUAAACAAAGACAUGAUGAUGAUGAUUAUUGAUUUUAUAUAUACAUAUAUAUAUUCAUGUGAUUUUGCAAGAUUCUUCUUUCUUUAGAGUGAUAGCAACAUCACCAUUGUAGUGUCGCAAUGUGGUGUCACAUGGUUCCCUAAAGGGUGUUGGAAAUAAUGCGGAUUUUGAUAAGUUAAUUUCAAAAUUAAUUAACAAUAAUGUCUCCUUUAACAAAAAUAUAUAAGGACAUAACAACCAUAUUACAAAUGUGGAAGCUAGCUAGUAAUGAACAAAGUAAAGCAAGGGAAAGGAAAUUUCAUCUUACCUAUUUGUGGCAUGUCAAAACGCUAUCCAAAAAGUAUAUAUAUAUAUAUAACGCUCUUUGGCAGUGAGGUUUCUAGUGAAAUCUAUCUCUAAAUUAAAAAUAUGAUGAAAUGAUCAUUUCUAUUAGCAUGAUUUUAAAGAGGCAAGUAGAAACUUCGACAUUUAGUAAGAAACUAUGUUUAGGAAAAUGAAUUGGUAGUUAAUUUUAAGGUAAAAGCGAGAUACAUGAUGUUUUGAAGAGAGAAAAACAUGGUGAAGAAAAGAGCCUUUUCCAGUUUUCUCAUGGAUUCAUAGCUCAUUUUUAUGCUAAUUUUUCUUCUCCAUUUAUCAGCCGAAUAUGCCUCAUUAUUAUUAUUUUUUUAAAAAAAUAUGCCCCAUUCUAGGCUUAAUUAAUUAAUCAAGCCUCCUCCAUAUAUGGUUUGAAUUGUUAUGGAGGGCCAUAUAUAUGUAGUGCAAUAAGGGGCUGUUUGGUUGUAUGCAUUUCCAACAGUAUUGCAGUUGAAAAUGCAUGCAUCUAUUAAUUUUUUGUUUGGUUUGGUGCAGUUAGGCUCAACUGUUACAGUUGCAUCUGCACGAGAAGGCCCAACUGCAGCAGUUGGUACUACAACCAAAUUGGCCGUAGUACCAACUGCAGCAGUUGAGCCGGAGUUGGCUUACCUAUUAAAAAAAUAAACAAAGUGUGAUUUUUUUUUUCAUAUGCUUCUUUUUUUUAUUUUUUUUUCUAAAAAUACAUAUUCAUGAAAUCUGAUAAAAUUUAGUAAUGUCUAUUAGGGUCAAUAAAUUUUUUUCAUAUGAUUCUUAUUUUUUAGUCUGCUAAUUUAAUAAUAUCUUAAUUUUUAUUUUGAUCAAAUUUAUAAUAUAUUUAUAUUUAAAAUUUAUUAAAUUCAUAUAUAAUUUUGUAAUAUAUAAAUUAUAUAUAGAUAUAAAAGUCUUAAUUAAUAAUUAAAACAUAAUUA
rnacentral:lncRNA from 1 species